rnacentral:lncRNA from 1 species
UAAAUAAUGCGAGCCCAUUGUUCCUUUUAUUUCGAAAACCCAUUAAUCAUCAACACAUACACGCCCAAUUUUAAAAAAAAAAAAUAAUAAUAAUAAAAUAUUUAAGUCGUCCUCUGUUCAAUAAUCAAAAACCCAUUUAAAAUCUAUUUUAACUUUAGGUAUAUGGGUUAACAAGUCCCAAUAUUGUCCUCCAUCUUUUCUGCACUUCUCUGCUAUCAACGGACAUCCCCCGAUGUAUAAUUGCAAAAGUGAGGAAGGCAGGCCCUUCUCCGGAAAGUAUUUGAGCUUGGGACAAUCCUCGAGUUCCAAGUGAGUGAGGUUUUGAAGAUCAACAAUUGAAGAAGAUAGGCGUUCCAGAUUUGGAAAAUUACCAAUCAUCAGGGAUGCUAGACAGGCAGGAAGAGGAAGCGUGGUCCUCAAUCUUAUGUCCUCCGGUGGGAAUGACACCAUGUCGUCAUCGCAUCCGCUGAUUGUAAGUUGUCGCAGAGAGGAGAAUCUGUGGAAUCCCCGACCCCACUCAAUCGUUGACUUCCAAAUCUUCUUAUUAUCAAUAAUCUCCAGCCUAUGAAGGUUGGUGGGAAGGCCAUCAUCUUCUUCAAGGCUUGGAAGCUCACCUCCUUCUCCUAUUGUUAAUUGUUGAAGAGAGGUCAGAUUGUGCAAUCCCUUGGGUAAGACCUGUAGUCUCUUACAAUAAGAUAUCUCUAGCCUCGUGAGUUUCGCACAAGGCAAUCCCCCUUGGGGAAAGGACACCAGAUUUUCACAUUCCCAUAUCCCUAUCUCUUGAAGCUGGCGGAGAUUAUGUAAACCACUCGGUAAAAUUUUCAGAUUUUCACACUCAGAAAUACUGAUUGUUUCAAGAGAUGUGUUGUUGUCCAACCUUUCUGCUAUUGACUCCAGCUCUGAACAACUCCAAACAUCAAGGGACUUAAGAGACGGAGGUAGAUUGCCAACUUCAAGGGACUCAAGCGUGGCAGGUAACUCGUUUUUUGAAAAUAUACACGUCAGUGACGGACACCUGCUAAUAUGCAAGCCCUCGAGAAGAGAUGAGGUGUACCUUCUGCUGCUGCUGCUGCUCUGGAUGCCCUCUUCCACCGUCAAAGUCCUUAUAUUAUCGCAAUGGCGGAUCUCCAACCACUUAAGGCUCGGUGGUAGUUGGACUCCAGCAAUAUAUGUCAACGAAUUGCAAAUCCAAAUCUCCAAGAUCUCGAGAGAUGAAUUGGUGUCGCACAUCCAUGCCUCUGGUAACGAUUUCAGUGCAUCACAUUCUCUAAUCUCAAUUUUCUUCAACUUGGAAGGCAGAGCAACCUCAGGAAAGGAAACAAGGGAACUGCAGCCGUAGAUUUCUAUCUCUCUCAAGGAGCUGAGGCUGAGAGGUGAUUGUGGCAGCUUCACAAGGUCUUGGCAAUCUCUCAAAUCUAUAUAUUCGAGUAUGCACGACAACUGGCAGAGCUGCUGUUGUUGGUCUUUCUCUUCCUCCGCCACCAAGGAUUGAAGUUUGGGACAACUUGUAAUCGUCAGUCUUUUGAGAGAGCAAAUGUCUUGCAGCAAUUCGUUAUGACUCUUCCAUAUAUAUGUCUGCUCUUUCAUAUCAUUUAUCUCCAAUUCUUCCAAUUUUGGUAUUCGCGGCUUCAAUGGCCCUGCGAGAAACACUUGAUUUGAUGUAUCUCUACAAACUACUGAAUUCUGCGAUCCGAGAUGACCAGUUGCACUUUCCCACACAAUCUUUUUGCAUCCACCAAUUAUGAAUUUGCAAAGAGAUGGAAGACUCGAAACUGAAACUAACAAUUCUUCACAUCCUUCAAUAACAAGCAUCUCCAAUGCAGGAAGGUGCUCUGGAAAUGUUCCUUUCAGUUUAGAACAUCUUAAAAUGUGAAGCUCUCUCAAUUUAGGAAACCGUUCAACUCCCUGACUGAAUCCAUGAGGAAUCCAGUCUUCCCAUCCUUGCAUGUCUUCAAAAUGAAGCGUCUCCAAGCAUGGAAAAGGAAUUGGAGUAUCAUUCCCAUAGAACUCUGAACCCAACCUCUUUACACUAGUCAUUCCACAUACUGCAAGAUGCUUUAGAGAGGGUAGUUGGCCGACUGACGGCAGGGUAGGACACAUGCCACAAUAUUCAAAUUUUAAGGUCACCAACUUUAAGAAUGAGGAAUCUCCGAACCAAGUUGGAAAUUUUGCGCCUCCAUAGCCGCUGAUACAAAAUUGUUCCAGAUUUUUAUGGGGUUCUAGCAUGUCAAGCACGUCCUUUUCAGUUUCCGCCUCCCUUGAAGACGAGCCAUCGGUACUGUUUGUCCACCGAAGCAUUAACACUUUAAGGUUCUUCUUUCCAUCCAAUUGAGCCUCCUUUGCAUCACCAACGUCUUUUACGUUCUCCAAUUUUGAAAUGCAAAGUGUCCCACGAAGGUGCGUCAACAACUUUAGCUCUCGUAACCCGGAACCACUGUCUUUUCCUACAACAAAAUUACACAACGUCUGAAGACAAGUCAACUUGCCAAUUCCUAGUGGCAUUUCCUCCAACGACUUCGUAUUUGAAUUCUUAAGAUGAUGCAAUUUGGCGAGGUUUCCCAUGUCUGCACACAACUUCUUCAGCCGAUCACAAUCUUCCAACAAAAGACUAUGCAAAUUGUAAAGCUUGUUGACUGAUUCAGGCAGAGUUCUAAUCUCAGUUCCAGACAGGUUAAGGUACCUUAAAUACCUCAAAGCACCAAUUGAAUCCGGCAGCUCAGGGAUGCGGUAUCCACGCAAAGAGAAGACCCUCAAGCGUUGGAGUUUGAGCAACUUAGGAAGAAUGCUAGGAGCCAAGUAUCCAGACAGUGAGCUAUUUGACAGCAUUACGGGUAAAAAUGUUCGCAAAUGUUGGAUAUCGUACAAGUCCUCAAACCUUUUAACACCAUCGUAAUCUCCACGAAUAUACGACAGAUGACGAAGAUUUCUUGAAAAACUUUGUUGCUUGUCAACCUCUGAGAUAUACUCCAUUCUGAAGUACAUUUCCCCAGCAGCCCAUUGAGCAAGGUCAUUGACGAGGUCGUGCAUCACAAAUCGUGAUAUACUGUUGCUUGAUUGCUGGAAAAAAGAUCUUGCACGUAGUUCUCGAAAGAACUUUCGACCUAGAUCUUCACUAGGAUUCCCGCUCUCUCCGUGAUCCAAGAGACCCACAGCACACCAUAAUAAAAUUAUCUCCUCCUCUUCAAAUUCAUAAUCCUUUGGAAACAAUGAGCAGUAUGCAAAGCAUUGUUUCAAAGGUGCCGAAAGAUAAUAGUAGCUCACUCUAAGCGCAGGUAUAAUGUCACAUCUCUCUUCUGGUAAAUCCCAUAUCUUGCAACUGAGCACAUCUUCCCAAUCACUUCGGUCACGUUUACCACGUAAGAGUCCACCAAGAGUUUUCGCAGCUAAGGGCAAGCCGUUGCAUUUGAUCACUAUAUUCUUGCCAAUGUCCUCCAAUGACUUAUGUGAACUGAAAUCUGUUGUCCCCAAAGAGUGCUGAGCGAACACAGACAGACAGUCCUCAGUUGACAAGCUUUUGAGUUCAUAAGCUUGAUCCAGGCUCAUGAUUUUGGCAACCUCUUCAUUGCGAGUGGUGACAACAAUCUUACUUCCCUGUGCGCCAGCUUGAAAUGAAAGGCUGAGGUGAACCCAAUCAGUGUAAUUCUCAUUCCAAACGUCAUCUAAAACAAGCAAAAAUUUCUUUCCAAAUAGUUGUUUCUUUAGCUCCUCUUGAAGCUUAUUCAAGUCGUGAUUAUCCACAUUCUGGCCAGGAGCAAUGGAAAUUAGGAUUGAUUUUGUAAGCCUGCUAACAUCAAAAUCAUCGGAGACGCAAGUCCAUGCCUUGAGAUUAAAAUGAUCCUCCACCUGCUUAUCAUUGUAGACAAGCUGAGCAAGAGUGGUUUUACCCAGCCCGCCCAUACCUAUAAUAGGAAUAACAGAGAAUCCACCAUCCUUUCUUGAAUCAUCCUUCAACAACAAUUCAACAAUUUCCUUCUUUUCUGUUUCCCUGCCAUAUACUUUGGCUUCCUCCACCAAAGAGGUUGUCUCUUGCCUUUGCCUGGCUUUUUUGGAUCCCCCAGCUGAACUUUUUAUCAAAUUCAGCGAGCCUAUUCUUUCUUCAAUAUCUUGAAAUCUAUCGUUGAUUUCUUUGAUUUUGGACAUCAUGGCGUAAUCGAACUGAAUCGAUUGUGGAGUAAAAGUGGUGCAGCAAGUAGGAAUGAGCUUCCGAAACUUACUUUUCGUGCUUGUACGACUGCUGCUGGGUUGAUCAUGAGCAGCAGCUGGUUCUCCAUUUCCAAGCAGCAACUUCCUCCGGAAAGCCUCAGUUUGGAACUCAUCCAACAAGUCUUCAACGUCAUAAGCCAAGUUCUGAAGCUCGCCAAGCCACAACUUCACAGAAUCAUCAGUCGUCUUCUUCUGCUCAGCAUCAUCAAGCACCGCCUUGAUCGUCACCAACUUCUUCUUCCACUUCACUAGAUCGUCUUUGAUUCGACCUUGGCGUUCAAAUAAACGAAGCCCCUCCGAAGAUAACUUAUUGACCAGCAUCUCAACGGACGCCUUCAGGAUUGCCUCUCCGAUGAUCGACAUAUAUUUUUUUUUUUUUGGGACAAAGAAUGAAACCAGAUUAUGAGCUUGUGGAAAGCAGAAUGAGAAAAGUGAAUAAGCAGCGUGAGUUUGUGAUUGUGUCUAGCAAGCCUAGAAAUCAAGAAAAACCCACCGUAAAAGUGAAAAGUAAAACGGAGCCAACCACAAAUAUAAAAUCAGAGGAUCACAGAAAUUAAAAAAAAAAAUCAAACACGUAAUGAUUUGUAAAGUUAUUAGCGAUUUGUAAAAAUCAAACAUGCGUCUUCUUCCUCUGAGUGUUUUUUUUUUUUUUUAACUUUAUUAAUUAAUUAGUGAAGUAAAUUUGUAAAGAUCACGGGCAUCAAAUUAUUGGGAGGUAUUAAUUGCGCUUAGUAUUUACAAUUUUUUGUAAAACUUUUUAAUUUCGUUGAAAAUGUAUCGUUAUUAAGUUAUUAUUGAUUUCACUCUCUUUUACUUUUUGACGUUGCGAAAAAGACAGUAAAAAACUUGCUAAAUGUCAUCAAAUACUUGUAUCUCAUCUCACAAAUUAGCAAUAUUUGUUUGGUAUUUCAUCUCAACGGGACGAAGGAACGAUAGAAAACGCGUUCCCUCAUCAAAAUUUUCUUUCGUGAGACCGAUAAUAAAUAAUAAAAUAUUCUUUUAUGGGAUCGAUUAUAAAUAGUAAAUUAAAGAAGGGUCGACAGAAAACGCGUUCCCUCAUCUAAUUUUUCUUUUGUGGGACCGAUAACAAAUAAUACAAUAUUCUUUUGUGGGACCGACUACAAGUACUAACAUAAAGAAUAAAAAAAUGAAAAAAAGGAUAGUGAAAUAACUCAACGGAGAAGUCUAUAAAUGCUUUUGUUUGGUAGCUGGCUAAAGCAGAAUCUGUAAGUUGCAGAGUCAAGUUACACUUAGCCUGCUCCAUAACUCUAAUGUGAAACAAAAAAAGUCCUGCCACCAAUAAUUCAGCAAGCUUCACUUUAUUACACGAAGGUGAAAGCAAAAAGCCAAAAACAGCCCCCACCACCAUCAAUAAUUUAGCAAGCUUCACGCGCUUGUGCUUGUCUUGUCUGCUUGACGAACUGGACAUGGGUGGACCAAGCAUCCAUUGAAUAACUGGAAAAAGUAAAAAAUAAAAAACAGUGUCCCGCAAAAAGAAUCCAUCUUUAUGUGUUGAUAUGCACAUCUACCGAACAUCUACAAAAUGGAAGUAGAAAUUGAAACUUACGUUUUUUAGUUAUGGCUCAUAUAUAAUACAAGUAUCAAUAUUUAAGUAGAAUAGAGUUCACAUAUACACAUGCGUCUAGUUUUAAGUUUUAACCGAGAGAUAAAUUAAUCAUUAAUACUCAGGUGUUUCUAAAUAAUUGAAUAAUGAUAUUAUACGAACCUUCCCUUUACAAGUCUUCAAACUCAUAAACCAAGUUAAAAUAAAAUUAAAAAAAACGUUUCUCUCUCUCUCUCCUUUUGCUAUAUGAUUACUUUAUUUAUUGAAUUAAUUUCCAUGCUAUAUCAAAGACUUAAAAGUACACUAUAAUUUUUUAUAAUCAUAAUGGUAAUUUCUAUCAUCAUAUUAAAUUAUUGUCGUGUCAAAAUAAAUUAUAACAAAAUUUUAGCUGAACAUAAGUUCGACUCAUUUAUUAAAUAUAUAUACUUAAUAAAAUAAUAAGACGAUUAAUAUGUUAUCAGUGAUAUAGACCCAACUGAAAUAACUCUAAUGUGAAAACAAAAAAAAUCCCGCCACCGAUAAUUGAGCAAAUUAACUUCACUUUAUUACACGAAAGUGGAAGCAAAAGCCAGAGGCAGUCCCCACCACCAUCGAUAAUUGUGCUUGUCUUGUCUGCUUGACGAACUGGACAUGGGGGGGGGGGGGGGGGGGGGGGGACCAACCAUCCAUUGAAUAACUGGAAAAAGUAGAAAAUAAAAAAAUCAGUGUCCAGCAAAAAGAAUCUACCUUUAGGUGUUGCUUCCUAUUCAGUACAUGCAUAGAUAAUGUACAUCGACCUGGAAUUAAAAAAAUGGAAGUAGAAAUUAAAACUUACUUUUUUAGAUAUGGCUCAUAUAUAUUACAAGUAUCAAGAUUUGAUUAGAGUUCACAUAUUUACAAUGUGCCUAGUUUUAAUUGAGAGACAAACUAAUCAUUAAUAAUCAGGUUUUUCUAAAUGAUUAAAUAAUGAUAUUAAUUAUUGAUAUUUAAAAAAUUUGUAAGAAGUAUAACUAAUAUGUUGGGAUAUGUAUUUGUGUAGAAUGGCAAAUAUAAAGAAUAGCAAUAAAAAUAGUGGAACUUUAAUAUGAUGAAAAAAGGUAAACUGUAGAAAAUUAAUAUAUAAUUCAAGGUACGUUACAAAUAUCACUUUCCUUCAGACAUUAUUUACCCCACCAAUUGAGUGAAUGCACAUGAGUUAAGCAAAUAUGUCUCUAGGAUAUAAUGAAACGCUUCUUUGUUUGCUUGUAUUGUGCAUCGACAAAAGUAAAUCUGAAUAUUCCUUAAUGUUGCAAGCUUGCCACGAAUUAAUAUAUUGUUAUUGUAAAAAAAUAAAAAAAAUAAUGUAUUGGAUAUUUGAUGCAUAAAAGAAAUAGAUAUUAUUAGAUGAAAUUCAUUUUGAGAAAUAGGGCUACAAAAAGAGUGGUGUAAUGUCGUUUUAUUAAUGUCUAAAUGGCAUAAAUAUGACAUCUAUUUACAAAUAUAUUUAUGCUCUUUUAUUUAAGUUAUCGUCUUUAGUAAUGCCCUUGAUUCAUAUCCAUUAGAUCAAGCAACCUAAUCCCCACUAAAACUAACUUAUUGAACAGUAACUCAACGGAUGCUGUAAAGAUUGCUCUUGGAUGAUUGACAUUUUUUUUAAAAAAAAUUUGGGCAAAGAAAGAAACUGAAUUAUGAGUUUAUGGAAAUUAAAGCAAAUGAGAAAGUGAAUUAGCACAAUGAGUUUGUGAUUGCGAAGGAACCAGCAAAUCAAAAAACAAUUAAGCAAGAGAAAAGGACAAUGAACACUUUAAUAUUCUAGAAAAGGGAUAUGAAACCUCUAAACAUUUUAAAAAAGAUAUAUAAUCUCCUUUUUAUUAGUAAAAUCUGUUUAUUUCAGUAGUAACAUAAUCUUUAAUUUACAUUUACUAUCAUGUCCCUAUAAUAAAUAAAUUAAUAUAUUUAAUUUAAAAGAGUGAGCCCUCCAAUUUUACUUCCCAUUUGCUCAAUUGCCUUUCAUUCAUAUACAAGCAUGUUUAACAUCUCAUUUUGCCUAAUUUGCCUUGGAAGAAAAUAAAUUUGAUUUUAUUUUUAUCUAUUAUUCAUCAUUUUUUAUCAUCUUAACAUUGGGAAGGAUAUAUUCAUAAUUUAAAGUGAAUAAUUUGGAUAAAAGAUAAUUAUAUCUUAAUUUUAAGUUUUAAAUAAAAAGUUGUUGGUUUUAUUAUACAUGUCAUUGAUGACAUGUCUUAAAUUAAUAUAUUUAUUUAUUUAUUAUCGGGAUAUAAUAAUAAUUAUAAAUUAAAAAUAAAUUUAUUAUUAAAAUAAAUGGAAUUUAUUAACAAAAAUAGGAAUUAUAUAUCUUUUUUAAAAUAUUAAAACAUUAUUUUUUUUUAGGGUAUCACUAUCCAUUUCCCAUUAAGCAAAACAAAAGUGAAAAGAAAAAUCAGAGCCCACUAUAAAUAUAAAAUUAGUGGAGCUCAUGAUGAUGCAUUUGCUUUACAUACUAAAUUAAAUAAAAGCCGAACCAAGAAUCUUUGCCUUAGCUUAACAUGAUUAAUUAGGCACUACUUCAUAGAAAACGCGAAAGCAAUGAACCCUUUUUUUAAUCUUAAAUGUCAUGAAUAUAAUUCUUCUGCGUUAAUUAAUCAUUCUUCUCUGACCGUCUCUUCAGGUUCAUUUCAAAAGUUUGAAGAUAGUUUAUCAAUUCUUCUACUUAUAAAAGCAAGUUAAAUUAAAAGAUUUUAAUCUCUCUUCUUAUUACUAUAAGUGCACUGUGCACGACAUUUUUUUACAAUAAACAAUGCCAAUUUGUAAUGUAAUGUUAUAUUCAUAUUCCCAUCGCGUCGAACUCUUUUUUUCCCUCUUUUUUAAAAGGAGACGGUGCGGUUUGGUUGUUCGCAAAAUUAGUGGUGUGGGGCUCUAUUUGCUUUUGUUUUCACUUUAUUAAUUAACUAGCGAAGCAAACAUGUAAUCAUUUGUAAAGGAGUCACUAGCACCGGAUUAUGUAAGAUGAAUUCGUAAGACUUAUUAAUUUCAAUUGAAAAUGUAGCGUUAUUAGGUUAUUAAUUCACUAAGUUAACUUGAGGUUCUAAUAUUUACUAAUUGUGGUGAUUAAUUUAUUUAACUUGUCAUAAUUUUCAUUUGAGAAUGAAAUUCAAUCAAUGUAUGAAAAAAGAUAAUUUUUUAAAAUUUUUAAUUCCUAUGAUUUGAUUUCACUUUUUUCCGGAUAUUGACGCUGUAAAAGCUUGCCCAAUGUCAUCAAAUGCUUGUAUCCCAUCUCACAAAUUAGCAAAUAUCAUUUGGUUUCUUUAUACGUGGCCAUCACAAAUUAAAAGUAACAACAUCCACCAUAUAUCGAAAAUUAAUUUUGAGAAUACUUUUGACUUUUAAAAGAAAAAUGCGAGUACAAUUUAAUAAGAGAGAACAAGAAUUGAUCAUGUCCCAAGAGACUGAAAAUAAGAUUAUAUAAACUUGAAUGCAGGCAUAUCAUAUGUUAAUCUUAAUUUUUUUUUGUUGCUGAAAAUUAAUUAAUUUGUUCCACUAUUCCUUUUUUAAUUGUAUGGUGAGAAACACAUUGGCCACUUCUGAAUCAUGUUGCAUAUUUGUUAACUCAAAGAAACAGUACACUUUUGUAUCAAUCAAACUCACUUUGUUAAUAUUCUUCAUUAUUAUGGUUAAUGGCUUAGCAAAUGUAGAAGGAGGAGUCAACCAAAAUGUAGCACUUUCUCUUGUAUUAACCUUUUAUUAAUUGUUGAAGUUAAAAAAAAUGUUAAAACAAGUUAAAAUAGUUCCAUCUCAAAAUCAGUAGGGUGUAAGUAGGUUGUUAUAAAUAUUUUUAAAUUUUAGUCUAAUUUAAUUGUGUGAUGCACAAACUUUCUCACUUCUUUCAUAUAAAUAAAGGGGAGAACUAUUUGAACUCAUUAAAUCACUUUUUAAAUUCCUCUACUUAUUAAGGCCAUCAUAAAAAUUCAAAAAUCCUUUUUAUACUCACUACAUCUCUUAAAAAUAUCGCAAAUAUGACACAUUUGUCUUCACCUUCUAUUUAUCUUCAACAUUCACAAUUUUUAUUUGAAUCUGUAAUAUGUUUAACACUGUUCAUUCACUCAUUAGAGUUCCAAUAAUAGAAUAUAGAGAUUAAAAAUAUCAUUAGCAAAUUAUUUGUUUGUGUUCUAUAUGAUAUUCUUGGUUUGGAAAAAGCUUCAUCGGCAAUAUAUGUAAAUAAAAGACUAAGAACUUCCAAUAAUUCAGAUUUGAUCGAAACUUCACAAACUUAUUUUCACUUAAAAAAAUAAAAUAAAGUAAAAGAAAUUCUCGUGUUUUAAAAGAAAAACUGCCAGACAUGUUUCUAAAACAACUAGAAACCAAACUAGGCUUGAAGCAGUGAGUUUUGAAUUAUAAAAAAUACAUAAUUGUAAUUUCACCUAAAUCAAAUGAUGAAUUUCAUGACAACGGAUUUAGACUAUAGACCAAUACACAAAGAAUUGGAUGUUCAUCGCAUUUGUUCUUGAAAUUGUUUUGCGCAAAAAAGUUAACUAUUGUAUUAUGUUGUAUUGCAUUAUUUUAAUAUAAGUGUAUUAUAUUAUGCUGUAUUGCAUUAACACUGUAUUAUAUUAAUACUAUACAACGUUUGGUUCUACAUUGUACUAUAUUAAUUUUUAAUUAUACAUACACUAUAUUAUGCUAUACUAUAUUAUUUUUUUGGUGGUUAAUUUCAAUUAUAUGUUUGGAAAUAAUAUUUAUUAGUACUUAGCAAAAUAUAAAAUAUAGAACCUUAAAUUUUAGAAUAUUUACAUCAAUUUUUUUUAGUAUAAAUGUAAAUAAUUAUAAUAAUUCUUCAUUAAACUUAUGUAAAAAUAACAAAUUCUGAAUUUUUGCUAUCGUAACAUUUUUUUUUUAACGGCGUUUUUCAAAUGUAUACCUUAUUGAUGAUGCACCAUAAAAAUAAAUAUCAAAUUUUGCGAUCAUGAUCAAGUCGAGUUUUACAUUAUGAAAGCAUGACACAAAAAUUGAAAAAAAUAAUGGCCGGCAAAAAGUUAUACAAGCAACAACAAAAGUGCUAAUUACUCGGAAAAUAAACAAUCAAGAGCCGCUGAUAGAUAUGAGUCAUAUGACAAGGUAGAGGAAUACAGAUAUCUGCAUACAUUUUUAACAAAGAUCAUCUUUGUAACCAAUUGUUGGCUUUGGCAUUAAAAGAUCAUCUUUGUAACCAACUGGGUAGCUAUAAAAUGAAUACUAAGUCAAUCAAACGGGAAAGCUUGCUACAAGACUUUGAAGCAUUAUUCUGUUGCAUCACCUUCCUCCUCUGCCUCACUUCCUGCAUCCCAAAUUAAAGAACAACAAAUAUUAAAUAACAAAAACAAAAUCUUCAAUAGACUUUUCAUACUCCAUGGAGCAAAUCUAUGGGAAUCCACAAAAUAAUUGAAAUAUAUCAAUGCUGCAGGUCAUAGUAACAAAUUACAGAUACACAAUCAUGCAUAUGCAACUAAAAAAUGCUUAUUUAUUACAGCCGCUUUUUGGCAUGACUACUUCAUAAGUUAUAUAUGAUAGAUAACAUUAUUAUUCUAAUCACAUGGUUAUGAUUUUAGUUGGACAUACAAAAGCUACGUGCAUGAAUCUGUAUCAUGCCACCUUUCAUGAGUCAAAAAUUUAAAUCAAAUCAAUUUGGUUGAGCCUUCAAAUUCCUAUUCCAGUCAAAGGAGAUGAUUUUUCCAAAGGUAAAGAAUGAGUCCGGUUACUUAAGCAUGUCAACCUUUUUUCUAGGCUAAGGUUUAUCCCUUUCCAUUUCACUAACUCUCCUCUCACUACCUUGCGUCAACAUUUGCAUACUUGAUAUACUUUCACAACCUUAAUCUAAUACUUUCAUUUAUGCUGAUAUAAAGAAGAAGUUUGAUUUAAAUCUGGACAGGUAACAAGAUUAAAAAACUGCCUUGUAGUAGAGCCAAUUCUUCCAACAAACAUUUCUUGAACCAAUAUCUAAGAUUAAGCUGGAUCACGUAAGACAAAUAUGCCAAGAAGAUUUUUAACUCACCUGACACUAUGGAUCUCCAAAUGUACUCAAUUAGCUUAGGUAAGCCAUACUUCUUCUCAAUUAUGAGCCCAGUAAAUAGGACCCGAAAAACUUGCAUUCCUCUGCUGACAUUCAUUUCAGUGUUGCAAGAAUUACAGAUUCCAUGACCAUGGACUGAAGUUCUUUUGUUAAGACAGGCGCAAGAGAGUACGCCCCUAUCCCACUAGUAUUUGGCCCGGUGUCACCAUCACCAACUUGUUUAUGGUCCUGACAAGACAUUAGAGGUAUGGGCGUAUGGCAUUCUCCCCAUCCACGAAGUCCUUUAGAACCAAAAGCAUUGUUUACAAGCAUCGAAUCAACAACUUCUAUGAAUCAUCCAAUGUCAUAGUUAGAGCUGGUAAAAUUUGACACGAUCCAAUUAUUCGACACGAACACGACACUAAUAAAUGGGUAUGGGUCGUCAAAUUUAACACGAUUAUUAAAUCGGUCGGGUCCGGGUCAACACGAUUUUUUUCCGUGUCGGGUUAGGGUUAAAAUUCUUGACCCAUUUACCCGAUCAAUGACUCGAUUAUAUUUUUUAUUUUAAAAUAAUUUAUAGAUUCUUGUCAUCAAAACUUAAAUAUUAGAGAAUUUUUUUUUAUUCUUUAAAAAGAUGAAUAUAGACACAAUAUUUUAUUUAUAAAAUUUUAAAUAUAUUUAGAGCUUUAAUAAUGUAAAUGUAUAAAAUAUUGGUAGAUACGUAUAUUUUAUAAUAUUGAUAUAUAAUAUUAUUUACAUAUAUAUAAUUAAAACCUCAAUAAUGUGUGUAAUAUUUUAGUAGAUAUGAAAAUUUUAUAAUACUGAUAAAUUAUGUAUGUAUGGAUGGAUGUUGAGACAAGCUAGAGAAGCCAUGAAUGAGAUUUUUCCUUUGACUCCUGCUAUGUGGCAAGAAUUUGCGAGAGAUGAAGCCUCUAUUUCAACCGGGUAUCUGUCAUUUCCUUUUUACAGUGGUUUUUGAUUUUGUGAACAAAUACUUUUUUUUUCGCUUAGAGAUAUAGAUGUUUAUGUUAGUUAUUUGCUAAUGUAAAAAGGAACAAAAACUGCUUAAAAGGUAUUAAAGAAAGAAAAAAGGAACCAAUUUGAAGAAGGGGAUACUCAUAGCGGGAGUUCUGCUUUGGGGUUUAAUUGAUGGGAAGAAGAAAUAGUUUAUAUGUUUACAGAAUUAAACAAUUGAUCACUGAGUUAGUUGAGGAAGAUAAUUAAUCACAAUGUCUGAAGCUGUUGCUGUUGGCGUCACCUAUUGUUAAGAUUUCAUCCUUUUUUAUGGUUUUACAUAGCUGUGACCUAAAGCUUAAUGUAUACGUUGAUAAUUACAUAAUUGGUUUCUUGCUGAUACUUGGCUUUAAUUUGUAAGCCUGAGGCUCUUUCGGGAAUUGAGAAGAUUUACGGAAGAGGAGUUUCUGAUUAUCUGGUUUGUUCUCUUUAUGCUUACAGAAUUUGAAUUAACGCUCUGCAUGAAUUUAUGAUUCAUUUUUUUUGGAGAAAUAUUUUAUGAAAUUGAAGCAUUGGAGUAAAGCGUACUAGUCGUAAGCUUGAUUCACUUUGUUUUGAUUUUAUUACCAAGAGGUGCUAACAGUUCAUGAUGCAUAAAAGAGGGGGAAAAAAACUCUUCUUGGUAGAUACAUAAAUUUUAGUUUCUGAAUCAUUUUCAACGAAAGAAAUAAUUUUACAGAGGCUGAAGAGCAGCAUUUUCAUUUAUAUGAAAGUUCAAUUGUUAUAUCAUCUGUUUCCAUAUCUUUUGUGGUAAAUAAAGUCCUUGAUGAUGGCAUAAGAGCACAGAAGAGUUGUUAGUUUCAUAUGUGGAGAUUUUCAUCAUAGUAGUUCAUUGAAAGUGAAGGCAGCUGAAUACCCUUUUUUCUGAUGCAGUCUGUCCCUCUUUGGUGUGAUUAUUUAAAAUUUGUGCAAGAAUAUGAUCCAUCUAUACGCGAAUGUUUACCCAAUGGCACUUCAAAGGCAAGGAAUCUAUUUGAGCGGCUAUUACUGCUGCUGGUCUGCAUGUUUUAGAAGGCAGUGAAAUAUGGGAAUUGUACAGAGAAUUUGAGCUAGCUAUAUUUAGUAGGAUUGAUAAGAUUAACUUGAAUGUGAAAUAUUUUAAUUUAUUUUACUUUUUUUUGGGCUUAAAUAACGAGUUUAUUCCCAUCUAUAGAAAGAAAAAGGGAAGGUUUUUUUUUUUUUUGCUGGGGGGGGUGUUUCCAACCCUAGCACAUGACAAGCAUUCCAAGACCCUUGCUGCUUGUUUUGCAGGAAAAGGAAAAACAGGUUCUGCGGAUUCGAAGUAUAUUUCAUCGCCAGUUGUCUGUUCCCCUUGCUAACUCAAGUGCAACUCUUCUUGCCUACAAAUCUUGGGAGCUCAAACAGGGGGCUGUUCUUGAUGUUGAAUCUAGUAAUGUAGAUGGGAUUUCUUCUAAUGUUGCCGCAGCAUACCAAAAGGCAUUGGAGAUGUGUAAUGCACGAGCUCAUGUUGAAGAGCAGAUUUCUAGGCAGGAUUUAUCUGACUCAGAGAAAUUUCAACAAUACAUGGCAGAUGACUUUACUAUCGUCAUUUGAUAGCUUUUUAUAGUAAGUGAAAUCCAGCCCUAAAAAUUUUAUUAAUAUGAAUAUUUUUUUGGGGGGAUUUCUUCUUAUGGCAUUAUUAUUUUGCUUUUGUGUAGCUAACAAUUAAUAUGUGCACUUUAAAUAUUAUCUAUUGUUUCUUAGCAAAUAAUAGUAAUAAUAAUAAGUAAUAAAUAAUUAAUAUCUGCAUUGUCAAAUAAUAAUAAUAAUAAUGUCUGCUCUUUUUACUCUUGGGGGGGGGGGCAUGCAGUGUCAUUAUCUUCCUUCUUCUCCUUUUUCUAUUUUGUGCUUUCAAGUUUAAUAUUAUUAUAUUAAUCUGUUAUUGUUGUAGAUAUACUUGAAGUAUGAGCAAUCUUCUGGAGAUCCUGGUAGAGUUCAACUUCUUUAUGAACGGGCUAUUACCGACUUUCCUGUAUCAAGUGAUCUCUGGCUUGAUUAUACUCGUUAUCUUGACAAAACAUUAAAGGUUUAUCCUUCUAUUUUCUAUUUUACUUCUUCUGUUGCAGCUAUUUGUAUACUAAUCGACUCUCCUCUUCAGGUUGGUAAUGUUGUGAGAGAUGUUUAUUCCAGGGCUACAAAAAAUUGUCCCUGGGUAGGAAAACUUUGGGUACGAUCUUUGCUUUCUCUGGAACAUGGCCGUGUUUCUGAGGAGGAGAUAUCCACUGUAGGUUUAAUUGUUACCCUUCAUUCUGAGCUUAAUCAAUUUUCCUGAAUGUAUUCAUUCUGAGCUUAAUCAAGUUUCCUGAAUGUAAUUGAUUUUGAUUGUUUGAAGUUAAAGAAAUGAUCAGCUUCCUAGGCAAAUUUCUUGGCAAGCACUUGAUUGUGGGAGUAACUGAGGAGAAGCAUUCCCUAGUGUUUUUUUUUGUUUUUCUCCUCCCCUAAAAUUGCAAUAUACUUCCCUUGAAGAGUAUUUUUUGCUUUAGCAUUUACACAUCUGUACAGAAGCAAACAUGAAUCAGAGAGAUUUAGUGGGCAAAUUCACCUGUGCUGACAAAUUAAAGCAUAUUAAAUACCGCGGUGGUUGUUGGAAUGCUCCAAAAAGUGUUUUCUUGGUGCUCCUGCUCCUUUUGCACUUUCAUAGUGUUUUAAUAACUGGGUUGUUUAAAUGUCCUGUACUUAUUUUCUUUACAAAUGUCUUUGUAUUUUUUUAAAUUUAUAAAAGAUUGUUCUAAUUAUAUUAAUAGCAACAAAUUGCGCAAACUCAAAUCUUAAUUUCAUUCUGCCCCUAUUACAUAUAUACGGGAUUCUCCUAUUAUUUCAUCAAAUUUUCCAUUACUAAUUUCAGGUCUUUGAGAAGUCACUACUAUGUACUUUUUCAACCUUUGAGGAGGUAGAGAUAUAAUCUUAUGUCUUCUGUACAUACCUUGGUUUCUUGAGCUGUAUGAUUUGGUAUAUAUCUACUUCUGAUUCAUCAUGCAUUUUUUUGUUAACUGGUUCUUUUUUGUUUGAGUACCUAGAUCUAUUCCUUACUUGAAUAGAUGGUUUGAGGUGGAGAAUUUUAUUCUCCGGUGAAGUUGAGGGCGCCUUGGAUUAUUCAUUGAUAACGGAAACCCUUCAGGUUUGUAAACUUAUACUGUUGGCUAUUCAAUAUUAAAAUUGGUUAUACUCCUUAAUAUCAAGAAAUUGAAGCUUCCCAAAUCAUACCCAAGAAAUGCUCUAUUGUGGAUUACUGGAUGGAGCUAGUUGCUAGAUGAUACCUUUAAGAUUCAAGACAUAUGUUGUUUUGUGUAUGGCUAUCAAGUACUUUGGCCUGCAAUUGUGGCAUAUUGGUCUUACGCCAGCAUCAGGUAUAACAUUGUGUCUGGCAUAUAUACCAUUGGAAUUCUGGGUUUCUGUUGAGUGGGCUCCAACAGCUAUAUUUGUGUCCAAUGUUGUGGGGUCCUCUUCUUUGGUGCUUUUAAGUGAAGUUUUAACUUUCCUUGUCAAAAUUUUGUUACAAAUCAAGUAGAAGGCACUGCACUGAAGCAUUGGUACUUCUAGAUUGCUUGUUUUGCAUGGUAGAUUUCAAUCCAUUGCUUUUAUUUCUUGGAUCAUGUUUAUCAUUGAGGACUUUCUUGGCCAGUCAUAGAGCUGACUAGUGCUACCAUCAUCAUUGGUAGGGCAAAAAAGUCAAUUCCUAUGGGAUGCUUUCUGACUUAGAGAAGAUGUCUUCAAGAAUUUGUGGAUUUAAGUCUUCACACGAUGUUCAACUCUUGAUAGUCUAACCUUGGUACAGGAUUUAUAGCUGUCUUCCAAGUUUGUGCUCAUAAAUGAGUAACCUGUCUGUCUUUAUGAUACCAGUUAAAUUUGUUAGCUUUCCGGGAUUUGGAGGUUGUAAAUGUCCAUAAACAACAAUGUCUUCUCUUCCUUACAGCGUGCAUCAGAUUACUUGUCAGAACAGAUGAAAAAUAACAAUGGUUUGCUGCGUUUGUAUGCUUAUUGGGCACGUCUUGAACAAACUAUGGGAAAAGAUACGGUUUCAGCUCGUAGUGUCUGGGAGAGGCUACUUAAGAUCAGGUUCACCAAUUUUAAUUUUUGCCAGUGCAUACAUAGCAAAAUUUCUUUAUAUCUAUAUAUUUUCGGAUAACUUGUGCUUCUCUUAAUGCAGUGGUACAAUGUUGGAAGCCUGGCAAAGUUAUAUAUCUGUGGAAAUUGAAUUGGGUCAUAUUAAUGAAGCUAGAUCCAUCGACAAGAGAUGCUACAGUAAAAGAUUUACAAGGACAGGUUCAGAGGUAAAUUUCUUUCAUCCUGCUUCUUUAAUGAAUAUUAACUGCUUAACAACGUACCUUGUUGUUUCCAUCUUGUUUGUUUAACUGGUCUUAUUUGUAAACACCUGAAAUCAUACAUCUUAAUUUCUGAUAAUUAGAUGUUAUUUUAGAUAUCUGUAUCUGUUAAUGUUCUUUCAAGUCUGAUUCCAAUGCAUAUUUAGUUAAACUGCUCUUUACUGCAUUUUGGAUUAGUUGAUAUCUUCCUUUCCUAAAAACAGAAUCAUUCAGGACAUAUGCCAUGCUUGGCUGCAAUUUGAAUGGGAAUUUUGUAUAAAAUUUUUAAUGAAUUUAUGGGUUUGAUGAGUAAAAUUAGGGGUUCAUAUAGACUCACCCAUAAAUUGAACCCUUAUUUUAUGUUGAUGCACAACUUAACUUAACAAAAAUAAUGUUCAAAUUGUCACAAAAUUUGAAAAAAAAAUCAUACAGUUAAUUUUUCUUCUACUUUACUCCAUUAUUCAAUGGGCAUAUAAUAAAUUAGGAGAGGGGAGAAAUAAAGGGGAAAAUUAGAGUAUUGUCGCAAUGAUACACUGAUACAAAUGCCCAUUGAGUGAUUGUCAAUGGGCAUAUAAUAAAUUAGGAGAGGGGAGAAAUAAAGGGGAAAAUUAGAGUGAUUGUCACAAUGAUACACUGAUACAAAUGCUUAUGUAUGUGUAGUGUGUGUGUGGGGCGUUCUUUAAUUUGACCAAAAAUAAAUGCAUUUAUUUGUAUUUUUAAUCAAAAUCGAGGGAUAUAAACAAAAAUUUUACCACUCCAGAGUCCAGACAUGUAUCAUUGCCUCGUUAAAAAAAAUUGCAUAAAAUUAAAAAACCAUUAGUGGCUGAAAGAGAGAAACAAAUUAAGAAAGGGUUCAAAAGAUGGAACCCGAAGAGAAAACCCUAGCAACAAUCCCAGAAGAAGAAGAAGAAGAUGGAGACACGGCCAUGCCCGACGUCAAGAACAACCCUAAACCAACAACAACAGCCAACUCUUCGGACUCGAGCGAUGCCUCUGACUCAGACUCGGACUCUGACUCAGAAGAUGAAGCAAAACAGAACAUGGAGCUUCAAACCCUAGAGUAUCAGCUAUCCAAUGAACCCUCCAAUUACGACACCUAUGUUCAAGUAACUUCAAUACACAUAUUUAUUGAGUGAUUUUGUGGAUAACCGUUUGCUUGUUCUUUCUUGGGUUGUGAUAAAAAUGGUUUUUAUCUUUUUUUUUUCAGUAAAUAAAGGUUUUGAGAAAAAUGGGUGAGAUAGAGAAAUUGAGACAAGCUAGGGAAGCCAUGAAUGAGAUUUUUCCAUUGACUCCUGCUAUGUGACAAGAAUGGGUGAGAGAUGAAGCCUCUAUUUCAACUGGGCAUCUGUCAUUUCCUAUUGCAAUGGUUUUUUAUUUUGUGAGCAAAUGUUUUUUUUGCUUAGAGAUAUAGAUGUUUAUGUUAGUUAUUUGCUAAUGUAAGAAGGAACAAAACCUGCUUAAAAGGUAUUAAAGAAAGAAAAAAGGAACCAAUUUAAAGAAGGGGAUACUUAUAGUGGGAGUUCUACUUUGGGGUUUAAUUGAUGGAAAGAAGAAAUAGCUUAUAUGUUUACAGAAUUAGACAUUUGAUCGCUGAGUUAGUUGAGGAAGAUGGUUAAUCACAAUGUCUGAUGUUGUUUCUGUUGGCCUGAACUAGUUGUUAAGAUUUCAUACUUUCAUUCAACAAUACAAUAGACUUUGAUUGGGUCCACCGUAGUUGGGUGUUCUGAGGAAUCAAUGAGUGUCUUGAGAAAACUUGGGUGGAGUGCUGGUCAUUUUCAGGAUUCAGUUUCCAAGAAAACAAAAAUGAAGUCGUAGUUGUAGUUUAAAUUAAUUUAUGUUUUUAUCUUUUUCUGUGAGCCCAGUGAGCUUUUAUUUUCACUUUGUUCGCUUUUGUUUCUUUCCCUUCUUUUCCUACAGUUUCUUGAUAAUCAAACAGAUCAGGAUUAAGUGUUUACUUUUGGUUAGGGGUGGGCGUUCGGUUCGGGUUAACCCGAACUAAACCGAACCUGAAAUUUAUUUCGGGUUCGGUUCGGUUUGGGUUAACUCGUGCAACCCGAACGGAUUCAAAGCUUCAAUCUGUUCGGGUUAAAUUUCGGUUCGGGUUCAACCCGAACCGAAUUUUCAACCCGUUCGGGUUGAAGCUUUUUUUUUUUUAAAGAUUUAGCUUUUAAAUUAAAAAUAUAUAUACAUUAAUUAAACCAAAAAAUCCCUAAAAAUGAAAAAUCCCUAAACAAAAAUCUCUCCCUCUCGGCCUCCCCCUCCUUGCUCCCUCUUCUCACUUCUCAGUUCUCACUUUCUGUGAACUGUGGUUGAUGACAUCAGCACUUCAGCAGCAGCCACAGCAGCCCCGUUCAGCUCCAACAGACACCAGCCGGCCUCAUCGUCUCACUCCCUCCCCCUCCUUGCUCCAUCGUUUCACUCCCUCCCACGACGACAACACUCACAGGCCACAACAGCAGCCAGCAGCCCCGUUCACAGCAGCCCACUCGCGUCAGCCAGCACGCCUCGCCCGCAACUGCGCUGUGCGUUCAGCUCGCGUCCCACUCAGCCCAGGAAGUCUCGAUCUGCCAACGCUGUAGCUGCUCUGACCUCCGAGAUUAAGGUUUGUCUUGCCUUGCCGACGGCGACGCUGUAACUUGCUGACUUGCACGCAACUGAUGGCAACAACCCGAAUUGAAUUUUAAGUUUUUAACAGCCUGUUGCUAUUAAUUAAAUUGUAAAUUUUUAAUUAAUUGAUUGACAAUUAUUCAAUUAUUUGAAGUGGGUUUGUUGUUGUUGAUUGAUAAUUGAACCCGAACUAAUCCAAACUAACCCGAAUUAACCCGAACCGAAAUUGUAACCCGAAUUAUCAACCCAAUCCGAUCCGAAUUGUCAAUCCAAACCGAACCGAACCGAAUUGGUUCGGGUUGGCGUUUUCAACCCGAUUGGGUUCAAUUCUCCAACCCGAACGGGUUGAAACCCAAACCGAAACCCGAACAACCCGAACCGAAACCCGAAACGCCCACCCCUACUUUUGGUGUAAUUAUUCACUCUAACUCGAAUAGUACUUAGGUUUAGUGCUAACAAAAUAGGAAGUGAAUUAAUAUCUGAAGUUGACCUAGGAGUGGAAUGAAUGUUACCAAAAAUAUACUAUAUGGUAGAUAGAAUUUGCCUUUUAGGUAAGACAAAAAUAAUUACAGCUGUUAAUUUAUUUCAAUAAGUUCGUACAUCAUUGAAUAAUAAGUCCAAGAUUUUAAUGGUUUUGUUUCCUGAAAAUUUGUCACGAGUGCAUGAACAAAGUUCUAUGGAUGAACUUCUCUUAGUUAAUUUGAGUUCAAUGUCGCAGUUCCUCAUAUUAACUAUAUAAAACACUAAUCUUGCUCUUUACUUUGGAGCAUUUUAAUAAUUGAUGCUAAUUCCUUAGCCAUUUUAUUCAUCUUGUGCAUAAAUUAUGCAAUCAAUAAGCCAACUCCACUUUCAUCUUUAUUUAGUGAAAAAUUUGCAAGGUCACUAGGAGGUUUUUGUAUGUCUCAUGCUAACAUGGACGCCAUGGUUUCACUAUGUAAAUUUUCCCCACUGAAAUUCAUGAUCCCUCAUAUACCACUCAUCACUCAUGAAGCUGUUUCUGGGGCUUUAAAAGCGCCAAAUUUUAGUUUUAUCCUUUCUAGCUUAUUAACCUGUCCGCAUCUGCAUUAUUAUCUUUCCUGUCAUACGAAAGUUUCAUUUAUCAUCUUCCCAACAUAAACAUCCGUAGGUCAUUGUUGACUUUUUUGCUUUGACACUUAUUGUUUCUAAGUAUAGGCUACCAAGGGAGAAAAAAAUUGACAUUGAUGGUCAUCCCCAGCAUUUUUAUCCCAGGAGACUGGUCAUUCACUUUCUAUGAAGGACUAUAUAGACAUCCAGACUCUAUUUUGAAGGACAAAGCUGUGGCUGAGCUUGGUUGUGGAAAUGGAUGGAUAACCAUUGCCAUAGCUGAGAAGUGGUUGCCUUUGAAGUUUUGUUGGUUUGUCGUCCUUAUGCCAUGUGAGAGCUUUUAUUUCCUUCCCUACCAGUGCCUUCAGGGGCUCCAUCAUGAUUUCUCUCAUCAUUUUCUAUCUCUGUGUUUUGCAAGGCCAUUUGAUAUUUAUAACAGCAUUGGCACCAGGUUAUGGUGAUUUAAUGCACUCCUAUUAGGAAAAAUUACAUAAUUAUCAACUCUGUCCUUGUCCAAAAGUCUUUGUUGGAGUAUGUUGAAAAUAUAACCUUGUAGGAGUUCUUUUAUGCUGUCUGAAUAUCCUAUUGCAGGUCUAUGGCCUUGAUAUUAAUCCCAGAGCAAUAAAGAUCUCUUGGAUAAAAUUGUACUUAAAUGCAUUAGAUGAAUCUUUUUCUAAGCUUUUCUGUCACUGUCACUGCAAAAGGUCUUUUGUAUUGAGGGUUAUCUGUGGGGCUAGGAAAGGUCAGCCCAUCUAUGAUGCGGUGAAGAAAACCUUACUGGAUAGGGUGGAGUUUGAUGAAUCUAAUCUCCUAGCAUAUUGUAGACAUCAUGACAUUCAACUUGAAUGAAUAGUGGGGUGCAGACCUCAGGUACUCUCACUUUCUGCAACUCAUGAUAUUUCUAGGGGAUUAAAUUUUAGUGAAGUUUGUUUACCCAACAUCAAGUUGGAAUUUUAGUGUGCCCACAUGGAUUACUUUUAACUCCUAGUUUAACUUAUUCUGUUGUCUCCAUGCAGGUUCUCAACCCCAAUUCCAAUGCAAUGUCGAAAAUAAUCACUGAAAAUGCAAGCGAGGAAUUUCUGUAUUCAUUGAGUAACUAUUGUGGAUUGCAGGUUGGAAGAUAUUCUAAAUAAUUUAAUUGUGAUGCGCAAUUGCAAUUGCCGGGAAGUUAGCAAUUAAGUUGAUAGGCUUCUUCUGGUUUCACAUAUUUCUAAGUAACAACUUUGGUUUGAAGCUUGCAUACCUUAGGUAAGGUUGAUGUCUUUAGUUGGUCAAUAUCAAUUGGGAAAUAUAGCUAACCAGUGAAGACAGUGGGAAAAGGAUGAUGUGAGUUUGACAAAUGCUGGGAGGAGAUAGGGAAACUUAAUCUGAAAGAUUUCUUUUUUUUUCUUGGUUUAUUUAUUUAUUUACUCGUGUGACCUCUUCACAAUGCCAUUGAUUCCCAUAGUUCAUGUUGCUAGGUGAACUUAACAACAACCAUCUAUUAUGCCUUGUGGAUAACUGAGAAAAUUUAUUGCUUUGGACAAGUUGCUUUUUGAAAUAGAGUGCAAGUAGAUUGACUAAUAAUGAACUUAUUGUAUCAAGUUGUUACAUUUGAAUAUAUUAAGGUCAUAUAAAGCUUACUUGUUAUACUUCUUUUUUUCUUUUUUCCCUCCCCAUUUCCCUGUAUGGAGGGUUUCUUGGACGAUCAGUUUGGCUUAGGUCUAAUUUUCUCGAGCAGUUAAGGAAUUACUGUUAUCAAAAUAAAGUUUCCUCUCACUCACUAGCCAAUUGAGCAGCUCGUCACCGGUCGGAUUCAUUGCCGAUUGCAGCCCACCUCCAUCAUGUCAGUUCAGUAGCUUGUCGCUGCAGUCAUGAUCGGCCUCUUUGUUGUCGUUGAAGAACCAAUCAAUAAUGAUGAUGAUUGAUGAUGAUGAUGAUUACCAUUGUUGAUGAUUAAUAUUAUUGAUGAUGAUGAUGUAGAUGAUGUAAUUGCGGUGAGAUGAUGAAGAUGAAACUGAAUUGUGAUGUUGAUAAUGAAAUUGACAGAAGGAAGAAGAAGAUUGUGAAAAAUCUGACUUCUUCACUCGUAUUACAUUAGAGAAGAAUACAUAUUUAUAUACAUUACACCCUAGGAAUAAAAUGGUAAAAAAAAAACAGCUAAGAUAUUGCAAAUCAGUAUCCCUGAAAAUUAGGGAUUAUAUAUCCUAAAAUCUAGUAUUUAAGUCAACACAUAGCUGUAAAAUACAGCUAACAUCUACAACAAUAGUCAACACACAGCUGUAAAAUACAACUGACAUCUGCAACACUCCCCCUCAAGCUGGAGCAUAGAUAUUCUUCAUGCCUAGCUUGCAUACAAACUCUUCAAACUUGUGUCCAUGCAUUCCUUUUGUCAACAUAUCUGCAGUUUGUUGUCCUGUUAGAAUAUACACCAAACAGAUAACUCCAGUUUCCAAUUUCUCUUUAAUAAAAUGUCGGUCUACCUCCACAUGUUUUGUCCUGUCAUGAUGGACAGGAUUAUGGGCAAUAUUAAUUGCUGCCUUAUUGUCACAGUAAAGUUGCAUAGAACUAUUUUUUAUUAACUGUAGUUCUUUGAGAACACGUUCUAUCCACAUAAGCUCACAUACCGCAUGUGCUAGUGCUCGAAAUUCUGCUUCUGCACUGCUUCGUGCCACUACAGUUUGCUUCUUGCUUCUCCAAGUUACAAGGUUUCCCCACACCUUAGUACAAUAACCCGUUGUAGACUUCCUAUCCAUGAUGUUUCCAGCCCAAUCCGCAUCAACAAAAGCUUCUACAUUCCUUUUUUCUCCCUUCUCAAAAUAAAGUCCCUUUCCCGGUGUUGACUUCAGGUAUUGAAGUAUUCGGUUUACUGCCACUAAGUGAGCUUCUUUUGGGGCGUGCAUAAACUGGCUCACUAAGCUAACCGCAAAAGCAAUAUCAAGUCUAGUAUGGGAAAGAUAAAUUAAUCUCCCUACUAGCCUUUGAUAUCUCCCCCUCUCCACGGGUGCACUAUUUUCUUCAAGACCCAACUUGCUAUUUGGUUCAAUUGGUGUGGCAGCAGGUUUACAGCCAAUCAUACCAGUAUCCUUUAGCAAAUCUAGGGUGCAUUUCCGUUGUGUAACUAGAAUACCUUUAGCUGUUCUAGCUACCUCCAUUCCCAAAAAAUAACGUAGUGGUCCAAGAUCCUUGAUUUCAAACUCACCAGCUAAUUUUUCUUUUAAUCCUUCCAGCUCUUCUUUGUCAUCUCCUGUUAGUAUAAUGUCAUUAACAUACACGAUCAAAAUAGCUAACUUCCCUUCUUUAGACCGUUUGUAGAACAUAGUAUGAUCGGCUUGCCCUUAAGAAUAACCAUAGUUCUUCAAGACUUUCCAAAUCGAUCGAACCAAGCCCUAGGGGACUGUUUAAGGCCAUAGAGAGACCUUUUUAACCGACAAACUCUUCCAGCAGGUCCUUUUUCUUCAAAACCAGGCGGCAUAUCCAUGUAAACUUCCUCUUCCAAUUCUCCAUUCAAGAAUGCAUUCUUGAUAUCAAGUUGGUUGAGAGGCCAAUCUAAAUUUGCAGCAAGAGAGAGAAGGAUCCUUACAGUAUUAAGCUUUGCCACUGGAGCAAAAGUUUCUAGAUAGUCCACCCCAUAGGUUUGUGUGAAACCUUUCGCCACGAGUCUUGCUUUAUACCUGUCCACACUUCCAUCAACCUUAAAUUUGACUGUAAAUACCCACUUGCACCCCACAGUCCUCUUGUCUUUAGGUCUUGGUACAAGCUUCCAUGUGUUAUUCUUUAUUAAGGCUGCCAUUUCUUCUUAAACAGUUUUCUUCCACUCAUUUGACUCUAGGGCUUCAUGGAUGUUUCUUGGAAUAGUGGUAUUAGAUAGACUGGCCACAAAAUUCCUAUACUCCUUAGAUAGAUUUGCAUAUGACAAGAACUUGUUGAUAGGAUGUUUAGUGCAAUUUCUUACCCCUUUCCUUAUCGCAAUAGGCAAAUCUGUGGACUUCUGAGCUUCGUUCUCAGCAUAUUCAGUAGGUGGGUUUUGAUCCUCCCUUAGUUCAGAUCUCGGUUCUGCUUGGUCUAUAAGUGGCUGUACCUCUUGAGUUUUAUUCUUCUUUCGUGAAUAGACAUGAAACUCGCCUAUAGGUUCCUCCAAAUGUGAAUUGGUUUUUAUUCCUUCAUUCCUUGGUGACACUAUUGGUUGAUUAAGUUCUAUGGUGUUAGGUAGGUUAGGAUGAAUGUCUGGACUGAGGAAGGAGGUAUUUGGUAGAUUGAGUUCUAGGCUGGAAUUACUGGACAUAUUAGGUUCUAGGCUGGAACAUCUGGACAUAUUGGGUUCUAGGCUGGAACUACUGGACAUAUUGGGUUCUAGGCUGAAAUUACUAGGCAUCUUAGGUUCUAAAAUGCCAAGAAGAUCCCAGGAAUUAUCUUCUCUCAAAUUCUGCCCCUGAAGAGAAUUACUCGUGUAAAAAGGCUGAUUUCAAAGAACUUGACAUCCAUUGUGACGAAUAAUUUUUUGGUAAGAGGAUUAUAACACUUGAACCCUUUCUUGGUAGGAGAAUAUCCUAGAAAUAGGCACUUGAUGGCUCUAGGAGACAACUUUGUUCUUUGAAGACUCGGAAGAUAUACAAAGGCUGUACAACCAAAAGUUUUGAGUGCAAAAUUAGAGGUAACAAGGUGAUUUUGUGGGUAGCUGUCAAGAAAAACAAAAAUAGGUGUCUUGAAUUUAAGAACUCGAGAGGGCAUACGAUUUAUGAGAUAAGAUGCUGUAAGAAUGGCCUCUCCCCAAUAUAUUUUUGGUACAUUAGUUGUGAACAUAAUGACCCUAGCAACCUCUAAAAGGUGUCUGUUUUACGUUCUGCAACCCCAUUUUGUUGUGGUGUUUCGGAACAAGAACUUUGGUGGACAAUUCCUUGUUGUGAUAGGUAAUUCCCUAAAAUAGAAUUGAAAUACUCAGUUCCAUUAUCUGUACGGAGUACACGAUUUUCAGUUUGAAACUGAGUUUUUACCAUGACAUGGAAUUGUUUAAAAGUUUGUCCAGCUUCAGAUUUUUCCUUCAAAAGGUACACCCAAGUGGUCCUAGAGUGGUCAUCUAUGAAUGUUAUGAACCAUUUUGCUUUUGACAGGUUGUUAACCCUUGAGGGGCCCCAAAUAUCACUAUGAAUCAAAGAGAAAGGCUGGGAUGGUUUAUAAGUACGGGUAGGAAAUGAAACACGUGUUUGUUUAGCCAUUUAACAAAAGUCACAAUAUAAUAAACUCAAAUUUUGAUUUUUAAAUAAGGAAGGAAACAAGGUUUUUAGAUAUGGAAAGCUAGGGUGGCCUAACCUAUAGUGCCACAACAUUAUUUCAGAAGAAACAAAUUCACAUUGAGAGACCUGAGCAUGUCCUUUCACGAGUCUUUUAUUCUCGAGAUAGUACAGUCCCUCAUAUUCCUUUGCAUUCCUAGUCAUCCUCCCCAAGAUUGGAUCCUGAAAUAGACAUUUAGAACCACAGAAUUUAGCUACACAGUUUGUGUCUUUAGUAAGUUUACUAACUGAAAGAAGAUUGCAUUUAAGAUUUGGGACAUGUAAAACUGAAAAAGAGUCAAACAAUUUGAUAGUUUUACUGUUCCUUUUCCAGCAACAGUGGAUAAUGAUCCAUCAGCAAUCCUCACUUUAUAAUUACCUGGACAUGGAGUGUAACUAGAGAAAAAUUGAGAAGACCCUGUCAUAUGGUCUGAGGUCCCUGAAUCAACAAUCCAAGAACCUUUUUCAAGGGAUUGGAUGCUAAGGGCUGAUGGGUUACCUGUAUGGACUGCAUUACAACUAGAGGAGGUCAAGUCAUUUUUAUUUGCUUGCUGAUUUUGUAUAAGGAGCUGUUGCAGCAUCUCAAAUUGAUCUUUUGCGAGGGCAAACUGAUUAGUUUUCUCUGUCACCAUUCCCUUUGCUUCUUGCUGCCGUUUUGGUUUCCAAUCUGCUGGCUUUCCAUGAAGCCUCCAGCAUGAGUCUCGAGUAUGCCCUUUCUUGUGACAAUAGUCGCAAUAGGGACGUUCUCCAUGUUUUUGUCCCUUUUGGUUAGCUGACUGAUCUGUCUUUUUGGUCACCAGCGCUGAUCUCUCCGCCUCAGGUUCCUUCACCAGUCCCAUCAUGACUCUCUUUCGACUUUCUUCACGCCCCACCUCAACAAAAGCUUCUCGGAUGGAGGGUAGAGGAUUCUUUCCUAAUAUUCUGCCACGAACUUCAUCAAGUUCUUUGUUGAGUCCAUAAAGGAAAUCAAAGAGACGUUCUUUAUCCAACAUCCUCUUAUUUUGAUGGCAUCCUCAGAGCAAUGCCAUUGCGAUUCAUAGUAAAGGUCAAGUUCAUGCCAUAUAUUGUUUAGAGAAUUGAAAUAUUGAGUCACUGAAAGACUCCCUUGCUUUUGGUCACGUAAUUGUGACUUGAUUUCAAAGAGCUGAGCUGCAUUCCCCAGGUCAGAGUAAGUUUCUGUCACGGCUUCCCAAAGCUCCUUCGCAGAUGGUAGGAAGAGAUAAGUCCUACCAAUAUCCACGUCCAUCGAGUUGAUCAACCAAGUUUGCACCAUUGAAUUUUCAGCAUCCCACUGUGGAUAACCUGGAUCCAAGACAUCAGGGGCUUUGGUUUCCCCUGUAAUAUACCCUAAUCGGCCUUUGCCACGAAGAAAUAGGGUGACAGAUUGAGACCAUUGCAAAAAGUUUCUGCCAUUUAACUUGUGCAAAGUUAUUUGCAAAGAGGGGUUUUCGGUACCUAAGGAGACCGAAGAGAUGUCCUGCCUUGUUACAGAACUGGAGGAAAUCUCAGAUUCUUGUGUAGGGUUUGUUGUCUUCUCCAUUGGAUGGGUUGAGAGUUUAGAAUGAGAAAAAAAUUCAGAGGCUUAGUUUAAAAGAGUUGCUCUGAUACCAUGUGAAAAAUCAGACUUCUUCACUUGUAUUACAUUAGAGAAGAAUACAUAUUUAUAUACAUUACACCCUAGGAAUAAAAUGGUAAAAGAAAAAAAAGCUAAGAUAUUGCAAAUCAAUAUCCCUGAAAAUUAGGGAUUAUAUAUCCUAAAAUCUAGUAUUUAAGUCAACACAUAGCUGUAAAAUACAGCUAACAUCUACAACAAUAGUCAACACACAGCUGUAAAAUACAGCUGACAUCUGCAACAAAGAUAAUUGUGGUGAUGAUGAUGAUGUUGAUGGAGAAGAUGAAAUUGACAUGAUUGAUGAUGAAGUAACGAAGAAUUUGUAAAACACACACACACACACACACAGAGAGAGAGAGAGAGAGAGAGAGAGAGAGAGAGAGAGAGAGAGAGAGAGAGAGGAGAAGAGGAUAAAAAAAAAGAUAGAGAAAAACAGGAGAGAAAAUAAUAACAAAAACAAAAGAGGAAAAUAAUUAUUAUUGUUAUUAUUAUUAUUAACAAUAACUUUCUUAAUAACCAUAAUCAUAUAAUAGAUAAUAAAAAUAGAAGGUAAUAAUAACUAAGGGUAUUUUAAUAAUUUAAAUAAUUUAUUGUAAUUUCAAGGUAAAGUAAAUAUAUUAAUGAUAAUACAGUUUAUUUUAAUUUUGAUUCUUAUAAUUGAAGUAAAUAAUUUAUUUUAAUUUUUAUUUCACAUUUUAAUUUUAUUCUAUUCUGAAUUAGUAAACGCAUCAUAAAAUCAUGUGAUUCUACUCUAUAUGUGAGAUUGAUUUUUUUCUUUAAGGCCUACGACAUCCCAAUACAAGUCUAUAUAGGACCAAGCUACUAAGUGGACGGUCAUAAAAACUUAAAAAGGCAUAAAAUUGGAUGGCCGUCUAAUUAAUUUCCCGUGACCUACAACAAAAAUUUAAGAAGGAACUCCGAUACCAUCAAUUCUGCAUUUUAAUUUGAAGUUGGAAAACAGUGAAAACAGAAGGAUCGGGUGAUUUAAUUUUAUACAUAUUUAAUCAAGUAAAAAUGGCACGUGCGUUGUAAUUUGCCCAGUUAUCUUACUUUGAAUAAUAACAAAGUUCAAAUUUUGUAUUCAGUGAAAAAUCAAUUCUAUAGUGAAAAACACUAGCUAGAAAAAAAUCUAUGUCCUGAUGUCUUAGUUUAUAAGCUCAAACAAUGAAUAGUAUACAUACAACGCAUGAUAGAACACAAACUCAUAUAGAUUUUUAGUUUUGAAAUUCAUUUCAGAAAAUCUGUUCUGUUCAACAGGUUAUAGAUUAUCAACUAAACUCUGCCCACAUUCUUAGCUCUGCCAUUGGAAGUACGCAACUCAGCUGCCCAUCGACCGCCAAGCCAUCAAGACAAUACCAAGAUACAACAUCAAUAAUAAUAACAUCAAGAAUUACAUAGAGGCCGUCGCACGUUACACCCACUCCAACAGGAAACUAAUUAAUACCCUCCAAGCUCCUCUGUUUCAAAUCCAAAUCCACUGCUCGACCAUUUACUAUGACGUAAGGUAUAUGGAUUAAUUAACAAGUGCCGAUAUUGUCCUCCAUCCUUUUGUGUACCUUUCUUCUGGCAAGGCCUUUUCUGGAAAGUAUUUGAGCUCCAGACAAUUGCAGAAUUUCAAUUUGCUGAGGUUUUGAUGAUCAGCAAUUGAAGAAGACAGGUGUUAAUAAUUAUGAAGAACUGGUGUAAUUUAUAUCAUGUAGGAAGCCCUUCAGUUACUUUUUUGACCGUGCUCAAGCUCUUUUAAGGGCUAAUAUUAAAAUUUCGUGAUAUUGUGCCAAAAGAGCUUCGUACGUCAUUGUAAACUGUUCAUCGUUAUGUGCUGCUUCCCCAUUUAAUUACAUUUAUUUAACAUUUUAAAGAUGGAAGUAGAAAUUAAAACUCAGUUUUUCAGAUAUGGCUCAUAUACAAUGCAAGUAUCAAGAUUUAAUUAGAGUUCAAUAUACAUGCGUCUAGUUUUUAUUGAGAGAAACAAAUCAUAAAUACUCAGGUGUUUCUAAAUGAUUGAAUAACGAUAUUAUUGUUAUUUAUAAAUUUAUAAGGAUAAAUAACUAAUAGUCCACCAUAAAUACCGAAAAGGGUCCCCAGCAUAACUUGAACAACUUUACUUGUGUUUGCUCAUUGAAUAAUGUUAUAAGAAAGAAAUACAUAUGUCAGAAGAUUCAUAGUAUAUUGGAGUGUUUUUUGUACUUGAAUGAGAAUGAAUGAAGGUAUGUUAAUUUACUUUAAAUAAUUGUCUAAAAGGAAUAGAAAUGCUCUAUAACAUACCAAAUACUACCUUAAUCAAAAUUUAUUUGACAAAAAUUUUUAAAAAAUGGAAUAAUUAACCCUAAUUAAAUAAUUGUCUUAUAUCACCAAACUCUUUUUUUUUUAAUUAAGCCAUCACCAAACUCUGUAAAGCAUAAAAUAUAAUAGGCAAAUUUGAGUUAAAAAAAAAUGAAGUUAGGAAAAUGACUUGCAUAUUGUCUUUGAUGAGCGCAUAAUUUUCUUUUAAAAAAAAUGUUGAAAUGAACUCAAACUCGUUAGUGCAACUUGUCGGUUUUAAGUUGUAGAUACGAGUGACAUGUCAUUUUAGCUGAACUAGAUUCCAGAGCUCACAUUUGGGCAGUGUCAUCCAAGAACAUUAAAACUCACGUGACUAUUGCACGCAUGGUUUAAGCUGAAAUGACGUUGCUAGCAGUCGUUUAAGGAAGGCCUUUAAGUGUCACAUGAGUUGCUCGUGAUAGGAGGUUAAAAGCUGUUGGUUUUGGAGGGAAACCCCUGAAGCUGUUACGCCUGCAUCUUCUGGUAUAUAAACGAGCUGGUUCUGGUGUCAUAGUCAGUAAUCAAGGAAAGAGAGAUAAAGCAUCUGUACUGAGAGAAAAUCUUGACAGGGUGGUCUCUGUAUUGUGUAUAAUUUCUCUAUAACCUUGGAAGCUUAAUAAAACUGCUCUCUGUGUUGGUUUUCUCCAGUGGAUGUAGGCACCCUUCAACAGGUGCUGAACCACUUAAGCUCGGUGUGUUCUUUGUCUUUGGGUUAUGAUCUUUGAUCUGUGCAUUGUUCUUUGUUAACGUAAGAUUAGUUCUUGAAUCUUUGAGUCAGAGUUGGGUCUUGGGGUAAGGUUAAUCUAGUAACUAAAGGUUAAUUUCACAACAAUUGGUAUCAGAGCUCUAAACUCUGAUUUCAAGGUUCAAGAAUGGGUUCAAAAGUGGAUCUUGAGAAGUUUACGGGGCAGAAUGAUUUCAAUAUGUGGAAGAUCAAGAUGGAGGCUUUGUUGAUUACUCAAGAGCUGGGAGAAGCCAUAGAUCCAGUCACUAAGAUUGAAGAAGGUGAGGCUUCAUCAUCUAAGAUCCCAGAACAGGUAGCAGAGAUAGACAAGAAAGCCAGGAGCACAAUCAUACUAAGUCUUGGUGACUCUGUAAUUCGAGAAGUGGCCAAGGAAAGGACUGUUGCUGGUUUAUGGGCUAAGUUGGAGAACUUGUAUAUGACAAAGUCUUUGGCAAAUAGACUUUACAUUAAGAAGAAGAUGUUCUCACUGAAGAUGAUUGAAGGGGCAUCAUUAACAGAACAUGUUGAUGAAUUCAAUAAGGUUUGUGAUGAACUGGAGACUAUAGAUGAAGGGCUGAGUGAUGAGAGCAAAGCCUUGCUACUAAUCAGCUCUUUACCAAAGUCUUACGAGCACUUUGUGGAUGCACUGCUGUAUGAGAGGCAAACACUCUCCCUAGAAGAGGUUAAAUCUGCUCUUGGCACAAAGAAGCUGAAAGAUAAGCAAGAUAAUCCAGAAAGUGAAUCAAGUGAGGGAUUGAUGGCAAGAGGCAGGUCUGAGAAAAGAGAUAACAAUGAAAAAAGCAAGGCAGAUCAAAGUCUAAACAAAAGAAUUUGAAGUGUUUUCAUUGCCAUAAAGAAGGGCAUUUCAAGAGAGAUUGCCCUGAAAGAAAGAACAAGAAUAAAGAAACCAAAGAAAGAACAGGUAAUGCAGCCAUAGCCACAGAAGAAGAAUGUAACUUUGAAACAGCCGGAGUACUCAUUGCCACAAGUCAGAAACCUCAAGGUCAGUGGGUCCUUAACUCAGGUUGUACCUUUCAUAUGUGUCCAAAUAGGAGUUAUUUUACAACAUAUCAGCCAUGUGAUGGGGGUAUGGUUCUAAUGGGUAAUAACUCAAUGUGUAAGGUAGCUGGUAUUGGGACUGUUAGCCUUAGGAUGUUUGAUGGGGUGAUAAGGGAAUUGACACAAGUGAGAUUUGUCCCUGAUCUAAAAAGGAACUUAAUCUCAAUUGGCAUGCUAGAUCAAACAGGUUGUGUAAUUAAGGCUGAGAAAUGUGUAUUGAGGGUAAUUAAAGGAUCAAUGGUGAUCAUGAAAGGCAUAAAACAAAAUGGUCUAUAUGUGAUGGAUGGACAUACUGUUGUUGGGGAGGCAAGUGUGACUGACAGUAAAUGGAACAGAUCAAUGAUGUGGCAUUUAAGGAUGGGGCAUAUGAGUGAAAGAGGUUUGAGAGAGUUACAAAAACAAGGAGUGUUUGGGGAUGAUCAAAUAGGAGCUUUGGGGUUCUGUGAGGAUUGUAUUCUAGGAAAAUCCUCCAGGUUAAGGUUUGAGAUUGCAGCUCAUACCACCAAAGAGAAGCUUGAAUACAUACACUCUGAUUUGUGGGGGCCUGUACAAGUAAACUCACUAGGUGGAUGUAGAUAUUUUCUGACUUUUAUAGAUGAUUUUUCAAGGAUGGUUUGGGUCUUUGCACUCAAAAGCAAAGAUGAGGUUCUGGAAAAAUUCAAAAACUGGAAAACUUUUGUUGAGAACCAGACUGGUCUGAAGGUGAAAACUCUGAGGACAGACAAUGGCUUGGAGUAUUGCAACAAGCUGUUUGAAGAAUUCUGUGAAAAGAAUGGUAUUCAGAGGCACAAAACUGUCACCUACACCCCUUAACAGAAUGGCCUUGCUGAGAGGAUGAAUAGGACUCUGGUGGAGAAGGUGAGAUGCAUGUUAAUCUAUUCUAAGCUCCCAAAAACCCUUUGGGCAGAAGCUUUAAACACAGCAUGCUAUCUAGUCAACAGGAGCCCAUCAACUGCUAUAGAUUGUAAAACACCAAUGGAGCUUUGGUCAGGAAGAAGGGCUGACUAUACAAAACUCUGAAUCUUUGGGUGCACAACAUAUGCUCAUGUGAAGUAGGGUAAGCUGGAACCAAGGGCAUUAAAAUGCAGAUUUCUGGGGUAUCCGGAUGGGGUCAAGGGCUAUAGAUUAUAGUGUGUUGACACAAAACCACCACAGUGCAUCAUAAGCAGGGAUGUAAAAUUCCAUGAAGAAGAGCUAUUGAAUAAACCAAAGAGCUCAGAUAACAAUAUGGAAUCAAGCACUGAGACUGAUAUAGUGAAGUUUCAGGUGGAGCCUCAAAACUUGAAAGAACUUGAGCCUGAAAUUGAAGGUACUGAAGCAGAACCUGAAGCUGGUGUUGAACAUGAAUCAGCUGAAAGUGAAGAGAACACCUAUCAGUUGGCUAGAGACAGAAAGAAAAGGACAAUAAAGCCACCUAAAAGAUAUGCAGUAGUUGACUUGAUUGCAUAUGCUUUGAAUGUUGCUCAAGAGCUGAAUGAUGAUGAACCUAGGACCUAUCAAGAAGCUAUCACAGGCAAAAACAAGCUGGAAUGGAAGAGGGCAAUGGAUGAAGAGAUGACAUCCCUGAUUAAAAACAAGACCUGGACAUUGAUUGAAAAACCAGACAAGAGGAAAACAGCAAGCUGCAAAUGGAUCUUCAAAAUUAAAAAUGGUGUACCUGGAGCUGAACCUAGAAGAUUUAAAGCUAGAUUGGUGGCAAGGGGUUUUACACAGAAGGAGGGAAUUGACUUCACUGAAGUAUUUUCUCCUGUGGUGAGACAUGCUUCCAUCAGAGUUAUUCUUGCACUUGUGGCUGUGCAAGAUAUGCAUCUUGAGCAGAUGGAUGUAAAAACAACAUUUCUGCAUGGUGAGUUACAAAAAGAAAUUGUAAUGCAGCAGCCUGAAGGAUAUGUAGCAUCUGGAAAAGAAGACUAUGUUUGCUUACUUAAGAAGUCUCUGUAUGGGUUGAAGCAGUCACAUAGGCAAUGGUAUCUGAGUUUCAGAUAUUUUUGACAUGUCGGUUUAUAACCUUGAUUGUGCAUGCCCUGUCGGUUGCGUGAUGAAACAGGAGAAUAUUGACAUCUGUGUAUUAUCGUUUACUUCCUGCAAUUAAAUCACAUGUUGUUCAUUCCAUUUACACUAUACGGCACAUUUGGCAGUUGUUUUGGUCACUUAUUGAAGCACGGGUUAAGUACUUGAUUCAAGGUUGUUAACUGACCUUUACAAGGCGGGAAAAUUCUGGGUUUGUUAUAACAAACCCCGGAAUGCAGCUAGUGAGUGGGGACUUUUCUAGACUCUUCAUGAUAUGUAUAUAUAGUCUUAGAGGCUAUAGUUGAGACAUAUGAAAAGCUUCUUAAUGUUUGUAGUUUGAUCUCGGUGAUGGAGAUAAGAUUGCUGCCCUGUUCUUCAGUGGAUAUAGGCUAUCUCCAAGCCGAACCACUUAAAUUGUGCCUCUGUUUUGCUUGAUGACUACCAGUGGUGAGAAAACACCUACAGAACAAAUCAAGCUUGAUGACUCAAAUAUUAGGGAAGCCAUAGUCAAGGUAUCUGGUUUAUGCAUCAACAGUGGUUCGUGGACUAGAAUUCCUAUCUAUUGUCGCUUCACAAUUGCACUGGAAGAAAGCGAAUUUGAUCGAGCUUUGGAUCGCAUAGCUAAAUUCAAAAGCAUCGUACAAAUAGUUAACUAAAAGACGGUAUUGUCAUUUGUCAUGAUUUAUUUCUAUUGCCUGAUGAUGAUACCCAUCACGCCUUAGUUGUCGUGAAUAAAUCUAAAAUCAAAUUGAACUGGUUUUUACUGGUUAGCAACAAUUGUGACGUUUUGAGAUUAUAAUAUAUGACAACACUGAUUAGUGUUGUCUCCCAUGUGAAUUGAGACAAAAAUUAUUUUCCCAAUUGCGCUUUCAUUUGAACAAUUCCACUGUAGAUUUAUAAAAUAAUGAUCAAAUUGUGUUUUAUAUUAAGUUACGAGUAAUUGGUUAAACAUUAAUACAAAACUAUUUUAAGUAACAUGUGGCAUAUUCUAAUUCUAGCCAAGCUUCCAACUAAGAUUCCCAAAUCAAAAGAAUUUCAAUCUUCAGAACAUUCUGCAAAACGUUUAGUCUCUACGCAGUGCUAGAAUUUUCCCUAAGUUUCUAUUGCAAAGACUUCUAAAGAACUAUUCAGAUAUCGAGCUAUAAUCCAGUCUAAAGUGCAUAUAUCUCUCUAAUUCACCUCCCUCCAUUUCACCAGAAAAUCAAUAAACACUUAGCUUCAAACAAACACUCUCAAAAAGCUAGCUAGCUAUCCAGAUGGAAAAACCAAGAAUUCUUGCAAUGACAAUGUUGUUUCUUGUUAUGGCAGCAACAUUGAUAAACAUGGCAUCACAAGCAAUAGCUCUGAUGCCGUACACACAAUCACCUUUCUUUGACAUGAUGUUCCCAAUGACGGAAGAGCCUUUCAGGGUUCUUGAACAAACCCCUUUAACAAUCGCAAAAGGAGCUGAUCAUCAUCAAACUCUAGCCCUGGCGAGAGCAGACUGGAUGGAGACACCAACAGCCCACGUGAUCACGCUCGACAUUCCAGGGAUGAAGAAAGAUAAUAUGAAGAUUGAAGUUGAAGAGAACAGAGUACUGAGAGUGAGUGGGGAGAGGAAGAGUAAUGAUUAUUAUAAGGAGGGAGUUGAAGGAGAGAAAUGGCACAAAGCUGAGAGGACAUUUGGCAAGUUUUGGAGGCAGUUUAGGAUGCCAAUGAGUGUUGACUUGGAACAUGUUAAGGCUCACAUGAAAAAUGGGAUUCUGAGGGUCACAGUGCCAAAGCUUGCUGAGGAGAAGAAGAGGCAGCCUAAGGUUAUUAACAUUGAUGAAGAGUCUGGUAAUUCUUCCAAUGAAGAUAUUAAGGCUACCAAGGCUCAAAUGUAAUUAAUUAAAGAAAGAAGUGAUUGCUUUGCUUGAUGUGCUAUUUGUUUAUGAUCUUUUUUUGGUUUUGUUCCGAGAUGUUUCUAUUUGGAUGCUCUAUUUAAUGUAUGUUGAUGGGUUUUUGAGGAAGGCUUGUAUGUAUUGACAACCAUAAAAUACUUUUUAUAAAUCCUAGUCCUACAACACUAAAAGAAAACAAUACGUUUGGUUUAUAGUUAAUAAAAAUAUAUUUUUUUAAAAAAUUCUUUUUCUUUGGCAUAUAGUAUGCGUUUUGAGGGGAAAAAAAUUUAUCCCACUCCUAAUUUGUCAUCUGUGAUAUUAAUGUGUUAGCACGAAGAUUCAUUGUAAUUGCAACAAUUUUGAUGAAUCCAAACGUUCAAUAACUGUUAAAUUGUAUUUUAUAAAUACUAAUAGCGAAGGUACAGAAACGAUUAAUCCAAGAAGUUGCUUAAAGUGCAUUAAAUUAGGGAGUAUAAAUAAUUGUGUGAUACAGUCCAGCCUUUAUCUGCUUAUAAUUAGCAACCAAAAACCAUUUGCAACGCCAUUAAAAAAACAUUUUAACAUUAUUGCUGAGGGAAGAGGCAGCUUAGGCUUAUUAACUCGUAUUAUUAAUGCUGAUGACGCAGCUGGUAAUCCUUUUGGUGAAUAUAAUAAGGUAGCUGAAGCUUAUAAUUAUUUAAGCCCACUAAAGCUUAAAACUAAUUCUUCUAGUGACGAUGCUUUGCUUAGUUUGCUUUUUGUUUUUAAUUUUUUUGGGGCUAACAUUUUGCUUAUUUUGCUUUUAAAAUUCUAUUCGCGUUGCUGUGAAAUAUUGUUUGUCCUUCCAUUUUCUGUUUUUGUUGUUAUCGGAUUUGAUGAUGGUUUAUAUGUACGAAGAUUAUGUAAUAAAGUCUUUUUCUUUGGCCUUUAUUAUGCAUUUUAAUACGAAAAAAAAUUAUCCCACUCCAAUUCAUGAAGAUAUUCUCAUUUCUGUCAUAUUGAUGUGUUAAUAUAAAGAUCCAUUGCAGUUGGUGAAUUCAAAUAUUCAGUAACUGAUGAAAUUGUAUUUAUAAAUUCAUAGUAAUAGCAAUUGAAGAUUAUAAUUAAUUUUGUAAUAUGGUCAAGCCCUCGUGUGUUUAAUUAGCACUCAAAAACCACUUUACAAUAGUCAUUAAAAGAACAUUAUAACGUCAUUACUGAUGAGUUCUGGUGAAGAUAUUAAGUUAAGGCCACAAAAAUCGAAAUGUACGUGGCUUCGUUUGUUUUUUGUUUUGAUUUUUUUUGGGGGCAAAUGCUUGGCUUCGUUUUUGAUAUUUUAUUGGCUUUAUUGUGUGGCAUGUUCUUGUUUUCUUUUGAUUUUCUGUUUUUGUUUGUUAUGGGAUUUGAUGACGAUGUACAUGUACGAAGAUUAUGUAAUAAAAUGCUUUUGAUAAAUUGUGGUCGGUUUAGUAUUAAUUAACCAAAUUUAAUUUACUUGAUCAAUUGAUAUUUGUUAGUAUUGUUGUUAUACAAGCACAACAAAAGAAGAACACUAACGUACUAAUUAAUUACUAAUAAGAACAUUAACAAUUUUUGCCGAAGUCUGAUGAAGAGAAAUAUUACACAUACGUAACGGUACCGCGGAAGGAAAAAAUAAAAGAAACUGAAGUUUAUUUCAACAGCUACUCUUUCUUUACCUAAAUCCUGCACCUCUCAUACUACCAACAAGAUCGAAAACCUUAUCGAAUACUCCUACAUCCCAGACUCUGCCCAAAUCAGUGAAUCCACAUACCUCCAAUACAGUACCCCGUUGCUAAAAUAAAGCGAGCGUCUUACUCUACCUAACAUUUUUCUUUUUAUUAAUUUAAAACAGUUUUCAACUGAGAUUGGAAUUUUAAAAUUACGUACACAAACAUACCUGAUUUUAAAGAAAAAAAAUUCUAAUAAUAAAAUAUUUUACAUAUGUAACCAUACGGCGGAAGAACAAAUAUAAGAAACUGAAGUUUCAACAGCUGAGAAUGAGAUAAGCAUAAGAAAUUAAUUCAUUAAUUAAUUAAUAGAGUCCUCCUCCUUUGCUAAAUAAUGCGAGCCCAUUGUUCUUUUUAUUUCGAAAACCCAUUAAUCACCAACACAUAAUAUACGCCCAAUUUAAAAAAAAGAAACUAAUAAUAAAAUAUUUCAGUCCCUCUGUUGAGUCGUCCUCUGUGGAGUCGUCAUCAAAAACCCAUUUACUAGCUAUUUCAACAUAAGGUAAAUGGGUUAACAAGGCCCAAUAUUGUCCUCCAUCCUCUCUGCACUUCUCUUCUAUCAACGGACAAUCAUAGAUACUUAAUUUCAAAAGUGAGGAAGGCAGGCCCUUCUCCGGAAAGUAUUUGAGCUUGGGACAAUUCUUGAGAUACAAUGAAGUGAGGUUUUGAAGAUCAACAAUUGAAGAAGAUAGGCGUUCCAAAUUUGGAAAAUUGUAAAUCUCCAGAGACGUUAGAGAGGCAAGAAGAGGAAGCGCAGCCCCUAAUCUUUUGUCCUCUAGUGGAAUUGACACCAUGUCGUCAUCGCAUUCGCUGAUUUUAAAAUGUCGCAGAGAGGAGAAUCUGUGAAAUCCCCGGCCCCGCUCAAUCAUUGACUUCCAAAUCUCCAUAUUACCCCUGAUAUCAAGUGAAUGAAGGUUGGUGGGAAGGCCAUCUUCUUCAAGGCUUGGAAGCUCAACUCCUCUUCCUAUUGUUAAUUCUUGAAGAGAGGUCAGAUUGUGCAAUCCCUUGGGUAAGGCCUCUAGUCCCUUGCACCAACUGAUAUUGAACUUUAUUAGUUUCGCACAAGGCAAUCCCCCUUCGGGAAAGGACACCAGAUUUUUACAUUCCCAUAUUUCGAUCUCUUGAAGCUGGCGGAGAUUAUGUAAACCACUCGGUAAAAUCUUUAGAUUUUUACAAAAAUCAAUUCUGAUUAUUUCAAGCGAUGUGUUGUUGUCCAACCUUUCUGCUAUUGACUCCAGCUUUGAACAACUAAGAACUUCAAGGGACUUAAGAGACGGAGGUAGAUUGCCAACUUCAAGGGACUCAAGCGUGGCAGGUAACUCGUUUUUUGAAAAUAUACAUGUCAGAGAUGGACAUUCGCUAAUAUGCAAGCCCUCGAGAAGAGAUGAGGUGUACCUUCUGCUGCUGCUGCUGCUGCUACUCUGGAUGCCCUCUUCCACUGUCAAAGUCCUUAGAUUAUCACAAUUAUGGAUGUACAACAUCUUAAGGCUCGGUGGUAGCUGGACUCCAGCAAUAUAUGUCAACGAACGGCAACUCAAAAUCUCCAAGAUCUCGAGAGAUGAAUUGGUGUCGCACAUCCAUGCCUCUGGUAACAAUUUCAGUGCAUCACAAGAACUAAUAUGAAUUGUCUUCAACUUGGAAGGCAGAGCAACCUCAGGAAAGGAAACAAGGGAACUGCAUUGGUAGAUUUCUAUCUCUCUCAAGGAGCUAAGGCUGAGCGAUGAUUGUGGCAGCUUCACAAGGUCUUGGCAAUCUCUCAAUUCUAUAUAUUCGAGUCUGCAUGACAACUCGCAGAGCUGCUGUUGUUGGUCUUUCUCUUCCUCCGCCACCAAGGAUUGAAGUUUGGGACAGCUGCCAAUCGUCAAUCUUUUGAGAGAGCAAAUGUCUUGUAGUAAUCCAUCAUGACUCUUCCAUAUAUAUGUUUGCUCUUUUGUCGACAAAAUUAAUUCUUCCAAUUUCUGUAGUUGUGGUUUCAAUGGCCCCACAAGAAACACUUGAUUUGAUGCAUCUCUACAAACCACUGAAUUCUGUGAUCCGAGAUGACCAGUUGCACUUUCCCACACAACCUUUUUGCAUCCACCAAUUUCCAAUUUGCAAAGAGCUGGAAGACUCGAAACUGAAACUAACAAUUCUUCACAUCCUUCAAUAACAAGCAUCUCCAAUGCAGGAAGGUGCUCUGGAAAUGUUCCUUUCAGUUUAGAACAUUUUAAAAUGUGAAGUUCUCUCAAUUUAGGAAACCCUUCAACUCCUUGACUGGAUCCAUGAGGAAUCCAAUCUUCCCAUUCUUGCAUGUUUUCAAAAAGAAGAGUCUUCAAGCAUGGAAAUGGAAUUGGAGAAACAUUCCCAUAGAACUCUGAACCCAACCUCUUUACUCUGCUCAUUCCACAUACUACAAGAUGCUUUAAAGAGGGUAGUUGCCCGACUGACGGCAGGGCAGUACACAUGUCACAAUUUUUAAAUUUUAGGGUCACCAAAUUUGAGAAUGAGGAAUCUCCCAACCAAGUUGGAAAUUUCAUACCUCCAUAGCCUUUGAUACAAAAUUGCUCCAGAUUUGUAUGAGGUUUCAGCAUGUCAAGCAUGCCCAUUUCAGUUUCUGCCUCCCUUGAAGAAGAACCAUCGGUACUGCAAGUCCAUUUAAGCGAUAAUUCUUUCAGAUUCUUCUUUCCAUCCAUUUGAGCUACCAUGGCAUCACCAACGCAUUUUGCAUUCUCCAAUUUUGAAAUGUUAAGUGUCCCAUGAAGGUGCGUCAACAACUUUAGCUCUCGUAACCCGGAACCACUGCCUUUUCCCACAACAAAAUUACACAACGUCUGAAGACUAGUCAACCUACCAAUUCCUAGUGGCAUUUCCUCCAACGACUUCGUAUUUGAAUUCUUAAGAUGAUGCAAUUUGGCGAGGUUUCCCAUGUCUGCACACAACUUCUUCAGCCGAUCACAAUCUUCCAACAAAAGGCUAUGCAAAUUGUAAAGCUUGUUGACUGAGUCAGGCAGAGUUCUAAUCUCAGUUCCAGACAGGUUAAGGUACCUUAAAUACCUCAAAUCACCAACUGAAUCCGGUAGCUCGAAGAUGUGGUAUCCACGCAGAGAGAACGCCCUCAAGCGUUGGGGUUUGAGCAACUUAGGAAGAAUGCUAGGAGCCAAGUAGCCAGGCCCACUAUUUGUCAACAUUACUGGUAAAAAAGUUCUCAAAUGUUGGAUAUCAUACAAGUCCCCGAACCUUUGAACGCCAUCAUAAUCUCCACGAAUGUAUGAUAGGUGACGAAGAUUUCUGGAAAAACAUUGUUGCUUGUUAACCUCCGAGGUAUACUCCAGUGUGAAGUAUGUCUCCCCUGCAGCCCAACGGGCAAGGUCGUUGAUAAGAUCGUGCAUAACAAAUAGUGAUGCAUCGGUGGCCGAUUGCUGCAAAAAAGAUCUUGAACGUAGCUCCUUAAAGAAAUCACGACCUAAAUCUUCACUAGGAUUCUCAUCUUCUUUGUGAUCCAAAAAACCGGAGGCACACCAUAAUAAAAUUAUCUCCUCCUCUUCAAAUUCAUAAUCCUUUGGAAACAAUGAGCAGUAUGCAAAGCAUUGUUUCAAAGUUGGAGGAAGAUAAUAAUAGCUCACUGCAAGGGCUGGUAUAAUGCCACACCUCUUUUCUGAUAAUUCCCAUAUCUUGCUACAGAGCACACGUUCCCACUCACGUCUGUCAUGUUUUCCACGUAAAAGUCCUCCAAGUGUUUGUGCUGCCAAGGGCAAGCCAUCGCAUUUGGUCACUAUCUUCUUGCCGAUUUCCUCCAAUAACUUAUGUGACCCCAAAGAAUGUUGAGCGAAUACAGCCAGACAAUCAUUAUCUGACAACUUUUUUAAUUGAUAAGAUGGAACAGUACCCAUGAUUUCUGCAACCUCUUGAUUGCGAGUAGUGACAAUAAUUUUACUUCCUGGUGCACCAACUUCAAAUGGACGUCUGAGUUGAACCCAAUCAUCGUAAUUCCGGUUCCACACGUCAUCCAAAACAAGCAAAAAUUUCUUUCCAGACAGUUGCUUACUCAGUUCCUUUUGAAGUGAAUUCAAGCUGGGAUCACCCACGUUCUGGCUAGCAACAAUGGAUGUUAAGAUUGUUUUUGUUAGCCUCUUAACGUCGAAAUCAUCAGAGACACAAGUCCAUGCCUUGAGAUCAAAAUGAUCCUGCACUUGCUUAUCAUUGUAGACAAGCUGAGCAAGAGUGGUUUUGCCCAGCCCGCCCAUACCUAUAAUAGGAAUAACAGAGAAUCCACCAUCGUUGCUUAAAUCAUCCCUCAACAGCAGUUCAACAACAUCCUUCUUUUCUGUUUCCCUGCCAUAUACUUUGGCUUCAUCCACCAAAGAGGUUGUCUCUGGCCUUUGACUGGCUUUUUUGGAUCCCCCAGCUGAACUUUCUUUCAAAUCUAGCAAGUUUUUCUUUGUCACAAUUUCUUGAAAUCUGCUGUCGAUCUCUUUGAUUUUGGACAUCAAGUCAUAAUCGAACUGAGUCGAUUGUGGAGUAAAAAUGGUGAAGCAAGUAUGAAUGAACUUCCGAAGCUUACUUGGUCUCGUAUGACUGCUACUGGGUUGAUCAUGAGCAGCAGCUGGUUCUCCAUUUCCAAGCGGCAACCUCCUCCGGAAAGCCUCGGUUUGAAACUCAUCCAACAAGUCUUCAACAUCAUAAGCCAAGUUCUGAAGCUCGCCAAGCCACAAAUUCACAGACGGAGCCGUCCUCCUCUUCUCCUCAGCAUCAUCAAGCACUGCCUUGAUCAUCUCCAACAUAUUCGCCCACCUCAUCAGAUCGGCCUCGAUCUCCUUUUGGCGUGCAAAAAACAGAACCCCCUCUGAAGCUAACUUAUUGACCAGCAAAUCAACGGACGCCGUAAGGAUUGCCUCUCCGAUCAUUGACAUUUUUUUUUCCUUUUUUGGGGCAAAGGAAGAAAGGAGCAGAAUUAUGCGUUAUGGAAAGCAGAAUGAGAAAUUUGAACGGGUGAGAAAAUGGAUAAUUAAGCAGAAUGAGUUUGUGAUUGUGAAGGGUCUGGCCCAACAAGCUUAGUAGAAAUCACGCGUUUAUACUUUAUUGACCAAUGACUAAUAAUUUGCCAAUUCACUCAUCACCACCACUUGGUGAGCAAAAUGAAAAUGCUUAGUAAUUAAACGUGGCAAGUCUCCCCACUUGUUGUUCCUUGCAGCUAAGAAAAGAAAAAACAGAGCCGUAAUUAAUGACAGAAUUUUAAAAAUAAUAAUAAGAGAAAAACCUACACAUUUUCGACUUAGAGUGGAACCGUAAUUAAUGCUAAAAUUUACUCAGCUAAAAUUUUCAAAAUAUUGUUCUUUAUAAUUUUCAAAACCGUAAUUAAGGUUCAUCUCAAAUGUUUGAAGAGACUCUAUCAAUUCUUCUGCGCUAAGAAUAUUAAAAUUCUUAUUUUUUCUUCAAACGUUGAAUAAUGAAAAAAAAUGUUAAAUAUGGAGAAAAAUAGAAUGCAUCCAUCUUUGCUGUAGAAGUCUUCUACUUAUAAAAGCAAGUUAGAAUAAACGAUUUUAAUCUCUCUUUUUAUUCCUGUAAGUGCACUACAUUUUUUUUGUUUUAAUCUCAAUGUGAAGUCGUAUCAUAAUGUUAUGUUAAUGUUAUAUUCUUGUUGGAAAAUGAAAUUUUAGAUAAAACAAAUUCGACUCAUUUGUUGAAGGUAUAUAUUUAGUAGGUUGCUAACAUAAAGUAAAUGAACUAAAAGACAAUACUACCAGCGAUAAUUUAGCAAGUUUCGCAUGCUCGUCUUUCUUGAAAUAUUAUAUGGGAAUGGGAUCAAACAACAGUGAUACAAAGAGAAAAAUGGUAAUCCUCUGAUUGUAUUUUUUUUUUCUUUUUCAAAAGAGAUGGUGGGGUUGGGUUGUUUGCAAAGUUAUUAGUGUGGGUCUAUUUAAAAUGUUAAGAAAUUUUAUGUCCUUUUUUCAAAGUGAAUUUCCAUUUUUCAUUUCUCAUUAAGUAAAACCCACAGCAAAAUUAAAAAGAAAAAACAGAGCCCACUAUAAAUAUAAAAUCGAAGGAGCUCAUAAUUAUACCUUUGCUUUACAUACUAAAUUAAAUAAAAGCCGAACCAAGAAUCUUGCCUUUACUUAACAUGAUUAAUUAGACACUACUUCAGAGAGAAUACGAAAGCAAAGAACCCUUUUGUUAAUCUUAAAUGUUAGGAAAAUAAUUAGCUUGGAAUAAAGCUGCGUUAUUCUCCUCUUACCGUCUCUUCAGGUUCAUUUCAAAAGUUUGAAGAGAUUUUAUCAAUUCUUCUUAUAAAGGCAAGCUAAAUUAAAAGAUUUUAAUCUCUCUUCUUAUUACUAUAAGUGCACUGCUUUUUUUUUAUAAUCAACAAUGUCAAUUUGUAGUGUAAUAUUAUAUUCAUAUUCCUGUUGCGUCGAAAUAAGGUAAAAUGAAAUUUUAAAUCACACAAAUUCGACUCGUUUGUUAAAGGUAUAUAUUUAAUAAGCUAAUAACAUAAUUAACAUAACGCUAUUAUUACACUAAAUGAAAUAAAAGACGGUACCCUCCACCAAUAAUUACAUUAGCAAGCUUCGCAUGCUCGUGUUUCAGGACCUAGACAUUGGCGAAUUAAUCUAGGAUAACGAAACAAUUUCAAAAAGCAAAAUGGAUACUAUACAUUUUCUUUUUUUAAUUGUACAGAAAACGGGACUAAUUUUCAAAUAUUUUUAAAUUCACUUAUUUACAAAAGCUAUACAAAAUGAUUUCCUUUUUAUUUUUGAUGAGCAUAAUUUACAUACAUAUUUUACUAUUUAUUAUAUAAUUACUAGUUAUUUUUAUUUGUUAUUUUAAUUAAUUGAAUUAUUUUAUUUCAUAGGAAAUUAAUUGGAGAUUAUGGAUGAAAAGUGCGUAAAGAAUAACAAUUUGACAGCAUUGAAGAUCAAAUCAAUUUGCGGAAGGAAUUAAGCAAAUGUGCAAGAAAUUCUAUUCGAAGAAACCGAAGCCAAUAAAUUGAAUAUCCAUACUCGUGCAAACAAAGAAGAAGUUUAAAACUAAAGUGGGCAGCACAUUAAAAAAAGCUUUUAAUUAAGUCUUUGAAUGGAAAGUCAAAAUAGAAUAAAGGAAGGAAAUCAAUAGCUUUUGGCUUUUAUUGUUUUCAAUUACGUGGCAGGCUUAGAGCUUUAGCUUGUAAGAGUUGGUUUGGUUAUUAUCACAAUAGGAUUUGGUGGCCAAGCAAUAUAAAAGGGAGUUUUGCUUUUGAAUUAAAGGCUGGACGGAAACAAAAGGGAGGAGAAUUCGGCUUUGAACAGAGAGCAGCGGCAACGGCAAUAUUUCGGCUUCCAUGGCUGAAUUUAUUUCUUUUGUUGCUCACAAUUUAAGUAUGUCUAGCUAAUUUUCUUAUACUGAGGUUAAGGAUGAAACCCUAUUCAAUGAAAUAAUUAUCUUUUUAUUUAUUUAAUUCCCUAUAUAUGUGCUUUAAUGUUUAUGGUUUUUAUUUCACAUGAUUAAUUGGACGUUAUUAAAAUCUUUUCAUCAAUUCUGUCAUGCAUUAUUAAUUGUUAGGAUUAAUAUUCAAUUAAUUCUAUACUUGGAUCUAUAAAGUUUAUACAUGAUUAUCUUUGAUUUUAUGUCUUUCAUUAAAUUAUUUACAUAGAGUGCUUAGGAAAACUUUGACUCUUUGUUAUUUAAUAUGUUUACAUGAGAUGCUUACAUGUCAUACUAUUAAGUAGAAAAAGAACCUACAUUACAUUUAAUUUUAAUUGGGCUUAAUUGUUAUAUUUAUGAGAUGACAUAGAUUGAUUUUGAGUUGUCACUCUAAAAUUAGGGAUUCAUUAAUAUUUGGAUAAUUACAAAUUAAAUAGUGGUGGAUUCCGAAACCUUGAUAAUUUUUAUUUUAUUGAUUUCUCAUUUGCUUUAAUUGUUUUCUUAGUUUAAUAAGUUUAAUUUCUUUUAAAAAUUCAAAUUACUCAACUAAGUUAGGAUUAAUAUUAAUUUUAGAUUUAAAUUAGACUUUUCAAUUUAUAACAAUCCAUGUGGGAUUGACCUCGUUACUACUAUUCUAUUUCUAGAUUCAUGCGCUUGUAAGUAUAUUAAAACUUUCACAACAAUUUUGAAAGGAAUCAAAUAACAGUGAUACAAAGAGCGCAAAGUUGCAAUUCUCUUAUUAUAUUUUUUCUCUUUUUUAAAAGGAGAUAGUGGGGUUUGGUUGGUUGCUAAAUUAUUGGUGUGAGGGUCUAUUUGUUUUUGUUUUCACUUUAUUAAUUAUACCAAGCAAACAUGUAAUCAUUUGUAAAGGGGUCACUAGCAUUGGAUUAUGUAAGAUGAAUUCAUAAGACUUAUUAAUUUCGAUGAAAAUGUAGCGUUAUUAAGUUGUCAAUUCAUUAACUUGAGGUACUAAUAUUUACUAAUUGUGGUGAUUAAUUUAUUUAACUUGUCAUAAUUUUCAAUUGAGAAUGAAGUUCAAUCAAUGUAUGAAAAAAAUAAUUUUUUUAGAUUUUUAAUUCCUAUGAUUUAAUUUCCCCCUGUUUCGAUUAUUGACGUGUUAAAAGCUUGUAGAAUAUCAUGAAAUGCUUGUAUCUCACCUCGCAAAUUGACAAAUAUUGGUUGGUUUCUCCAAAGGCUACCAUAAUGAAUUGAAAGUAAAAACAACAACCAUUGAAAAUUAAUUUUAAAAUCAUUUUUACUUGAAAUUUUUUAAAAGAAAAAUUAAGCAAAUUAGAUUACAGAUAUCAAUCUUAAUAUUUUGUUGAUGAAAAUUAAUUAAUUUAUCUCAGUACUUUCUUAAUUUUGUGUUGUGCACCGCAUUGGUCACUUCUGAUUGUGUUGCAUAUUUGUUAAUUCAAAGAAAUAGAACUUCUUUAUCGAUCAAACUUAUUUUAUUAGUAUUCUUCAUCAUAUGGUUAAUGGCUUAGCCAAUGAAGGAGAAGGGGUCAGCCAAAACAAAUAAAGUACUUUCUCAUGCAUUAACCUUUAUUAAAAAGCUUUAUUAACUGUUGUAGUUAAAAUAAUUUUAAAACAAGUUAAAACAGUUCCAACUCAAAAUCAGUAGGCUGCAAUUGGGUUGUUACACAUAUUUCUAAAUUUCAGUCUAAUUUAAUUGUGUAUGGACAAACUAACUUUAUCACUUCUUUCAUAUUAAUACUCAUAAAUUUCAACCUUUUUUUAUGAUGAUGGACAAUCUAACUUAACAAAAAUAAUGUUCAAAUUAUCACAAAAUGUUCUUUUCUUAAAAAAGAAAAGAAAAUCAUAUAUAGUAGUUAAUUUUUCUUCUUCUGUACUCCAAGAUCCAACUCCGUACUCCACUUGUUCGUUGUUAUUAUACCCAGCCAUUAGAUUUUAAUUACGUUGAUUUAACGGUUUGGAUUCGUAAAUGAAUAACGACGUAAAGUUUGGCUACCAUCUGAACCCACCGCAUCUAAUUGGUUUUGUGAUUUUUUGCUUUCUUCACUGCAACGCUUGACUAGUUCUGGAAAUAUCGACCGCCAUCAACGGCAAAUCUGAACCAUGUAUUAUUUGCGAAUACAUUCAUUAAACUAUUAAACAUUCAGAGAAGAAAGCAAACCGUGGCAGUAUAACAAAAACUGCGAAUGGUCAUUCCCAACACGAACCCCUAUGGUUGUUUUCCUUUUAAUUUUCUUCUUUGAAUUCUCCUUUUAUUAAUCAUUAGAAAAACUCCAUUUUUUUUGUUUUAAAUCAUGUGUUAUUAACAUUUACAUGGUUAAUGUCAUCGAAAUCGAAUGGUUGUUAUCUACGAAAAGAGAAUUGCUAGAAAUUUUGUUAGUCCCAUUGCAACAAUAUAUUGUUAUAAAUUGCAUUGUUUUCCAUAUAACAAAUAUAAUAAAAUCUCAAUAAAUUAAUAGUUUUUGGGACCAUAAAAAAAUUAUUAAAAUUAAACAAAUAUCAAUUAAUCAGUAAAUUAAUAAAUUAUUAAUUUAUGAAAAUAUUCAUUAUUUUGGAAAAACAUGAUCACGCUUUUAAUAUUGAUUUACCUUGAGUUAGUAUCUAUUAGGUUUUAUUUGUCUAUUAGUUUUCUCUUGGGAAGAUUUUUUAAGAGUUAGCUGCUUUAUAUUAACAGUAAUAAAAUUAUUAUUUAACGGUUUUGUUUUUCCAUGCUAAAGACCGAUUAGUCGUCUUCUUCUCCUCAGCAUCAUCAAAACCAGGGUUUUUAACUCCUAAAACGUUUCUUUUUAGAAAUAUAUUACUUUAUUCAUCUAAUAUGUUAUCUAACAAAUAGACACAGAUGAAAUCACUCUAAAGUGAAGAUGAAAGGGGAAAAAAAACAUUCCAACCACCAAUAAUUUAGCAAGCUUCACUUUUAUUCCACCAAAGUGUAAAUAGUGCCAGCCCCCACCACCAUCAAUAAUUUAGCAAGCUUCACACGCUUGUUGUCUUCUCCUUGACGAACUGGACGUGGGUGGACCAAGAAUCAAUGAAAGAAUUUUAAAAAUAAUAAUAAAAGAAAAACAUAAACAUUUUGGACUCGGAGUAGAACCGUAAUUAAUGCUAAAAUUUACUCCGCUAACGUUUUCAAAAUAUUGUUCUUUAUAAUUGUACAGCAAAUAAGACUAAGUUUUGGACAUUUUCAUAUUCACUUACUUUCAAAAGCAGUAUUUCGAAACAUUUUACAGAAUCAAGUAACAGUUAUAUAACGAGAAAAGUGCAAAGUUGUGUAAUUCUAAUGUUUUUUUUUUUUUAUCACAGACACUCAGAUAAUUUUUUAUUUGGGUCGCCAACUCGCCAAUUAACCCAUGAUUGAAUGAGUGUUUAGAAAGAAAAUCAAUAAAAAACAGUUUUUUUUUUGGUCGUCGAAAUAUAGUAAGUGAGAAAGAUUAUUCUGUUUUUUUUGUUAAUUAGGUUAGUAAUUAUGAUUGAGUGACUCAGAACUAUAUUCUAGAUUGAGAAUCAACGGUUCUCCCACACUGAGAGGCUGUAAGUUUAAGAUUGUCGUUUGCUAUUUCAUCGACAAGAGAACACUUGAAUUUAUUAAAAGGAGAAGGCCAUAAAGAUUUUCCUUUAUGAGAAAUGUAUCUGAUCAUUCCUUUUUACUUGAAAAUUUCAUAUAUAAAAACUCAUUAAUAAAUGACAGAAUAUACAUAAAUUAUUAAUUCAUUUGAUAGUUGAUUAUCGAAGGACAUGUGACCCAUGGAAGCAUGCAGUCUAUAAAAUAAUUCUUUUUUUUUUUUAACAAAAAAUUGGUGAUGUUGAAAAGCAAAAUUAUUAUUUCUCUAAUUAGGGUGAACAUUCAUAAAAAGAAUGCCGUAUGAAACUAAAUUAUUAAUUCGUUUGACAUGUGACCCACAAUAAAUAGUUAAAUUUGGCGGCAACAAUAAUUACAAGACGAACUUAAAGCAGCGCAUAGGUUUUUCUUAAAAAUACAUAAACAAUUCGAUAUUUUUUAUUUGACAGUUUUUAAGAAAUGUCAAACAUAUAUGACAUUUUGUGAAAAACUGAGUAAUUGUGAAAUAUAAAUGAUAAUUUAUUUAAACGUCAAAUAAUUGUGACGUUUUAUCAAAUAAGUGAUAAAUAUCUUACAUAUUUAUUGAAUAAUUAUCAUUUACCUUUUCCUUUUAUUGACUCGAGCAAAAAAAACAAAAAAACUGACUAUACUGCUUUUAUUUUCGUUCUUAGAACAGAUUUUAGUUUCUUUUGAGAAAAUUCAAACUCAUUCCCAUUACUUUCUUUUCAAUAAUCACCUCUCAGUUUUUCAUCAAUCACUCAAUUCCGAAUUUCAUCUCCAUUCUCUUUUGAAGAAGAACGCACGAAGAAUUUUAGCUUGCUUUUGCUGCUUCUCGAAUAUUGGGUAUUGUUUCCUUUAAUUUAGAUAAUUGUUUUUUAUAUCUCUCUUUCUAGUUUGAUAAUUUAUGGUUAUACUUGAAUUAAUUGUAUUUUUAAUCAACCAAGGUUGAUUUAAUUGAUUCCAAGUCUCAAUUUCCUGUUCAACAAUUUUCAUACUCAAUUUUGAAAGAAUCAAUGUAUUUUAUCUUUGGUUAGUACACUUCUGUUCAAUUUUUGUUUAUUUAACUUAAGAUAUCUUUUUCUUUCUUUUCUUCAAGCAAAUUAUAGAUUAUAUUGAGAACAGAGUUUUCUCCUUAAUUCCGCCAAGAGCAACGUUGAUUUCAGGUGAUAAUUGAAUGUGUAAUAUUUUCAAUUGAAAUUAAUUGAGUCUCGUGAUAAUAAUAGGGAUUUGAGAUUUACAUCCUGUUGAAAUGAUUUUAGAGUGUUCUGUUAUUUGAAUGCGCAUUAAUUGUUUGAUUAAAUGUCUCUUUAAAAGAUUAUUUUUGUUUUUAGCAAACAUCUUAAUGCACUUUACAAAUUGAAUCCAACAAGGGAAAAUUAUAGAACUGCAGCAGUUUUCAAAUUGAUUGCAUAUUAGAAGUAAUGUUAAUUUAUGCUGCAACAGUUCAAUGGGCUGGGCACAAGUUUAGGACUUCAGUUGCUCAAUUAAUGAAUCCACCACUCAUCAGACUUGGAACUUAUAUCUAUUGAAUCAAUAAAAAUAGUUGAUGGAAUCAAUGCCGAAAGCUUCAUUUGAUAUUUAUUUAUAACAUCUGUUAGAUUCUGGACAAUCACAAAGAUAUAGUAGCAGAAACUAUGUUAGAGACACUAUAGUUGCUUAAUUAGUGAAAUUGUGCUCUCAUUGCCCCCUUUUUUUGGUUGAUUCUAUAAUUUUAUUAGUUGUUCUUGUGGUUGUAAACAAUAUCAAUUUCUAAUAUUAAUAAAACUGAAUGAAUAAAAUGCGAUGCAUUUGCAGGAAAGUUAAUAGUUUAAAUAUGGAUAAAUCUUGGAUGUUGAUGGAUAGAAGGUCUAUAGAAUAUGAGAACAUGGUAAAUGAGUUUCUCAAGUUUGCAGUACUUCAUGCUAGUCAUCUUGAGCUUUUGAGAUGUCCAUGCCAAGCAUGUCUUAGUUUAUAGGCUCAAACAAUUAACAGUAUAGAAAAUGCAUGAUAGAACACAGAACUCAUAUUUUAGCAACAAUCCUCAGCUCACUGGCCCUUAGUUCAGAAUGACAAUUCUUAUUAGCCAAAGGUUCAAAAUGAUUUUUAGUUGUUUAUAAGUAGAGAACUAGAUCAACAAAUAAUUGAAGACCUGCAGCUUGGCUAUUGAACUAUACGAUGAUGCCAAUUCGAAGACUACAACUUGGCUCUGCCAUUCGAAGUAAGCAACGCAGCUGCCCAAAGUCUGCCAAACCAAGAAAAAUAAAGACUUCUCCUUAGCAAUUAAGUUAAUAUAAGGAAUGUUGCAUGUCCACAAAACUAGGUAGACGCAACUGGGACUUCAAUAUAUAUAUAGAUAUAUAUAUAUAUAUAUAAGCAUUUCCUAGAUCAAUAUUAUUCUCAGUAACUGAAUAUUGAAGCUGACCAUCACAUUUAAUAAUAAAUCAAUAUCAGGAAUGUUGUUGAGGAGUAUUUUGAUAUUUACAAAAGUGUUCAAAGUAAAAAUUGAUUUCUUAAAACCCAUUAGCUAGCGCACAUAAUAAUGGGGAGAAAAUUUUAGACUACGAAUAGUCCCACCCAUUUAAUAAUAUUCUUCAAUCAAUUAUGUUUACUUCAAAAAAAAAAAACCAUCUCUUUAUUACUUUCUAACUAUUCAUAUUAAUGUGUUCAUAAUUAUGAAGAACCGGUGUAAUUUAUAUGAUGUAGGAAGCACAUUAGUCAAAAUCAUCAGAAUCUCAAAAUUUCGUGAUGUUGUGCCAAAUAUGCAAACCAAAGCUUCCUACAUUCUUUGUACGUUUGUGUUAGUUACAAGCAAUCACAGUGGUAAACGAAAAAAAACGAAUUAAAACACAUGAGGAGAUUUAAAUGAAAAUGUCUUAAUCAUAUAUCGCAUGUAAGACCUUUUGUACUCAAAACUGAUCAGCACCCAUUCUGCCCGCCGUGUGAUCACAUCUUGAAGGGAGUGUUGCUUCAGCAUUUUUAUCAUUUUUACUAUUUCUAGGAUCCAUUUUGUCACCUCCCUCCCUCCCCCCGGUUUCUAAAAUAAUUAUAUAAUAACCAUAUAAUUAUUGGUUGUUCUAGCAAAUAAAAAAAAUAUAUAUAUAUAUAUAUAUAUUAAUCUUUUAAUAACAUUAUCACUUUGUCAAAAUAAAAAAUCUCCUCAUUAAAUAAUUAUAUUAUAUAUAUUCAUUUAUUUAUCCAAAUAAAAAAGUAUGAAGUCAAAUAGUACACAAUAAUUUAACUAAUUUGAAUUGGUUUAUUUUUAAUGAAACAAAUAACAUUCCUAAAUGCUUCUCUUGAUCCUUAAUUUAUUGAUAAUUUUGUCAAUUUAAGGUCGGCUAUAUAUUGAUUAAAUUACAAGCUUAGACUAUCGAAAGCUGGUUACAGUUAUGGAGGCAGGAAAAAUUUUAUUGUACCAGAAAUUUUUUCUACAACAGUCCAUGCAAAGUAAACAUUUGUAAGGAAAUUGGAGAAUAAUUACAAAGCCAACUAAAUUUUAUGAGAAUCAAUUUGGAGUUUUUGUUAAUCGCCAUUUUGCGUUCAUACAAAGCAAGUGUAGAUACCGGCACAAUAAGCUAAAUGCAAAAUCCAAUGUAGGACAGUGGGGUUGGGACAACGAAAUGGGGAAAUGGGAAUCUAGGUAAUUGCACUGAACCUUAAACUGAGAGUACGGGCACUUAAAAUUUUUAAAGUGUCUAAUAAGUUUCAGCUAAAAAGGAAAUAGGCUGUAAAAUUGCUAAAUUCAUUUUGAUUUCUAAAUUCAUAAAUAACCUUAAAAGUUCUCUGAUACAACUUGUCAAUAAUGGUGAAAAUUCAAUUUCAGAAUGACAAUUCUUAUUAGUGAAAGAAUCAAAAUGAUUUUUAGUUGUUUAUAAAUAGAUCACUAGAUCAACAAAUAAUUGAAGACUGGCUUGGCUAUUGAACCAUACGCGGCAAUUCGAAGACUGAAACUUAACUCUGCCGUUCGAAGUAAGCAACUCAGGUGCCCAAAGGCUGUCAAGCCAUCAAGACAAUACGAAGAUACAACAUCAAUAAUAAUUACAUAUUACACCUACCCCAAUAAGAAAUUAGUUAAUACAGUCCUAGAAAGAAAUUUACAAACCCAUGCUGUAGGAAUAAUUAAUUAAUUUAUACAGUUCGGUACUCAUUCCUCUUCUGUUUCAAAUCCAUAUCCACUGCUCUGCCAUUUAUUACUACGCAAGGUAUAUGGGUUAGCAAGUGCCGACAUUGUCCUCCAUUCUUUAUGUGCCUUUCUUCUAUCAAGGGACAACCCAAGAUCUCUAAUCGCAAGAAAAAUAUUUCAAAGUAAAAAGUGAUUUCUUAAAAUCUAUUAGCUAGUGCACAUAAUAAAAGGCCAUUCAUGGUAAAUUUUAGAUUACAAGUAGUCCCAAUAAUAUUCUGCAAUCAAUUCCGUUUAUUUUAAAAUAAAAGAAAUCCAUCUCUUUAUUACUUUCUAAUUAGUCAUAUUAAUGUGUUAAUAAUUGUGAAGAACCAGCGUAAUUUAUAUGAUGUAGGAAACCCGUUAGGCAAAAUAACCUGAAUUUUUUAAAGUAGGGGCUAGACAUAUUGGGCAUAACCUCAGUUUCUGUUACUUCUUUGACCCUGCCUAAGCUCUUUUAUGGGCUAAUAUCAAAAUUUCGUGAUAUUGUGCCUAAAGAGCUUCCAAUUCAAGGAGCUCCCCUGUUUUUGACUGAAACAUAUGUAAUCCGAAAAAUUUAUAAUUAGAUAAAUCAUUCAAAAUCUCCCUGAAUCUAACCCACAUUUCUAUGGUUUAAUAACAUAUCACAAAGGUGCCUAAUAUAAUGAAAUUAGCACUAGUUCACGAGAUUGCCAUUAUAUAUUACAAGUCUUUUUAUGAUGUAGAUUAGAAGGGAAAAUACGAAGGACAUAUUAUAUAUUAUAUAUGAUUGAAUUUAAUCCAUGAUAAUUAGACAAAAUAACACUAAUCUAGCUAACUAAUCCACCCAUCAUAAUAAUUUGAUUUUCAUUAUUUUAUUGUGUCCAAUCAUGCUAAUUUAAUAAAAAAAAUACAGAACACUUGAGGAUUUAGAUAUUCAACAACUUUGGCCAAGUUUGAAAAAGAUUAGAGCUUCCUUCAUGCUUUGUGUUCUUAUGUUACACAUGAUCAUAUUAUGUUACAUUUGACAGAAAACUGAAAAUUAUUGAAAAAAAAAAAUCUUAGUUAGCACAUGAUCAAAAUGAGAGAUUAAUGCACACACAUCACAACAAUGUUUCAUUCAUUUUGAAUCUAUAUUUACAAAACUUGUAUCCGAUGGUUUACAUUUGUUUAAUCUAACUGCUAUGACAUGUGUACUGUCAAAACGCUACAGCUGCCAUCUCUGUUUGUCCUUGUUGCAUCCUUGAUCUUAUAUUAUCCUGGAGAUUAUUGAAUGUUCUUCUCAUUCUCAUGUGCUCGAGGGUCCUUUCUUGAGACAUUUCAGCAAACACCUGAUUCAUCCUAUUAAACAUUAGCAUCAUUAAUCAGUAAAUGAUGUAAGGUAGCCCUGUUUCGUGAAGUCAACAUAAAUCAGUCACCUUAGAUUUUCUGAGUCUCAGAGCACAAUGGGUGAUGAUUUGAUGAGAAAUAUUAAUAUGCCUUCAUCCCCUGAAUUAGCUAGAGCUGGUUGUCAUUUUCUUCUUUCUUUUGGUACGGUUUUAGAUUUUUAAUCAAUCAGAUUCAGCUGCAUGUUUGCUUUUAGUCCAAACCAAAAUAAGAUAUUAAGUACUUUUGCCAGAAUAGACGCAACCAAAAUUCUAUGGGAUCUGUAGUUCCUAGUUCAUGCAGAAGCGACCGAAUGCUUCCUGCAACUCAGGCAGAUAGAACCUUGGUUGAUUCGUUUUUCUUCAUCUGAAAUUCUACCUAAUGCCUAUCCUCUUAAUUGGUUUAAAUUCUUCUUUUUUUUCUUUGAAUUGUUGAUUUAUAAUGUCUUGUAUGCAACAUUUAUAAUUUCGGAUGAUGAUAAUCUUGUUUAAGAAGAGAUUUCUAGUUACGGCAGCAGCGUUCUUGAUCAUGGCAUCACAAGCACGUGCUCUGGUUUGCUUAGUUUCCUUUUUGUCUCUGAUAUUUUCUUGGCAUUGUGGGAUAUUGUUUCUCUUUUGAUUUUCUGUUUUUGUUUGCUUAGUUUCCUUUUUAUGUCUGAUAUUUUCUUGGCAUUCUUGUUCUCUCUUAUAAUAAAGUGCUUUUGAUAAAUUCGCCUGGUCGGUUUACUUCACUAACCAUUAAUGAGCAAAUCCUCCCAGUGACUCUCAAACUCUUCUACACAAUUAUAAUAAUUUCAGUUUUACAUAUACAAAAAUGAACAGCUCUCAAACAUAUCAUUUGAUAAUGACAAAAACAAUAAUUCACUCCAAUAAAUCUCAUAAUAAAUACAUGAUCUACAUUGCAAGUCUUUUUAGGACGCAUUCAAAGAGAAAACAUAAGGAAUGGCAAUGCAAGAAUAUGGAAUCAGAAUAACAGUGAUACAAAGAGAAAAAAAAAGGGGAUGGUCGGGUUGGGUUGCUUGCAAAAUUAUUGGUGCGGGGGUCUACUUGUUUUUGUGUCACUUUAUUAAUUAAUUACCGAAGCAAACACGUCAUCAUUUGAAAAAGAAUCACUAGCACCAGCUUAUGAAAAAUAAAUUUGUAAGACAUAUUAAUUUGAAAAUAUUUUGGAAUUUCAGUCUAAGUUGAUUUGUCUAAUUAUGUAUGCACAAACUAGCUUGACCACUUCUUUCAUAUUGAUACCUAUAAAUUGCAACCUUAUUUUACGUUGAUGCACAAUCUAACUUAACAAAAAAAAUAUUCAAAUUGUCACAAAAUAUUUUCUUCUUAAUAUAUAUAUAUAUAUAUAUACAUACACACAGUAGUUAAUUUUCCUUAUUCUUCACUCCAGGAUCCAGCUGCAUACCCCUCUUUUUUGUCGUUAUGUUGCUCAACCGUUAGAUUUUAAUAACGUUAAUCUAACGGUUGAGAUUUGUAAAUGAAUAAUGAAGUGGUGUUUGGCUACUAUCUGAAAAUAUCGGCAGCCAUCGACGGCGAAUCUGAACAAAGGCAACAGGAGGUGAUCGUGGUGAAAUUGUUUUUUGGCAUGCGAAUCUAACGACUUUCAAAUACGUUCAUUCAAAUAUUAAAUGCAAUUCAGGCAAAUAGAAACUUGGUUGAUUGAUUGCUUUUCAUGUGAAAUUCUACCUAAGGGCUAUCCUUUUAAUGGUUUGUACUGUCUUAUAUGCAAAUUAAAUUCGGAAUUCGGGUGAUAAUAAUCUUGAUUUAGAACAGAUUAGGUAACAUGUGGCAUUCUACAUUCUUGCAAUGCCAUUUCUUUUUAUGGCAGCACCAUUUUUUAUCAUUGUUUGUGUGGACCUAUUUGCUGAAUUCAAAACUUGGCGUGUUAAAACGGCAUCGUUUUGUCCAUUAAGAUGUUUCAAGUUGUCCCCGGCUGGACAUAUGACUCACUUAAUGAUACCAAAACGGCGAGGCAUGAAGGUGUUUCGGCUAAGGGCUUAAGUUCUGCAUGUGACAAGCACGUGAGAGAAGAAUCAAGUUAGUUAUAAGUUGUUAUACACGUGGCUGGAUCUGGUGCAAUCUGGGGUAAUGAACAGCCGUUAUAUAAGCUGAGCUUUCAGGCAGUUUCAGCAAGAUGUAAAGAGCUUCUAGAGAGAAUGAAGAGAGAGAAAAUGUAUCAUCUUAUUCCUUGUUAGUUUCUCCGUGUGAGCUCUGUAAAAUACUUUGAUUCAUAAAUAAAACUCAUUUUAGUCGAUUCUCCCUUGGAUGUAUGUUCUGCCUCAUUGCACAGCCGAACCACGUAAACAGUGCUGGUUUCUUUUUUUUUCAUUUGUGUCUAUCACUAAAAAGCAGAGCACUUGCUUGAUUGAAUAAUGUCAUAUUACAUCACAUAAACUCUCUCAAUUAUUGAAAAAGAAAAUCGUAAAAGAGAUGUGUUGAAUUGAUAACUGAAAAAAUCUUAAAAAAUCUUCAAAGUUUUCAAUUAUUGAUAACUGAAAAUUAUUGAAAAAAAAAAUCUUAAAAGAGAUGUGUUGAAUUGUGAAAUUAAAACUGAGUUUCAGACAUUUCUGACAUGUCGGUUUAUAUUCUUGAUUGUGCAUGCCCUGUCGGUUGCUUGAUGAAACAGGAGAAUAUUGACAUCUGUGUAUUAUCGUUUACUUCCUGCAAUUAAAUCACAUGUUGUUCACGUGAUUCCAUUUGCUCUAUGCGGCACAUUUGGCAGUCGUUUAGGUCACUUACUGAAGCACGGGUUAAGUACUUGAUUCAAGGUUGUUAACUGACCUUUACAAGGCGGGAAAAACAAACCCGGAAUGCAGCUAGUGAGUGGGGGACUUUUCUAGACUCUUCAUGAUAUGUAUAUAUAGUCUUAGAGGCUAUAGUUGAGACAUAUGAAAAGCUUGUAACUUCUUCUUAAUGUUUGUAGUUUGAUCUCGGUGAUGGAGAUAAGAUUGCUGCCCUGUUCUCCAGGCCGAACCACUUAAAAUGUGCCUCUGUUUUGCUUGAUGACUACCAGUGGUGAGAAAACAGCUACAGAACAAAUCAAGCUUGAUGACUCAAAUAUUAGGGAAGCCAUAGUCAAGGCAUCUGGUUUAUGCAUCAACAGUGGUUCGUGGACUAGAAUUCUUAGCUAUUGCCGCUUCACAAUUGCACUGGAAGAAAGCGAAUUUGAUCGAGCUUUGGAUCGCAUAGCUAAAUUCAAAAGCAUCGUACAAAUAGUUAACUCAAAAACGGUAUUGUCAUUUGUCAUGAUUUAUUUCUAUUGCCUGAUGAUGAUACCCAUCACGCCUUAGUUGUCGUGAAUAAAUCUAAAAUCAAAUUGAACUGGCUUUUACUGGUUAGCAACAUUUGUGACGUUUUGAGAUUAUAAUAUAUGACAACACUGAUUAGUGUUGUCUCCCAUGUGAAUUGAGACAAAAAUUAUUUUCCCAAUUGCGCUUUCAUUUGAACAAUUCCACUGUAGAUUUAUAAAAUAAUGAUCAAAUUGUGUUUUAUAUUAAGUUACGAGUAAUUGGUUAAAUAUUAAUACAAAACUAUUUUAAGUAACAUGUGGCAUAUUCUAAUUCUAGCCAAGCUUCCAACUAAGAUUCCCAAAUCAAAAGAAUUUCAAUCUUCAGAACAUUCUGCAAAACGUUUAGUUUCUACGCAGUGCUAGAAUUUUCCCUAAGUUUCUAUCGCAAAGACUUCUAAAGAACUAUUCAGAUAUCGAGCUAUAAUCCAGUCUAAAGUGUAUAUAUCCCUCUAAUUCACCUCCCUCCAUUUCACCAGAAAAUCAACAAACACUUAGCUUCAAACAAACACUCUAAAAAAGCUAGCUAGCUAUUCAGAUGGCAAAACCAAGAAUUCUUGCAAUGACAAUGUUGUUUCUUGUUAUGGCAGCAACAUUGAUGAACAUGGCAUCGCAAGCAAACGCUCUGAUGUCGUACACACAAUCACCUUUCAGGGUUCUUGAACAAACCCCUUUAACAAUCGCAAAACGAGCUGAUCAUCAUCAAACUCUAGCCCCGGCGAGAACAGACUAGAUGGAGACACCAACAGCCCACGUGAUCACGCUCGACAUUCCAGGGAUGAAGAAAGAUAAUGUAAAGAUUGAAGUUGAAGAGAACAGAGUACUGAGAGUGAGUGGGGAGAGGAAGAGUAAUGAUUAUUACAAGGAGGGAGUUGAAGGAGAGAAAUGGCACAGAGCUGAGAGGACAUUUGGCAAGUUUUGGAGGCAGUUUAGGAUGCAUAUGAGUGCUGACUUGGAUCAUAUUAAGGCUCACAUGGAAAAUGGGAUUCUGAGGGUCACAGUGCCAACGCUUGCUGAGGAGAAGAAGAGGCAGCCUAAGGUUAUUAACAUUGAUGAAGAGUCUGGUAAUUCUUCCAAUGAAGAUAUUAAGGCUACCAAGGCUCAAAUGUAAUUGAUUAAAGAAAGAAGUGAUUGCUUUGCUUGAUGUGCUAUUUGUUUAUGAUCUUUUCUUGGUUUUGUUGUGAGAUGUUUCUAUUUGGAUGCUCUAUUUAAUGUAUUUUGAUGGGUUUUUGAGGAAGGCUUGUAUGUAUUGACAACAAUAAAGUGCUUUUUAUAAAUCCUAGUCCUCCAACACUAAAAGAAAUUAAUACGCUUGGUUUAUAGUUAAUAAAAAUAUAUAUAUUUUUAAAAAAAGUCUUUUUCUUUGGCAUAUAGUAUGCGUUUUGAGGGAAAAAAAAUUAUCCCACUCCUAAUUCGUCCUCUUCUGCGAUAUUAAUGUGUUAACACGAAGAUUCAUUGUAAUUGCAACAAUUUUGACGAAUCCAAACGUUCAAUAACUGUUAAAUUGUAUUUAUAAAUACUAAUAGCGAAGGUACAGAAACGAUUAAUUCACGAAGUUGCUUAAAGUGCAUUAAAUUAGAGAGUAUAAAUAAUUGUGUGAUACAGUCCAGCCUUCAUCUGCUUAUAAUUAGCAACCAAAAACCACUUUGCAACACCAUUAAAAAAACAUUUUAACAUUAUUGCUGAGGGAAGAGGCAGCUUAGGCUUAUUAACUCGUAUUAUUAAUGCUGAUGACGCAGCUGGUAAUCCUUUUGGUGAAUAUAUUAAGGCAGCUGAAGCUUAAAAUUAAUUAAGCCCACUAAAGCUUAAAACUAAUUCUUCUGGUGACGAUACUUUGCUUAGUUCGCUUUUUGUUUUUAAUUUUUUUGGGGCUAACGUUUUGCUUAUUUUGCUUUUAAAAUUCUAUUCGCGUUGCUGUGGAAUAUUGUUUCUCCUUCGAUUUUCUGUUUUUGUUGUUAUCGGAUUUGAUGAUGGUUUAUAUGUACGAAGAUUAUGUAAUAAAGUGCUUUUGUAAAAAUACUAAGGUAAUAUACAUUACACAUUUGUACUCAAUAAGAAAUCAAUUCAUUAAUAUAAGCAUUAAUACCCCUGGUUUAUUGUUAAUGAAAAUUAAAAAAGAAAAAAAAAAGUCUUUUUCUUUGGCCUUUAUUAUGGAUUUUAAGAGGAAAAAAAUUUAUCCCACUCCAAUUCAUGAAGAUAUUCUCUUUUCUGUCAUAAAGAUCCAUUGCAGUUGGUGAAUUCAAAUAUUCAGUAACUGAUGAAAUUGUAUUUAUAAAUUCAUACUAAUAGCAAUUGAAGAUUAUAAUUAAUUUUGUAAUAUGAUCUAGCCCUCGUGUGUUUAAUUAGCACUCAAAAACCACUUUACAUAAAUGAGGUUUCAACAGCUGAGAAAGAGAUAGCCAUUAUACAUUACACAUUUGCACUUAAUAAGAAAUCAAUUCAUUAAUAUAGCCAUUAAUACGCCUGGUUUAUUGUUAAUGAAAAUUAAAAGAGAAAAAAAAAGGUCUUUUUCUUUGGCCUUUAUUAUGCAUUUUAAGAGGAAAAAAAUUUAUCCCACUCCAAUUCAUGAAGAUAUUCUCGUUUCUGUCAUAUUGAUGUGUUAAUAUGAAGAUCCAUUGCAGUUGGUGAAUUCAAAUAUUCAGUAACUGAUGAAAUGGUAUUUAUUUAUAAAUUCAUACUAAUAGCGAUUGAAGAUUAUAAUUAAUUUUGUAAUAUGGUCAAGCCCUCGUGUGUUUAAUUAGCACUCAAAAACCGCAUUACAAUAGGCAUUAAAAGAACAUUAUAACGUCAUUGCUGAUGAGUUCUGGUGAAGAUAUUAAGUUAAGGCCACAAAAAUCGAAAUGUACGUAGCUUCGUUUGUUUUUUGUUUUUGAUUUUUUUUGGGGGGCAAAUGCUUGGCUUCGUUUGCUUUUUCGUUUUUGAUAUUUUAUUGGCUUUAUUGUGUGGCAUGUUCUUGUUUUCUUUUGAUUUUCUGUUUUGGUUGUUAUGGGAUUUGAUGACGAUGUACAUGUACAAAGAUUAUGUAAUAAAAUGCUUUUGAUAAAUUGUGGAACAAAAGAAGAACACUAACGAACUAAUUAAUUACUAAUAAGAACAUUAACAAUUUUUGCCGAAGUCUGAUGAAGAGAAAUAUUACACAUAAGUAACGGUACCGCGGAAGGAAAAAAUAAAAGAAACUAAAGUUUAUUUCAACAGCUAAGAAUGAAAUAGGCAUAAGAAAUUAACCCAUCAAUUAAUUAAUUAAUACAGUCCCCUGCUACUAAAUAAUGCGAGCCCCUUACUGUACUUAACAUUUUUCUUUUUAAUAAUUUAAAACAGUUUUCAACUGAGAUUUGAAUUUUAAAACUACAUACACAAAUACACCUGAUUUUAAAGAAAAAAAAUUUCUAAUAAUAAAAUAUUUUACAUAUAUAACCAUAUGGCGAAAAAAUAAAUAUAAGAAACUGAAGUUUCAACAACUGAGAAUGAGAUAGGCAUAAGAAAUUAAUUCAUUAAUUAAUUAAUAGAGUCCUCCUUUGCUAAGCUAAAUAAUGCGAGCCCAUUGUUCUUUUUAUUUCGAAAACCCAUUAAUCACCAACACAUAAUACACGCCCAACUUUUUUUUUAAAAAAAACCUAAUAAUAAAAUAUUUCAGUCGUCCUCUGUUGAGUCGUCCUCUGUUGAGUCGUCAUAAAAAACCCAUUUACCAGCUAUGACAGCAAGAGGAAUAUGGGUUAACAAGUCCCAAUAUUGUCCUCCAUCCUUUCUGCACUUCUUUUCUAUCAACGGACAAUCCACGAUUCUUAAUUGCAAAAGUGAGGAAGGCAGGCCCUUCUCCGGAAAGUAUUUGAGCUUGGGACAAUGAUAGAGACCCAAGUGAGUGAGGUUUUGAAGAUCAACAAUUGAAGAAGAUAGGCGUUCCAGAUUUGGAAAAUUGUAAAUCCACAGAGAUGUUAGAGAGGCAGGAAGAGGAAGCGCGGUCCCUAAUCUUUUGUCCUCUAGUGGAAAUGACACCAUGUCGUCAUCGCAUCCUAUGAUUUCAAGAUGUCGCAGACAGGAGAAUCUGUGAAAUCCCCGGCCCCGCUCAAUCAUUGACUUCCAAAUCUCCAUAUUACCCUCAAUCCAAAGUGAAUGAAGGUUGAUGGGAAGGCCAUCUUCUUCUUCAAGGCUUGGAAGCUCACCUCCUUUUCCUAUUGUUAAUUGUUGAAGAGAGGUCAGAUUGUGCAAUCCCUUGGGUAAGGCCUCUAGUCUCUUACAAUCAAGUAUCGUCAGCCUCGUGAGUUUCGCACAAGGGAAUGCCCCUUGGGGAAAGGACACUAGAUUUCCACAAUACGCUAUGCUAAUCUCUUGAAGCUGGCGGAGAUUAUGUAAACCACUCGGUAAAAUUUUCAGAUUUCCACAAUUAGAAAUGUCGAUUGUUUCAAGAGAUGUGUUGUUGUCCAACCUUUCUGCUAUUGACUCCAGCUUUGAACAUCCGCGAACAGAAAGGGACUUAAGAGACGGAGGUAGAUUGCCAACUUCAAGGGACUCAAGCGUGGCAGGUAACUCAUUUUUUGAAAAUAUACAUGUCAGUGAUGGACAGCUGUUAAUACGCAACUGCUCAAGAAGAGAUGAGGUGUACCUUCUAUUGCUGCUGCUGCUGCUACACUGGAUGCCCUCUUCCACUGUCAAAGUCCUUAUAUUACUGCAAUUGUUAAUCACCAACUGCUUAAGGCUCGGUGGUAGCUGGACUCCAGCAAUAUAUGUCAACGAAUGGCAAAAGCAAAUCUCCAAGAUCUCGAGAGAUGAAUUGGUGUCGCACAUCCAUGCCUCUGGUAAUGAUUUCAGUGCAUCACAUUCCCUAAUCUCAAUUGUCUUCAACUUGGAAGGCAGAGCAACCUCAGGAAAGGAAACAAGGGAACUGCACUUGUAGAUUUCUAUCUCUCUCAAGGAACUGAGACUGAGAGAUGAUUGUGGCAGCUUCACAAGGCCUUCGCAAUAUCUCAAUCUUAGAUAUUCGAGUCUGCAUGACAACUCGCAGAGCUGCUGUUGUUGGCCUUUCUCUUCCUCCGCCACCAAGGAUUGAAGUUUGGGACACCGUCUAAUCGUCAGUCUUCUGAGAGAGCAAAUGUCUUGCAGUAAUUCGUUAUGACUCUUCCAUAUAUAUGUCUGCUCUUUCAUUUCAUUUAUCUUCAAUUCUUCCAAUUUUGGUAGUCGCGGCUUUAAUGGCCCUGCGAGAAACACUUGAUUUGAUCUAUCUCUACAAACCACUGAAUUCUGUGAGCCGAGAUGAUCAGUUGCACUUCUCCACACAACCUUUUUACAUCCACCACUCUGUAAUUUGCAAAGAGCUGGAAGACUCGAAACUGAAACUGACAAUUCUUCACAUCCUUUAAUAACAAGCUUCUCCAAUGCAGGAAGGCGUUCUGGAAAUGUUCCUUGCAGCUUAGAACAUCUUAAAAUGUGAAGCUCUCUCAAUUUAGGAAACCGUUCAACUCCCUGACUGGAUCCAUGAGGAAUCCAGUCUUCCCAUCCUUGCAUGUCUUCAAAAUGAAGAGUCUCCAAGCAUGGAAAAGGAAUUGGAGUAUCAUUCCCAUAGAACUCUGAACCCAACCUCUUUACACUAGUCAUUCCACAUACUGCAAGAUGCUUUAGAGAGGGUAGUUGCCCGACUGACGGCAGGGUAGGACACAUGCCACAAUAUUCAAAUUUUAAGGUCACCAACUUUGAGAAUGAGGAAUCUCCGAACCAAGUUGGAAAUUUUGCACCUCUAUAGCCGCUGAUACAAAAUUGUUCCAAAUUUUUAUUGGGUUCUAGCAUGUCAAGCACGUCCUUUUCAAUUUCCGCCUCCCUUGAAGACGAGCCAUCGGUACUGAGUGUCCAUCGAAGCAAUAAUUCUCUAAGAUUCUUCUUUCCAUCCAAUUGAGCCUCCUUUGCAUCACCAACGUCUUUUACAUUCUCCAAUUUUGAAAUGUUAAGUGUCCCAUGAAGGUGCGUCAACAACUUUAGCUCUCGUAACCCGGAACCACUGCCUUUUCCCACAACAAAAUUACACAACGUCUGAAGACUAGUCAACCUACCAAUUCCUACUGGCAUUUCCUCCAACGACUUCGUAUUUGAAUUCUUAAGAUGAUGCAAUUUGGCGAGGUUUCCCAUGUCUGCACACAACUUCUUCAGCCGAUCACAAUCUUCCAACAAAAGACUAUGCAAAUUGUAAAGCUUGUUGACUGAUUCAGGCAGAGUUCUAAUCUCAGUUGUAGACAGGUUAAGGUACCUUAAAUACCUCAAAUCACCAAUUGAAUCCGGCAGCUCAGGGAUGCAGUAUCCACGCAAAGAGAAGACCCUCAAGCGUCGGAGUUUGAGCAACUUAGGAAGAAUGCUAGGAGCCAAGAAGCCAGGCGAACUUUUUGUCAACAUUACUGGUAAAAAAGUUCUCAAAUGCUGGAUAUCAUACAAGUCCCCAAACCUUUUACCGCCAUCAAAAUAUUCAGGAAUGUAUGAUAGAUGACGAAGAUUUUCGGAAAAACUUUGCUGCUUGUAAAUUUCUGAGGUAUACUCCAUUGUGAAGUAUAUCUCCCCCGCAGCCCAACGGGCAAGGUCAUUGAUAAGAUCGUGCAUCACAAAUCGUGAUGUAUUGUUGCUUAAUUGCUGGAAAAAAGAUCUUGAACGUAGCUCUUGAAAGAACUUUCGACCUAGAACUUCGUUAGGAUUCCCACUCUCUUUAUGAACCAAGAAACCCGAAGCACUCCAUAAUAAAAUUAUCUCCUCCUCUUCAAAUUCAUAAUCCUUCGGAAACAACGAGCAGUAUGCAAAGCAUUGUUUCAAAAUUGGAGGAAGAUAAUAAUAGCUCACUGCAAGAGCUGGUAUAAUGGGACAUCUAUCUUCUGGUAAUUCCCAUAUCUUGCUACUGAGCACAUCUUCCCACACACCUCUGUCAUGUUCUCCACAUAAAAGUCCUCCCAGUGUUUUUGCUGCCAAGGGAAAGCCAUUGCAUUUGAUCACUAUCUUCUUACCAAUGUCCUCCAAUGACUUGUGUGAACUGAAAUCUCUUGUCCCCAAAGAGUGCUGAGCAAACACAGACAGACAAUCCUCAGUUGACAAGUUUUUCAAUUCAUAAGCUUGAUCCGGCCUCAUGAUUUUUGCAACCUGUUGAUUGCGAGUAGUGACAACAAUCUUACUUCCCUGUGCGCCAGCUUCAAACGGACGGCUCAUGUCAACCCAGUCAUUGUAAUUCUCAUUCCAAACGUCGUCUAAAACGAGCAAAAAUUUCUUUUGAGAUAACUUCUUCUUCAGCUCCUCUUGAAGCAAAUUUAAAUCACUGUCAUCAAUAGUCUGCUUGGUAAUGGAUCUUAGAAUUUUUUUUGUUAGCCCCUUAACGUCGAAAUCCUCAGAGACACAAGUCCAUGCCUUGAGAUCAAAAUGAUCCUGCACUCGCUUAUCAUUGUAGACAAGCUGAGCAAGAGUGGUUUUGCCCAGGCCGCCCAUACCUAUAAUAGGAAUAACAGAGAAUCCACCAUCGUUGCUUAAAUCAUCCCUCAACAGCAGUUCAACAACAUCCUUCUUUUCUGUUUCCCUGCCAUAUACUUUGGCUUCAGUCACUAAAGAGGUUGUCUCCAGCCUUUGACUGGCUUUGUUGGACCCUCCAGCUGAACUUUCUUUCAAAUCUAGCAAGUUUUUCUGUGUCACAAUUUCUUGAAAUCUGCUGUUGAUCUCUUUGAUUUUGGACAUCAAGCCAUAAUCGAACUGAAUCGAUUGUGGAGUAAAAGUGGUGCAGCAAGCAGGAAUGAGCUUCCGAAACUUACUUGUUCUGGCACGACUGCUACUGGGUUGAUCAUGAGCAGCAGCUGGUUCUCCAUUUCCAAGCAGCAACAUCCUCCGGAAAGCCUCAGUUUGAAACUCAUCCAACAAGUCUUCAACAUCAUAAGCCAAGUUCUGAAGCUUGCCAAGCCACUUCUUCACAGACCGAUUAGUUGUCUUCUUCUCCUCAGCAUCAUCAAGCACCGCCUUGAUCAUCUCCAACAUAUUCUCCCACUUCAUUAGAUAGUCUUGGAUCUUCUCUUGGCGUGCAAAAAACAGAAUCCCCUCUGAAGCUAACUUAUUGACCAGCAAAUCAACAGAUGCCGUAAGGAUUGCCUCUCCGAUGAUCGACAUUUUUUUUCUUUUUUUUGGGCAAAGGAAGAAAGGAGCAGAAUUAUGGGUUAUGGAAAGCAGAAUGAGAAUAUUGAACGGGUGAGAAAAUGGAUAAUUAAGCGGAAUGAGUUUGUGAUUGUGAAGGGUCUGGUACAGCAAGCUUAGUAGAAAUCACGCGUUUGUACUUUAUUGACCAAUGACUAAAUAAUUUGGCAAUGCACCCACCACCACCACUUGGUGAGCAAAAUGAAAAAGUUUAAUAAGUGGAGGGGUCCAGCAAAAUACGACGUAAAAUGUGGCAAGUCUCCCCACUUGUUGUUCGUUGCAGCUAAGAAAAGAAAAAACAGAGCCCACCACCCAUUAAUAAUUUAGCAAAUCACCAAUCAUCACAAAAUUCCAUUAGAUAUUCGUCGAUCAAGUAGUUAAUCCAGUGUCUGCUACGUAGAGCCUUCACUUUACAAAUCUUCAACUCAUAAACCAAGUUAAAUCAAGACGUUUCUCUCUCUGUAUAUAUAUUUUUUAACUCCUAAAACGUUUCUUUUUAGAAAUAUUUUACUUUAUUCAUCUAAUAUGUUAUCUAACAAAUAGACACAGAUGAAAUCACUCUAAAGUGAAGAUGAAAGGGGAAAAAAAAAACAUUCAACCACCAAUAAUUUAGCAAGCUUCACUUUUAUUCCACCAAAGUGUAAAUAAAGCCAGCCCCCACCACCAUCGAUAAUUUUGCAAGCUUCACACGCUUGUUGUCUUCUCCUUGACGAACUGGACGGGGUGGACCAAGAAUCAAUGAAAGAAUUUUAAAAAUAAUAAUAAAAGAAAAACAUAAACAUUUUGGACUCAGAGUAGAACCGUAAUUAAUGCUAAAAUUUACUCCGCUAACGUUUUCAAAAUAUUGUUCUUUACAAUUGUACAGCAAAUAAGACUAAGUUUUGGACAUUUUCGUAUUCACUUACUUUCAAAAGCAGUAUUUCGAAACAUUUUACAGAAUCAAGUAACAGUUAUAUAACGAGAAAAGUGCAAAGUUGUGUAAUUCAGAUCAUUUUUUAUUUGGGUCGCCAACUCGCCAAUGAACCCAUGAUUGAAUGAGUGUUUAGAAAGAAAAUCAAUAAAAAACAGUUUUUUUUUUGUCGUUGAAAUAUAGUAAGUGAGAAAGAUUAUUCUGUUUUUUUUGUUAAUUAGGUUAGUAAUUAUGAUUGAGUGACUCAGAACUAUAUUCUAGAUUGAGAAUCAAUGGUUCUCCCACACUGAGAGGCUGUAAGUUUAAGAUUGUCGUUUGCUAUUUCAUCAACAAGAGAACACUUGAAUUUAUUAAAAAGAGAAGGCCAUAAAAGUUUUCUUUUAUGAGAAAUGUAUCUGAUCAUUCCUUUUUACUUGAAAAUUUCAUAUAUAAAAACUCAUUAAUAAAUGACAGAAUAUACAUAAAUUAUUAAUUCAUUUGAUAGUUGAUUAUCGAAGGACAUGUGACCCAUGGGAGCAUGCAGACUAUAAAAUAAUUCUUUUUUUUAUUAAACAAAAAAUCGGUGAUGUUGAAAAGCAAUAUUAAUUCGACUGAUAAUUGGGGUGAACAUUCAUAAAAAGAAUGCCGUAUGAAACUAAAUUAUUAAUUCGUUUGACAUGUGACCCACAAUAAAUAGUUAAAUUUGGCGGCAACAAUAAUUACAAGACGAACUUAAAGCAGCGCAUAGGUUUUUCUUAAAAAUACAUAAACAAUUCGAUAUUUGAAAUUCUAAUAUCUCAAUAAUAUUGAUCAUGAUUCAGUUACCAAUUAGAUCCACUUACAAUUUCUUUUUUUCUUUUUUCUGGUUUCCAAUCUUUACCUAAAGAAAAUAUUUAGUGAUCCCUUUUAUCAACUUGGUUUUAUUGACUUUCUUCCAAUCAUAGAAGUGAAAAGAGAAACAGAGGCCAGCACCAAUCAGUGUUACCAGAUUCUGUAAAGGCAAAAUCAGUGCCCAGCAAAAAGAAGCUAUGUUUUCGUUAUAUGCUGCUUCCUAUUUAGUACAUGCAUAUAAAGAUAUACACGUGCACAUGCAGUACAUCUAUCUAAAAUUUAAAAAACGGAAUUAGAAAUACAGGAUUAAUGGUAGAAAUACAACAGGAAUAAAAGUGAAAUAAGCAGAAUGAGUUUGUGAUUCUGUCUAGCAAGCCUAGAAAUCAAGCAAAACCCACCAUAAAAGCGAAAAGCAAAACGGAGCCCACCACAAAUAUAAAAUCAGAGGAGCACAGAAUUUAAAAAAAAAACAAAAGAAAAGAAAAAGCCAAGCCAAGAAUCAUAUGCCUUUGCUUUACAUAUUAAAUUAACAUAAAAGCCAAGCGAGGAAUCCUGCCUUUGCUUGAUAUUUGACAAGAUUAAUUGGACAUUACACAUUAUUUCACAGAGAAUAAAACUUGUAUAGAACCAAACCCAUCAAACCCUUUCUUUAUCUUAAAUGUCAGAAAUAUAAUUAGCUUGGAAUAAAGCUAUACUCUUCUCCCUUUUCCAUUGCUACAGGUUCAUAUAGGCAUAUCAUAUGGAUUUUGUUUUAUGCUAGGUAAUUAUUAAUUUAUAUAAUAAUAUAUUUCCCUCAAAAUAUACUACUUGAAUUUGAAAUAAUUUUUUAAAAUAAUUUAAUAUCACAAUAAUAGUCAUGAUUCAAUUCGGUUUAGUUUAAUUUUUUUAGAGAAAAAAUUUGAGAAAAUAGACAAAUAAUGAAGACGCAAUUGAAGCACAACCAAUAAACAGGGUAAAGUGAAUUGCGUCCUGUCCUUGAGCACUCAAUUCUCUUCAAUCUCAAAUUUAUACGUACAUUUUUGUAAAUUCAUGUCAUAUACUAGAGUCUUUUGGGUUCUGUUAUAUCAAUUGUUUCGUGUUUAUCUUGUUUUAUUAAUUUAUGGAGCAAGAUUGCUAGUAGCGAUAAACCUGGAAUAAAACGAUUUAUUUAUUUUAUAUAUAUUUUGCGUUGUUAUCAGCAAAAAAUAUGAUGGGUUUCGUUUGUAACAACUAGCUAAUUGCUUAAUACAUUUUUGUACUUCUCGUCGUGAAGUCACGAGGAACUUGUAAAUAAGAUCAUAGACGUGGUACGAUGUGACGUGAUAAAUUUAAAUCAAAUCUAAACUAAGAUGGUUCAUAUAUAGUUAAAUCAAAUCUAAACUAAGAUGGUUCAUAUAUAGUUACAUACUGAAUAAAGAUAUUUAAACAUAAGCAUUCAAUUUUAUGAUAUACCUAAUAGUCAUUGGCUUAUAGUUAUUAAAGGAACUGAAUAGAAAUAGACGAAGAAAGUGAAAAAGAUGAAUUAGCGCACAUGAUGAUUUCUCAGAUAAAAAGUUAAAUUUAUAUUCUUUUUUUUAAUAAGUGUGAGAUGAUUUACACCCUAAAAUUUAUUUUGAGCACUCAUAUUUUUAUUACAAAAAACCCUAUAAUUCAAUUUACUGGUAUGGACAAUUCAAUAAAAGUAAAUAGAACAAUAAUACUUUCGACACCAUCAGGCUAUAGCGCGCACGCACGCACCCACAUAAAAAUGAUACAAAUUUAAAAGCAUAUUUAACAAGUUGGCUAUAGGCAACAAUAAUACUUUCGACACCAUCAGGCUAUAGCGCGCGCGCACCCACAUAAAAGUGCUUAAUACAGUGAAAUUAACGUUCAGCUCACGAAGUCGCCAUUAUAUUUAUUGAAAAAGAGAUUAGUACAAGACAUUGAAAAUUAAUUGACAUUGGAUUAGUUGUUAAUUAUGAUCUUGGUCUUUUAAUUAUCAUCUAGCCAACACAGGUCCACUAGUUUCAUUUGUGUCAAUCACUGAAAAGUAGAGCUUGAUUGAACAGCGCAUAUUACAUCACAUAAACUCACUCAAUUUUCAUUGCCAUACGUGUAGCUCAAAAGUACAUAUUAUAUCAGUGAACAUGGAACAUUCAGCUAACCUACACUAAUUAAUACAUACGACCAUCAGUUAAUAGUACCCAGCAACAUCCAUCCAUUAGAGUGGAACUCCCAGUGAUUUCGUACGUACAAAAGACAAUAUUUGACAAUCACAAAAACAAAAACAAUUUACUCCAAUAAACAACAUAACAAAUACAUGGUUGAUAUUGCAAGUUUUUUUUUUAUGAUUUUAGUUAAAACAGAAAGUAUGAAGGACAUAUUUAUAUAUAAUAGAAUGUUAUAUAUAAUGUUAUCCUUGAUAAUUAGAUAAAAUAAGACUAAUCUACCUAACUAAUCCAAUCAUCAUACUAAUCCAAUUUUCAAUAUUUAAUUAUGUCCAGUCACGCUAAUUUAAUAAAGAACACUGAACACUUGAAUAUUUAUAUAUUCAACAACAUUGGCCAUGGUUGAAAAAGACCAUAGCUGCAUCUAUGCUUUGUGUUGUAAAUUAGGACAUGAUCAUAUAAAUAUUGAUUGUUUCAAAUUAGAUUAUACAAAGAUGAAAAAAUGCUAAUCUAGAAAAUUCAAUCAUAAUAAUUUGAUUUCCAUUAUAUUAAUUAUGUUCAAUCAAGCUAGUUUAAUAAAGAACACUCGAGCAUUUAUAUAUACUCAACUUAUGAAAUUUAAUUACAAAACAAUCUUUAACAAAGUCUGAUGAAAAGAUCAUAUUAUAGGUACAAAGUUAGACUUCCCAAUCAAGCAACUAUCCAUCAAAUUGUGUGUUGUGUUACCGUUGAGCUCUUAUGUUAAUUACGGCCAGACCGCGCUUUGGCUAACAGUGAGACAUAUGCGGACAUAAGAUCUGCAAAUGAGGUGCUGCGAACGAGCGAUGUACUGUUUUUAUGCGACAUGCUAUGUACUCUGUUUUUAUGGUCUUUCUUUUUGUGGUUGUUGGACUAACUGUAAUGUGAAUUUCUAUCUAAUGAACAUCCUAAUCCUUUGAGUUAUUUUGGGAUUGUUGAUUUAUAUAUAAUGUUUAGUAUCCAAAAUUCAGAUGAUGAUAAUCUUCGCAGUAGUUUUGUCAAGUUUUCUUUUGUGUUGGUUUUGGUAUUUUAAUUUUGUACGUACCUAAUGUUAAGGUCAAUAGGGACCUAAUUUAAAAACUAUUAUAAUUUUACAUAUAUAGAUACAAAUUCAUGUUUAAGAAUCCUUUUAAUCAACCAUUCCAGUGUUUUAUAUUGAGUAAUUGGUUCAAUAUUAAUACAAACUAUUUUAAGUAACAUGUGGCAAAUUCUAGUGAGCUCCAACUCCGACGAUCGAUUUAUUUUUUUCUUUUUUUUAGGACAAAGAAAGAAACCAAAUUACGAGCUUGUGAAAAGCAGAAUGAGAAAAGUGAGUAAGCAGAGUUUGUGAUUGUGUCUAGUAAGCCUAGAAAUCAAGCAAAACCCACUAUAAAUAUAAAAUCAGAGGAGCACAGAAAUUCUAAGGAAAAAAAAAAGGAAAAAGCCAAGCCAAGAAUCAUAUGCCUUUGCUUUACAUAUUAAAUUAAAAUAAAAGCCAAGCCUGGAAUCCUGCCUUUGCUUGAUAUUUGACAAGAUUAAUUGGACAUUACACAGAGAAUAAAACUUGUAAAGAACCAAACCCAUCAAACCCUUUCUUUAUCUUAAAUGUCAGGAAUAUAAUUAGCUUGGAAUACAGUUAUACUCUUCUCCUUUCUCCAUUGGUACAGGUUAAUCUCAACUGUUUGAAGAGAGUCUAUCAAUUCUUCUUAGCUAAGAAUAUAAAAAAUGUAUAAACUUAACAGCUAAUGACAUAAUUAACAUAACACAAUUAUUACACUAAAUGAAAGAAAAGAAUUUAACAAGCUUCCGCACAGUCUUGUUUCAGGCUGGACAUUGGUGAAUUGACCAAAAGAUCAAUAAAAGAAUCUCAAAAAACCAAAUGGAAAUGGGACUAAUUUUCAGAUUUUUUCAAAUUACACUUAUUUACAAAAGCAAUACAAAAUGAUUUCCUUUUCAAAUUACACAUAUUUACUAAUAGUGGUGAUUAAUUUAUUUAGCUUGUCAUAGUUUUCAAUUAAGAAUGAAGUUCAAUCAAUUUAUUUGGGGGGGGCGGGGGGGGGCAAAGAUAUUUUUUAUUUUUUUGGGGCAAAAAAAAACAUAAUUUUAUUUUUUUUUCUUUUAGAUUUUAAUUCCUAGGAUCUAAUUUCACUAUGUUUCGAUUAUUGAUGUUGCUGAAGAGGGCAGUACAAGCUUGCUGAAAGUCAUCAAAUGCUUGCAUCUCAUCUCACAAAUUGGGCAAAUAUCGGUUGGUUUCUCUACGGUUUGCCAUCAUGAAUUGAAAGUGACAACAACCACCAACUUAAAAAUAAUUUCAAGUAUCUUUUUUACUUGAAAUCCUUGAAAAGAAAAAUUAAUCAGAUUGAAUUAUACAUAUAUGUUUGAGGGAAAGAUAGGAAAGGUAAUAGAGCGCCACGUGUCUGCCAAUGGAAUGAUAUCAGCACAAUCGGAGGUACCCUGCAUAAUCCGAGGUGCCCGACAUGACUUGAGGUACCCCGUAUAAAUAGAGGUACCCUGCACAAUUAGAGGUAUCCCACACAAAUAGAGGUACCCCAUACAAAUAGAGGUACCCCAUACAGAUAGGGGUACCCUGUGUAAUAGGGGUACCCUGCGUAAUAGGGGGUACCCCAUGUAAUUCGAGGUACCAGGCAAAGCGGAUGCAAGAGAAUCCACCGAAAAUACCCGCCAUGAGAAACGUCUCCGCCUCCUAAAAGAUAUCAUUUGAUUUUUUCAGAAUUAGGAAUCAAAAGCGACGUGCUAAAAGGAGGGACAGCCGCCUGCUACCUCUGCCAAAAGUGAAGGACACUGUCCCAAGGACAGUGGUCCCUAGCCGCCUACCUGACAGCUACUGCAGAGGUACCCUGGACCACUCUCCAGCGCGCGCCACGUUUCCAAAAGAUGAGAUACGCCGCGAAUAUGCAAAUAACGGCCCAAAAAUAAUUAUAAAGAGGUAAAAGGACGUUAGCCAAAAAGGGUACGCCACGUGGCAGCUGAGGUACUCCAUAUAUAAAGGUGCCUAGAUUUCAUUCUCCAGGAUGCUCUCAUUCGCCCAAAAAUACUCACACUCCAAAAAAGAGGUUUUCUUCAACCUUAAACCCUAAUUUACAGAGGGCUAGCUAGCUCUCUUUGCCAUAAAAGCUUGAGUUUGCUAACUUGAGCGUCGGAGUGUGAACGCCGAGGUACCCCGGCUUCACCUCUAACCUCCAUUUCACUGUUUUGCAGGCGUGAAGCUCAUUUUGAAGGACACCUCUCUUGUUUCUGACCUUCCACCAUUGUUACCACUCUCUCUCCCCUUCUCACCUCCCACGAAUUUCAGAUACACCGCACCGCGCACAACAAACCAGUGAGGUACCCCAUCUCCCCUCAAAAUAACAAAUUUAUUGUUCUAGAUUGGUUUGGUUUUUCUUACCCCAAAAUCAGUUGAAAACAAUAUACAUAAAUUCGAUACCAGUUGAAAAUGUGAGUAUGAUUAAUUAAUAAGAGAGAACAAGAAUUGAUCAUGUCCCAAAACAGAGAAAACUAGAUUGUGCAAACUUGCGUGCGCAUAUCAUAUGUUAAUCUUAAUAUUUUGUUGCUGAAAAUUAAUUAAUUAGUUCCACUACUCCCUUUCUUAAUUUUGUGUUAUGUACCCCAUUGGCAACUUCUGAAAUAUGUUGCAUAUUUGUUAAUUCAAAGAAAUAGAACUUUUGUAUCAAUCAGACUUUACUUUAUUAACAUUCUUCAUCAUUAUGAUUAAUGGCUUAGCAAAUGUAGGAGGAGGGUCAGCCAAAAUAAAUAAAGUACUUUCUCAUGCAUUAACCUUUAUUAAAAGGCCUUAUUAAUUGUUGCAGUUAAAAAAAAAANNNNNNNNNNNNNNNNNNNNNNNNNNNNNNNNNNNNNNNNNNNNNNNNNNNNNNNNNNNNNNNNNNNNNNNNNNNNNNNNNNNNNNNNNNNNNNNNNNNNUACUCUAUUUUUUUGUCGUUAUUCAGCCGAGCCGUUAGAUUUUACUUACGUUGAUCUAACAGUUGGGAUUUGUAAAUGAAUAACGAAGUGGCGUUUGGCUACCGUCUGAACCCACAACGUCUAGUUGGUUUUGUGAUUUUUUACUAUCUUCUCUGUAACGCUUGACUAGUUCUGGAAUUGUCGACCGCUAUCGACAGCAAAUCUGAAGCAUGCAUUAUUUUUGGGCAUCGAUUUUUCUUCUUUGAAUCUGAUAUUCAUUUCUUUUCUGUGGCAAUAAUAUCAUAAACUAAUAUUUCCUAUUUUAUUACGAAGGUUUAAAGUUCACCUUUCACACUAAUGUCAUUCAGUUCUUGAAUUCUUGAUAGGUUAAAGUUUUUGUGAAGCGCUAAUCAAAUAUGUCAUACAUCAAAAUGCAGGUCUUGCAUUUCAAUCGUUGAAUACUGCCCCUUCUCUUACUAAUUUUCAAAUUCGUACUAUCUUAUAAUUGGAUCAUCGAUAUUUUAAGCGCCAGACCUUAAUAAAACUAAAAUUGUCCUUAAUAUUAAUAAUAUUAAUCACUUAUAUAAUAUUGGCUUAAAUUUUUUAGUAGAUAAUUAAAUUAACUUUUACUAAUUUACUAACAACCCCUUAAAUUAAUUAUGUAGUUCGCGACCUAUUUUCCUCAUAAAUAAGAGUAGAUGAUUAAAGCCUCCUUUAGUCGAUGGGCCAUAAUCAUUUGAAAUUUGCGUUGCUUUUUCUAUGUAGGACUAAGAGAUGUACCUCAAUUCUUUUGAACGCAUGUAAAGUAAAUUCAUAAGCUUCGAAGAAGUAAAUUAGUCAAACUAAUCAAAACAUCCAUUAAGCUGGUCAGAGGAUCAGACCGCUCUCUAUCCACCCUUAUCACCGCCUGGUCCAAACUCAUUUUUCUUUGAAAAUAGACAAAUAAUAAAGCCACUACAAGUUAAGCAGAUCAAAUAAACAGAGGAAAUAGCUGAUCAAUUCUUUGUGCAAUGGCCACAGCAACAACAAAAAUAUGUCUACAUGACUACAUUAAUCCGACUGGCGUGGUACCAUCGCCAUGCAGCAUUACAGCAACAUUUGAUCAUCUAUCAAUUUUCAUGAUAUGAGAUUAGAAACAUUGAGUUUAUAAUUUUAUGUAAUUUCAUAGAAAAGAUAUAAUUGAUUUGAGUUAGUUUAACAUAUAAGGAAGGAGUAAUGAGGAAUGAUAUCGCUGUGGCAUGUGCUGAGUAAAGAUAGACAACAAAUAUUGAUCAUGUAAUAGUGAAAUAUGUAUUUAUAGAAAAAUAUUUGGCAAUAAAAUGAUGCUAUAAGAAUUUAAUAUUAGUUGCAAGAAAAUAAAUUGACAAUUAAAUUAAUAGAUAUAUAUGCAAUGCUUCGAGUUUAUCUUAUCAAUUUGAUAACCAUUUUGUAACUACAUAUUAAUUAGAAGUUCAAUUAAUUUUGACCAAAGACUCCAGAGAAUGUGGAGAAGAGAUUUGAUUUUGGUAUUAAUAAAAAUAGAAAUGAAAUAAGUCAAAAACAAUUACAAGAACAACAAUAAAAGCAUAUUUUAUAAAAGCCACAAAUACAUAAUAUAAAUUUGAUUUUGAAUUACGCAAUUACUAAUUUAUAUAGUAAGAGGGUCUUAUAGAAAAAUAGGAAUUUUUUAAAAGAGAUUUGUUAAAGGAAAAAGUUUAGUUUGGUCUAGUUCGUGAAGGCUCAAGUAAUUGAAUGCAAUGCAAGUGAAAGAAACACAAACUUCUAAUUUUUACGAAGUAAUCGCUAAAAUAUUUGACAAGUUUGAGAUUUUAAAAAGGCUGGGAAAAUAGACCAAUAAUAAAGACCCUACAAGUUAGCAUAACAAAUAAACAGAUGAAAACAGGGUAGAUAUUUACCAUUAUACAUAGAUAUAUAACGAAUGUUGCGAAUUUUUUAUAAUAGAGAACAUAACUCAUGGUUUAGCAAUAAUCAUCGGCUCACUGGCCGUUAGUUCAGAACGACAAUUCUUAUUAGUCAAAGAAUCAAAAUGAUUUUUAGUUGUUUAUAAGUAGAGCACUAGAUCAACAAAUAAUUGAAGACUUGCUUUUGCUAUUGAACCAUGGGAUGGCAAUUCGAAGACUAGAGCUUAAGUCUGCCAUUCGAAGUAAGCAACUCAGCUGCCCAAAGACUGCCAAGCCACCAAGACAAUGCGAAGAUACGACAUCAAGAAUUACAUACAGGCCAUCUCAUAUUACAUCUCUCCUCUGUUUUAAGAGAGAUUUACGAACCCACGCACUAGGAGUAAUUCAUUAAUCUAUACAGUUCAGUACUCAUUCCUCCUCUAUUUCGAAUCCAAACCAUUUAUUAUGACGCAAGGUACAUGGGUUAGCAGGUGCCGAUAUUGUCCUCCAUCCUUUUGUAUACGUUUCUUCUAUCGGAACAAUUUACAAUUAAAUAAAUCAUUCAAAAUCUCCUUUAGUCGAACCCCCAUUUAUAUGGUUUAAUUAAAUAUCACAAAGUUGCCUAAUACAGAGAAAUUAACAAAUUCAGCCCAUGAGAGUGCCGUUUUAAUGCAAGAAAUUGAAAGUUAAUUAACACUGGAUUAUGUUGGAUUGUUACUUGUUAAUUACGAUGGGAAUAUAAUCUUGGUCCUUUUAUUAUCAUCUAGCCAACCCAUGCGCAAUAGCUUCAUUUGUGUUUGUCACUAAAGAGUAAAGUUGCUUGAUUGAACGGUAUCAUAUGACAGAAACUCAAAACUCUAUCAUUGUCCGAGUAUACCAUGCCACAUAUGUAGCUCAAAGGUACAAUAACAUUGAACAUUCAGCUAGCUAGCUCAUACUAAUUAAUUUAUAGGAUUGUUAGUUCUUUAUGAUUAACUAAAAGUGAAAAAAAAUUGACAAUCACGAAAACAAUAACAAUUCACUCCCAUAAAUAACAAAAUAAAUGCAUAGUCUAUAUUGCAAGUCUUUUUAUGAUUUUAAUUAAAAGAGAAACUACGAAGGACAUAUUAUAUAUAAUUGAAUGUUCUCCUUGAUAAUUAGACAAAAUAACAUCAAUCUGGCUAGCUAAUCUGAUCAUCAUAAUAAUUCGAUUUUCAAUAUUUAAUUAUGUCCAAUCAUGCUAAUUUAAUAAAGAACACUAAAAACUUGAGUAUUUAUAUUUUCAACAACUUUGGCUAAGUUAAAAAAAAAAUAUUAGAGCUGCAUUUAUGCUUUCUGUUAUUAAGUAGGCCAUGAACAUAUUAUGUUGCAUUUGUUUGAAAAUUAUUGAAAAAAAAUCUUAAAAGAGGUGUGUUGAAUUGUGAGCCGGAAACUGAGUUGUACACGUUUCUGAGAUGUCGGUUUACAGCCCUGAUUGUGCAUGCCCUGUCGGUUUCUGGAUAAAACAAAAGAAUAUUGACAUCUAUGUAUUGUCGUUUACUUCCUGUAAGUAAAUCACAUGUUCUUCACGUGAUUUCACUUACUCUAUACGGCACAUUUGGCAGUCAUUUUGGUCACUUACCGAAGCGCGAGUUAGUACUUGAUUCAAGGUUGUUAACUGACCUUUACAAGGUGGGAAAAUUCUGGGUUUGUUAAUGUAGCUGGUGAGUGCGGGACCUUUCUAUAUUCUUCAUGAUCUGUAUAUAUAGUCUUAGAGGCUAUAUUUGAGACAUAUGAAAAGCUUGUAACUUCUUGGUGAUGGAGAUAAGAUUGCUACCUUGUUCUUCAGUGGAUAAGAUCGUCCAAGCCGAACCACUUAAAUUGUGCCUCUGUUUUGCUUGUUUCUGUUCUUAUUCUUGGGAGGUGUGUGAUUUGCUAGCAAUUAGAGAGUUUAGUGAGAUCUUUCUGGUUUUAGGUUGAGUUUAAUGGAUCAAGAAUCAACAAGAUGUAAUGAAAACAAAAUGAGAGAAUAAUGCACACACAUCACAGCAAUGCUUCAUUCAUUUUGAAUCUAUAUAUACAAAAUUUGUAUCGGAUGGUUUACGUUUGUUUAAUCCAAUGGCUAUAACAUGUGUACCAUCAAAAGCUACAGUAGCCGUCUUUGUUUGUCCUCGUGGCAUCCUUGAUCUUAUAUUAUCCUGGUGGUUCUUGAAAGUUCUUCUCAUUCCCAAGUGCUGAGUUGCUUGCUGAGAUGAUGAAUACUUGAUGGUCCUUCCUUGAGACAUUUGAUGAGAAAUGAUGUAAUCAAUAUAGAUCUAUUUUGAAAAAUCAAUAUAAAUCAAUCCCCUUAGAUUCUCUUUGUCUCGUAGCACAAUGGGUGGUGAUUUGAUGAGAAAUAUUAGUAUGCAUGCAUCCCCUGCAUUCGUAAGAGCUGCUCGUCUUUUUCUUCUUUCUUUUGGGUACUUUUUUAUUUUCAUUCAGUCAAAUUCAGUUGCAAUCAGAUAUUAAGUAUAUUUGCCAGAAUGGAUGCAACAAAAAUUCUAUCUGAUCUGUAGUUCAUGAAAAGCGGCCGAAUGCUUCCGGCAAUUCAAGCAGAUAGAAGCUUGGUUGAUUGAUUGCUCUUCAUGUGAAAUUCUACCUAAUGGCUAUACUUUUAAUGGUUUAAAUUCUUCUUUUUUUCUUUUAAUUGUUGAUUUAUACUGUCUUGUUUGCAAAUUAAAUUCGAAAUUUCGGAUGAUGAUAAUCUUGAUUUAGAACAGAUUAGGUAACAUGUGGCAUUCUACAAUCUUGCAAUGCCAUUUCUUGUUAUGGCAGCAGCAUUUUUUUCUCAAUUGUUUGUGUGGACUAAUUUUCUGAAUUCAAAACUUGGCGUAUUAAAACGGCAUCGUUUUGUCUAUUAAGAUUUUUCAACUGUUCAUGAAUGUGUUUUUGCUAAGGACAGCCUAAGUUUUAAGUUCUGCACGUGACAAGCACGUGAGAGAAGAAUCAAGUUAGUUAUAAGUUGUUAUACACGUGGCUGGAUCUGGUGCAAUCUGGUGUUAUGAACAGCCGUUAUAUAAGCUGAGCUUUUCAGGCAGUUUCAGCAAGAUGUAAAGAGCUUUCUAGAGAGAAUGAAGAGAGAGAGAAACUAUCAUCUUAUUCCUUGUUAGUUUCUCCGUGUGAUCUCUGUAAAAUUACUUUGAAUCAUAAAUAAAACUCAUUUUGGUCGAUUCUCCCUUGGAUGUAAGUUGUGCCUAAUUGCACAGCUGAACCACGUAAACAGUGCUGGUUUCUGCGUGUGAUUGUUUGUUAAUCUUGCUUAUUUCUUGUUUCCUAAUGGCUGAAAUCUUGCUUUAAGUUCUCAACUCAUCUAUUGAGUUCAUCGAGGUCAUUCAAUUGUUCAUAUGUAGCUAGUUUGAUCUUGAACAAGGUCUUGGGCAGUGUUUUGAUAGCUUGAUUAGCGGCUAUCUUGACAGUACAAUUGGUAUCAGAACUAGUUCUUCAGAUCAAGAUCCAAGUAUGGCUACAUCAAAGAUUGAUCUUGAGCUUGUAGACUCAGUGAUAAGGGAAGUGGCAAAAGAAUCCACGCUUGCUGACUUAUGGGCUAAGUUGGAGAGUAUGUACAUGAGAAAAUCCCUUGCUAACAGAUUGUACAUAAAGAAGGGGAUGUUUACCUUAAAGAUGAUUGAAGGCUCAUCUCUUGAUGAUCAUAUUGAUGGGUUCAACAAAGUCUGUGACACUUUGAAAAGCAUUGAUGCAGAAUUAAAUGAUGAAGAUAAAGCCUUGCUAUUAAUGAGCUCUCUUCCCAAAGUCCUAUGAGCAUUUUGUUGAUGGCUUGAUGUGUGCAUAUAUGCAUAUCAUAAAUUUUAUUUUAUGAUCGCGGCUAAUCCGACGACUUUCGAGUACAUUCAUUCAAAUAUUAAACGUACCAAGUCUACAGAUUUACGUUUUGCCAUUUGUGGCAGGAUAGCAAAAAUUACAAAUGGUCAUUCCCAGCACGAACACCUAUGGCUCUUUUCCUUUAAUUUUCUUCUUAGAAUUUUCCUUUGAUUAAUCAUUAGAAAAACUGCUUUCUUUUUUUUUUUCUUUUUUUAAACAUGUGCCGUUAACAUUUACAUGGUUAAUCUCAUCGAAAUCAAAUGGUUGUUAUUCCCAUUGCAACCAUAUAUUGUUAUAAAUUGCAUUGUUUCCUAUAACAAAUAUAAUAAAAUCUCAAUAAAUUAAUAGUUCUGGGACCAAUGAAAAAUUAGUUAAAAUUUAACGAAUAUCAAUUAGUCGAUAAGUUAAUAAAUUAUUAAUUUAUGAAAAUAUUCAUUAUUUUGGGAAAAAAAUGAUUACGUUUAUAGUAUUGAUUUACCUUGAGUUAGAAGCUAUUACGUUUUAUUUGAAUAGUAGUUUUCUUUUAAGAAGAUUUUUUAAUUAUAAAGACUAUUGUAUGAUUUUUAUUUUUCCAUGUUAGAGAUGAUAGUUCUGCUAUACAAGCUGUUUCGAUCAAAGGAUUAGAUGAUAUUGACAUUGAAUAAUUUUUUGUUGCAAAAUGACAACACCAAUUAGAAUUUCUUUUCGCAUUACAAAAGUAAAAAAUGAAAUCCAAUUCUAAAUUAAUUUACAAAGAAAUAAACUAUGCUGAGAAUAUAUUUUACACAAGCCAUAUAGACAUAUCAUAUGGAUUUUAUUUUAUACUAGGUAAUUAUUAAUCUAUGUAGUAAUAUAUUUCCUUCAAAAUGUACUAUUUGAUUUUGAAAUUAUUUUUUAAAAAUUUAAUAUCACAAUAAUAGUCAUGAUUCCAUCGGUUUGAGGUUUUUUUCUUUUUUUUGUUUAAGAAAAAAGAUGGGAAAAUAGCCAAAUGAUGAAAACACAAGCUAAGCAGAGCCAAUAAAUAGUGGAAAGUGAAUUACUGUCCUUGAACACGUUCUCUAAUAAUCUCAAUAUUCUACAUACAUUUUUGUAAAUUCGUGUCGCAUACAAAAGUCUUAUGGGUUUUGUUGCAUCAAUUCUUUGGUGAUUUAUCUUGUUUUAUUAUUUUACGACGCAAGAGUCCUCGAAGCAAUACAUUUGGAAUAAAACGAUUUAAUUUAUUUUUUGUUGUUAUUAACAAAAACUAUAUAUUAUUAAUUAAUCAACUCAUCGAGAUAUUGGUUUCAUUUGUAACAAGUAGCUAAUUGCUUAGUACAUUGUUGUACUUACUCGUUAUCAUAUCAAGAAGAACUUGUAAAUAAGAACAUAGACGUGGUACGCUGUGAUGUGAUAAAUUUAAUUCAAAUCUAAAUUAAGAGAUGAUUCAUAUAUAUAGGUACAUACCGAACAAAGAUAUUCAAACAUAAGCACUCCAUUUUAUGAUAUACCUAAUGAUAAUCGGUUUAUUGUCCAUAGGAAAUUGAGUGAAUAGAAACAGAUGUAGAAAGUCAAAAAGACGAAAAAGCGCACAUGACGAUUUAUAAAAUAAUAAAUUAAAUUUAUAUCGUUUUUAAUAAGUGUGAGAUUAUUUGCAUUUUAAAAUUUAUUUUGAAUGCUCUUAUUUUUUAUUACAAAACCUCAUAAUUCAAUUUACUAUUAAGAACAAUUCAAUAUAAAUAAAUAGAACAAUAAUACCUUUGACACCCACCUAGAGCGCACACACCCAUGUAAAAUUAUUAAACCUUAAACCGAAGAACGUUCUUCCUCAACAUUAAAACUCGUGCAUUAUUUAAAAGUAUAUUUAACAAAUUUUCACAAAGAGACUCCAUGAUUCUAAUUUCUUUGACUUACAUUUCAAUUUUUGUGGAAUAUAUAUCUAUUCCAUAUUAAGAGAUUCUGAAUUUUUCACUCGGCUGUCAAGGAGAUUGCACUGAAUAAACAACAGCAGAAAAACAAAUAAAAAACCUGAUACACAUGUAGAAUAUACUCAUUAAAUUUUAAUUUUCGGCACAAUUAUGAGCUGCAUAUUUACACACACACACAAAUAACUGUUCUGCAAAUAUGUACAAAGCAAUUUCAGCCAUCCAACUUUUUUUGGAAUUUUAAUGAAUAUAAAUUUUAUAAGUUGGACAACUAUGAAACAUAAAAUUAGCAAAAUGAUAUUAUUAACAAAUAAGGAGAGGAAAAGGUAAUUAUAUCUUGGUGUGCUAAAUAUUUUUAUGGGUGUAGUGAAAAAACUAAAGAUAAUGGAAGAAAUGUUAUUGAGGAGUAUUUUGAUAUUUACAAAAGUGUUCAAAGUGAAAAGUGAUUUCCUAAAAUCUAUUAACUAGUGCGCAUAAUAGAAGGGCAUUUUGAGAAAAUUUUAGAUUACAAAUAGUCCCAUCCUUUUAAUAAUAUUCUUCAAUCAAUCUGUUUAUUUCAAAAUAAAAAAUCCAUCUCAUUUUUACUUUCUAAUUAGUCAUAUUAAUGUGUUAAUAAUUACGAAGAACCAGUAUUAUUUGUAUGAUGUAGGAAGCCCUUUCGACACAAUAACCCAAAUUUCUAAGAGUAGCGGCUGGACUUGAUUGGGAACAACCUCGAUUCAGUUUAAAAGGUUAAUCUCAAAAUUUCGUGAUAUUGUGCCUAAACAGCUUCCUGCAUCCGUAUAACAGUUUCCAAAACUUAAUGAGUCCAAAUAUCCAAUGGUGAUGACACAUACGCAUGGAAGUCCCCUGAUUUGAGUUUGACUAAAAUAAUCUGAAUAAUUUAAAACAACACAUCAGGCCAAAGUCCUUAAGAGAUGAACUGGAUUUCGGUGCAUCACAUUCCGAAAUUGAUACUAACCUUAAUUGGGAAGGCAGAACAGCCUCUCUUUCCUACUAUUGCACAAAAUGGCAAGUCAAGCCAAUGCAAGGAACUUCCCUGUUUUUUUACUGAAAAAUACAUAAUCUGAACAAUUUGUAAUCAAAUAAAUCAUUCAAAAUAUCCUUUAAUCGAACCCCCGUUUCUAUGGUUUAAUAAAAUAUCACAAAGGUGCCUAAUACAGUGGAAUUAACACUCAGCUCAUGGGAUUGAAAUUAUAUAUAUUGAAACAGAAAUUAAUACAAGAAAUUGAAAAUUAGUUGACACUAGAUCACGUUGGAUCGUUAGUUGUUAAUUAUGAUGGAAAUAUAAUCUUGGUCUCUUAAUUAUCAUCUAGCUAACGCAUGUGCACUAGUUUCAAUUGUGUCUAUCACUGUAAACAGUAGAGUUGCUUGGUUGAAUAGUAUCAUAUUACAUCACAGAAACUCACUCAAUUUUCAUUGCCAUAUGUAUCUCAAAAGUGCAUGAACAUUGAACAUUCAGCUAACUUAUACCCAACAACAUCCAUCAGUCAAAGUGAAAACCCAAUUGAUUUCAUAAAUACAAAAGAGCAAGUUUCACACAUGCAUGCAUGUGUCUGACCAACACAACAUGGCUUGUGGCAAGGAUCAAUCAAAGAAAUAUAAACUUACAAUUUUAUAAAUGUUAAGUAGAUAAGAGCACCAGCUCGGCCAUGUCGUCAUCCCCACGCUGAGGUGGACCACCUCAGCCGAGUGGUACGAGCCGAACACUGGUAAUGAGCCUUCUACAAAUGGGCCGACCAGAGACGAGUACCAGCCAGAAGAGUAUACCGAUCAGAGACAUAUACCGAGCCGGUGCCCAUCCCCCAAAGAGCGGGAACACGAUCUCACAGAAUCACGCCAGUUGCGCUUUUCCCAGAACCGUUGAGGGAGACGCGAGAUCCCACGUUUGCCCACAAUGUAGCAGUUAGAAUCCCAUGAGGGGCUGCCACUACCCGAAAAAAGGGGACGGAGGGUGAAUGAAAACGUGGGACAGCGGCUAUAAAAGGGGAAGAAAUCGAUGAAGAAAAGGACAGAAAAAAGGAGAGAGGGGAAAACUCUGCCAAAUUGUAUCCAGACCCUUUUUUAGUACCAAUAGUGAGUCAAUUCUAGGCAAUUAUUUGAACCUUAAUUGCACCGUUUUCCCGUAAAUACUUUGUGCUAACUUAGGCAUCGGAGGGUUUACGCCGGCAAAACCACCGGCGUCUCUGACCCAUUUUUGUGAACGCAGGCUUAGUGAGAAAAAGAAGGAGAAGUCUAACUCUAGCAACUAGAGCGAUCGUUGAAGCAAGGAGAAAUUGACAUCCUCAUUGCUGAUAUUACAAACGUUGGUGUAAAGAUCUGGUCGGGCAUAGGACGAGCAGAUUUCGGCAUCAACAAUAAAGUAAGCAUCAAAAUGUUUGAGAAGUUUUAGAUUUGUAGAAUAUUGGGAAAACAGACAAAUAAUCAAUGAAGAAACUGCAAGUUAAGCAGAUCAAUUAAACAGAGGAAAUAACUGAUCAAUUCUUUGUGCAAUGGCCACAGCAAAUGUGAGGUUAUAAGUUGCUGAUGUGUUGGGCUUAAAUCCAAGAUUCGAAGAGUUCUGUGUGAAGACUGACUUCAGUUGGAGGGGUCUUAUUGUAAAUUUUAUGCUGAUGUGGCAGAGUUCGUUGAGAAUUCGUUAUGCCUUUUCCAGAAAUAUCAGAAUAAAAGGCGCUGGUGAUUAGCCCCUGAUCUGAGAUCAAUAUCUUCUUCAUUUCUUGUUCAUUUUGUUGGAAAUUUGGUUCUCUGUGAUCCUUGUAAUUGCCUCUUCGUAAUCAACCUGUAUCUCGAUUGUUAUGAUCAACAAAAGAGCAGUUUUUUCCUUCAUUGACUUGUGUACUUGAAACAGUGCUCUGUGUUCUAUUCUUGGAAUUGCUUUCGUGUUUGGUUGAUCUGGUUUGAUUCUUUCAAGUCCGAUUCAUCAAGUUCUUCACGAACUAACUUGUGUAGCCAUUAAAGUUUCAACAGCAACAGAUUAAAUCUGUCUACAAGGCUACAUUAAUCCUAAUGGCGUGGUACUAUCUUCAUGCAACAUUACAUUAACAUUUCAUCAUCAAUCAAUUUUGAAGAUAUGAUAUUAAAAACAUUGACUUCAUAAUUUUAUGUAAUUUCAUAUAAAAGAUGUAAUUGAUUUUGAGUUAGUUUAACAUAUAAAGAAAAAGUAAUAAGGAUUGAUAUCAAUGUGGCGUGUGAUGAGUAAUAAUAGACAGUAAAUAUUAAUCAUGCAAUAAUGAAACAUGUAUUUAUAGAAAAAUAUUUGGCAAUAAAAUGAUGCUAUAAAGUUUAAUAUUAGUUGCAAGAAAAAAAAAUUGGCAAUUAAGAUUAACAGAUACAUGUGCAAUGUUUCGAAACAUGUAUUUAUAGAAAAAAAAAAUUUCUUGCCAAUUAAGAUUAACAGAUUCAUAUGCAAUUAAGAUUAACAGAUACAUAUACAUAUGCUUCGAAACAUGUAUUUAUAGAAAAACAUUUGGCAAUAAAAUGAUGCUAUAAAGUUUAAUAUUAGUUGCAAGAAAAAAAAUUGCCCAUUAAGAUUAACAGAUACAUAUGCAAUGCUUCGAGUUUAUUUUAUCACUUCGGUAACGAUUUUGUAACUACAUAUUGAUUAGAAGUUCAAUUAAUUUUGACAAAAAACUCUGGAGAAAGUCGAAAAGAGAUUUGAUUUUUGUAUACAAAAAAAAAGUAAGAAAUGAAAAAGCCAAAAUCAAUUACAAGGACAACAAUGAAAGCAUAUUUUAUAAAAGGCACAGAUACAUAAUAUAAAUUUAGUUUUGAAUUACGUAAUUAUUAAUUUAUAUGGUAAGAGAGUCUUAUAGAAAAAUAGGAAUUUUUAAAAUAGAUUUGCUAAAGGAAAAAGUUUGGUAUAUUUUGUGAAGGCUCAAGUAAUUGAAAGCAAUACAAGUGAAGGAAACAUAAACUUCUAACUUUUACAAAGUAAUCGCUAAAAUAUUUGACAAGUUUGAGAUUUUAAAAAGGCCAGAAAAAUAGACAAUAAUGAAGACCCUACAAAUUGGCAGAACAAAUAAACAGAGGAAAACGGAGCAAAUAUUUACAUAUAUAUAUAUAUAUAUUUUCCAAAACCAAUGUUGCGAUUUCUUUUUGUAGAGCAAGUGAAUCCAAACACAAGCCAGAAUAAACGACAGCGUUUAGAGCAAGGGUUAAGAUUCGUUAUGAAGCCACGUGAGUAAGCUCGUGAUCUCCAUAAGUAAAACGACGCUCAGCCUUGCGUUUUGCUCAUAACAGACUUAACAGAGUUGCUCGUGCCAGUCACGUGUUCAUUUAAACUCUUCUGAAUCGGUUUAACGGCUGGACACGUGGGAAGCAGCUUUGCGUUCUGGGUUCGAAGUUUGUUAUUCUUCUGUUAUAUAAGCUCGUUGUAGUGUGAUUUCGAGGGUAUUCUAGAGUGUUGUUCAGUUAAGAGGAAGGUGAUCCUUGUGCUCUGUAAACUCAUCUCUGGAUACUUUGUUUUUUCUUGUUCACGAAUCAAUAAAAGCAAGCUGAACCACAUUAUCUCUGUGAUUUUGUCUCUGAUUCAUCUCUUUCUUUCUUCUUGAUUCUAUUUCUUGGAAGUUUAAGUCUGGUUUGUUGAAUAUUGAGUUGAUUCAGAUUCGGUUCUGUGCUUGUGCAUCUUGUGUUGGUCUCAUUCAAGAUCUUGGGCAGAGUCUUUGGUUUGACAAGUUAAUUAGAUCGUCCAAAGCUCUACGUUUUUUUUUUUUUUAACAAAAAAGAAGCACAGUCUGCUAUUAAUACUGUAGCAUGUUAGCUACUAUGAAAGCUCGUGUCUAAUUACCAAAUAAAUUCCACUUUAACAAAGAAUAGAAGCUAAUUUUAUUUUUUUCUUUUUGUUAUUGAAGUUACCUCGCAAACUGCUCGGAAGCUUAUUACAAAAUUUCCUUUUACUCUAGGAUCUCUUGAAUGGUCCUGCAAUUUGUAUUCUUUUAUGUGGGAUUGGUUUUUUCUUUAAACAAAACUUCACGGAUCAGAAACCUUACCCAUCGAAUACCAACUUUGAAAUUUAUUAUUAUUCAAACUUAGAAAACUGCAGAAACAAAGUGCCUUUAAACAAAUUUCAAGGAUAAGACAAAAUUAAAUAAGUUAAUUUCAUUGUUACUACAGAAACAAAGUGCCCUCAUAGCACCAGUUAAGCUGUGUCUUGCUACCAUGCUGGUUCUAUUUUUAGUUUAUUAAAUAUAUACAAAAUUAAAUCACCUGAGCCUCUAGUUUCACUAGUUUCCAACUUGAAAUUAAAACGCGAAAUUAAUGGUAUUGGAGUUCGUUAUUUAAUUUUGCUUUGGUUCAUGGGGAAUCAGAUGGCCAUCCAAUUUUAUGUCUAUUUUAUGUACUAUUGGCCACUAAGUAGCUUGCUUAUAUAUGUGUAUUGGGAUGUCAUAGGCCUUAAAGCUGAAAAUCAAUCCCCAAUCUAAAGUGAAAAACAGUAGCUAGAACAGAUUCUAUGUUUUGAUGUCUUUGUUUAUAAGCUCAAACAAAUUAGUAGUGUAUAGAAAAUGCAUGAUAGAACCCAAAACUCAUAUUGAUUUUUAGUUUCGAAAUUCAUUUCAGAAAAUCUGUUCCGUUCAACAGAUUUAACUAAAUUAUCAACUAAACUCUAGCCAUGUACUUGCUUAUCUAUGGGUAGAGCACUAGGUCAACAAAGGAGUCCAUCUUUAAGGCCUUGUCUAAGACUGUGGUUGCCUUUUUCAUGAGCUUCUGGCUUUCCAGCUUGCUGAGCGACGUACACAUAAAGAGGUUAUCCUUCUCUUUUUUUCUUUGUUUUCAUAUCACAGAAUCCAUUUUUGAAUAUAUGUAUUUAGGUACACACACACAUGAAUAUAUAUGCAUGUUUUUAUGAGGAUAUUCAAGUAUAUUAUUUGACAAUCACAAAAACAACGAUCCACUCCAAUAAAUCUCAUAACAAAUACAUGCUCUAUCUUUUUAGGACUAAUUCAAAGAGAAAAUACGAAGGACACAUAAUUGAAUUUUGUCCAUGAUAAAGAACUCUAAACAAAUUCAUAAACUUAUUGCAGUACCUGUUAAAAAUUCAUUUGUUUCUUCUUUUCCUUUGAUCAACAGCUAAAUACAGCCUUGAAAUUUCAUUUAGUUUUGGUUAAUUUUCUGUGGAGUUGUGUUGUGUGUAAUAGUUUUGUUUCACGAAAUCGGUAGGGGAAGAGAAUUUUUAAAAGCAUAUCAAUGUAAUGAUCAAAGAGACGAAAUCAAUACAAAUAUUGAUUGUCUCAAGUUAGAUUAUACAAAGAAGAAAGAAGCUAAUCUAGCAAUUCAAUCAUAAUAAUUUGAUUUCCAUUAUAUUAAUUAUGUGCAAUCAUGCUAUUUUAAUAAAGAACACUCGAGCAUUUAUAAAUAGUCAACUUAUGAAAUUAAUUACAAAACAAUCUUUCGCAGAGUUUGAUGAAAAGACUGUGUAUUGUGUUAUCUUGAGGUCUUAUAUCAAUUAAAGCCAGGCUGCGCUUUGGCUGACAGCGAGAUAUAUCCAAACAUAAGUGCUGCGAAUGAACUGGGAAGACGGUAGGAAGAUUAAGCUGCUGAGGAGAAGAUAUAUGCAAAAGAAAUAAAGCUAAUCUGUUUUUAUGUAACAAGCUAUGUACUCUGCUUUUAUGGUCUUUCUCUUUGCGGUUGUUAGACAAACUUGAACGUAAGUUUCUAUCUUAUGUGUGUCCUAAUCCUUUUAGAUAGCUUGAGAUUGUUGAUUUAUAUAUGACGUUUGGUAUCCAAAAUUCAGAUGAUGAUAAUCUUGGCAGUACUUUUAUAAAAUUUUCUUUUGUGUUGGUGUUGACUUAAUAAAAUAUUACAAAGGUGCCUAAUAUAGUGAAAUUAACAUGAGCUCAUGAGAUUGCCGUUAGAUAUAUUGAAAAAGAAAUUAAUGCAAGAAACUGAAAAUUAAUUGAUACUAGAUCAGGUUGGAUAGUUAGUUGUUAAUUAUUGUUAAGUGUGAACCAGAAUUCAGUGUGCAGGGCAAACAACAAUGUCGACCAUCAGACUUGGCAGAAGACUACAUGUCCAAUAAAAGCUGAUCAGGGCUGUACGACAACCUUCCCAUGUCAAUCAGAAUUCGUAAAGUAAUGCACGUGUGUAACACGUGAUCUCCUAAUAACAUAUUAACUGAAACGGCAACUUUUUUUUUUGAAAAGGCUGAAACGGCAACUUACUACUGUCGUUUUGGGAUAUAUAUGUUACGCACACGCUCAGCACAAGGGGGAUUGGUUACCAGUUAAAAGAAGCGGGAAAAUUCUGGGGUUAACUACUUAACUGUAACAAACCCAGAAUGAUUUGCAGGCUUCUGAGAUAGGUUUCUAGGAGCUUCAAAGCUUGUAUAAAAAGGGUCCUGAUGACUGAAGUUGAGAGUGGUUUUUUCCUUGUAAUCUCUGAAAAGGCUUGAGCCUUGUUUCCUGCAUUAAUAAAUAAUCAUAGCCCUGUUUCUCAAAGAGGAUGUAGGCUGUAAUGGCUGAACCUCUAUAAAUCCUUUCUGUGUUUUUUCUUUCUCUGUUGUGUGUUUCUAUUCUUGUUUUAGAUUGUAUUGAUUCCUAAUAAAACUGUUAAUCAUUCUUCAUACUGAAUUUUAUUAAAUCUCUUCUUCUCUUUUGAAUAAAAUUUCUUUAAAAUUCAAUUCAUAAAAAAGAAAAUCUCCUUAUAAUUUAAUAUGUUUCAGUUGUCUCAGUGGAAUGAUGCUAUUUGUUUCAAUCAAAGUUUUGAAGCAUCCUAAAAUUUUGAGAUCCAAAUGAAAAUAAAUUAAUUUAAUUCGUGGUGUACUCUAAAUUUUCAGCUAUAAAAAAAUAGCGAAAUUGAAGUGCACUUGGGCAAGAAGAAACAGAGACUGCGAUUAUACAAUUUCAGUGUUUGACUCUAUCGGCAAAAAAAGAAAAUAAAAAAGAACUCCCAUUGUUCCAUUGUUUUUCCCAUAAAUAAUAAUAUACAGAGAAUUUUGUUUAACGAGAGAUAUAAUAGGUAUUUAGGUGAGUUUAUAGCGUAAAUUUUAAAAUUUUAAAAUUUAAUAAUGGAUUUAAUAAGUAAUUGGGUUCAAAUAGUAUUUUAGUGGUUUUAAAUAGCCCCACCCUUUUUAUUUUUAAAAAAGAUUUAAUUACAAAAAUAUUACUUCCAAUCGACAGCAUUUUAUAUUUUAUUUUAUUAAAUAUUAUUUUAUUUUUGAAUUACUAAUAAUGCACAAAACGGCAUCAUUUAUUGAUAUUUUUAAAUUGUUUAAGAUUUGUUUAAUUAGAAAAUUUCCAUUGUUGAUAUUUAAAUAAUUUUAAAAAAUAAAAUAAUAAAAUUGGUGUCGUUUAGUUUUGUUAAAUAUACUAAGGGCUCGUUUGGUAUGCCGGAUUGGAUUGGAUCAGAUUGGAUAAGAUAAAAUUGGAUUGGAUAAUAAUGGAUUAUAUAUAAUACUAUAUUGGGUUUGGUCCAAUUUUAGAUUGAACUAUAAAUAAUCAUCUCUUAUAUUAUAAUAUUAUAAUUUACAAGUUAUUAUUAUUAUUAUUAAUAAUAUAAACUAAAAUUUUGUAUUAUUAAUUAUACAAAUCAACCUCAAUGAUAUUAAUGAAAUAUAAAUCAUAAUUUAAAUAAUUUUUAUUUUUUUAAAUAUAUUUAUGAUAUUUUUAUUAUUUUUAUUCAAUAAUCUAUUAUUUUAUAAAAAUUUAUAUUUGUGAAUAUUAAUUUAAUAAUAAUUUAUAAUGUAAAUUUGAAAUUAUAAAAAUAUUUAAUAAAUAAAUAAAUUAAAAUAAAAUUUUCAUUCAAUGUGAAAUUAAUAAUGAUUUUUAGUAUAAUUUAUUAUUAAAAUUAUUAAAAUCAAUAUUUUUUAUUACAUUUAUCACAUAUUACUAUAAUUUUAAUAUUUAUAAAUUAUUAUGUUUAAUUGAAUUAUUAAUAUAAUCUAAUACUAACUAAUCCCAUAGUCCCCUUGAAAUAAUUUCUUUUACAAAAUUGAAAUUAGCUUUGGGGCUCACGAUAAAUAAAUUCUAAUACUUUUGACAGAACUAAAUAUAGGAAUAGGAUAAAAUUUUAACAAAGAGUUUAAUCUCCACUUUUAAUCCUCCUCCAACCAAACAUGCCCUAAGCUAACGGAUCAUGGCAAAUUUGUAGUAAGUGAUGAACGAUUUGAUAAGCUCUACUCCAUCAGUUCCUUAAUUGAGAAAAUUCCCAAGCCCGUGCAGCCUCACAAUUGAUAGAGACCCGAAGCCACCAAACUCGACAAUCAUCACUCAACGUCGUUGCAGGCUACCGGUCGCUCAACAAGCACCAGUUCCUCACUCUACAGCCAUCACUCAAGCGCUGCCAUUUCCUGUUAAUUAUUCGCUCGAAUUAGGGUUCUGAUAUUUGGGGAUUUUUUCUUAAUUGUGGAAUUAUGAAGUAAUGAUGAUGACGACGAAGAUGUGGUGGUUGACGACGGCAAAGGCAACGUUGAAUAUUGAGGCACUGGAGAAACAAGCAUUGGCUAUUAUCUUGGUCGAUUUGCCUCGAAUUGAUCACUAAAAAUGGGGAUAUCGUGGGCCGAGCUUCAACGCAGUCGCAAAUUUCAUUUGGAUAACUGAAUUUUAUUUUAUUUUUGUGUUUAAUUUGUUUAAAGUUUAAUUGUUUAGAUCUAGGCUAAAUUUUAAUGAUCAUUUUUAUGAUUAAAUGACAUGAGUAUGCUUAAGUUUUUUUCCUUCAAAUUGAUUUUCUGAUGUUACAUUUUGUUAGCAAAAAGUUAAAAAAUAGUAGAAACUGUCUGAAUUUUUGUUAUGAAGAUGUUGUUUUAGUUUGAUAUUGGGAAAAUAUCAUUAUACAUAUUGCCAUCAUAUUCAUGGGAGACCAAAAUGGGAAUGAUGGCAGGCUAUGCAUUGCUCACAACUAAUUUAAAACUCACUAUUUCUGUUUUUGGUGUUUUAGUAAUUCUGGGGGCAUUCCAACUAUAAUUAAUAAGCUAUAAACUUGUUUAGUAAUUACUAAUCAACUUGCUAGAAAGAGUCACAAACUAAUUAGCUUUCUCUUGUAAUUUUUACAGAUCAUCAGUGGAUAAGAACUACAAGGAGUUGAAGACUUAAAGAUAAGAACUACAAGGAGUGAAAACGNNNNNNNNNNNNNNNNNNNNNNNNNNNNNNNNNNNNNNNNNNNNNNNNNNNNNNNNNNNNNNNNNNNNNNNNNNNNNNNNNNNNNNNNNNNNNNNNNNNNNNNNNNNNNNNNNNNNNNNNNNNNNNNNNNNNNNNNNNNNNNNNNNNNNNNNNNNNNNNNNNNNNNNNNNNNNNNNNNNNNNNNNNNNNNNNNNNNNNNNNNNNNNNNNNNNNNNNNNNNNNNNNNNNNNNNNNNNNNNNNNNNNNNNNNNNNNNNNNNNNNNNNNNNNNNNNNNNNNNNNNNNNNNNNNNNNNNNNNNNNNNNNNNNNNNNNNNNNNNNNNNNNNNNNNNNNNNNNNNNNNNNNNNNNNNNNNNNNNNNNNNNNNNNNNNNNNNNNNNNNNNNNNNNNNNNNNNNNNNNNNNNNNNNNNNNNNNNNNNNNNNNNNNNNNNNNNNNNNNNNNNNNNNNNNNNNNNNNNNNNNNNNNNNNNNNNNNNNNNNNNNNNNNNNNNNNNNNNNNNNNNNNNNNNNNNNNNNNNNNNNNNNNNNNNNNNNNNNNNNNNNNNNNNNNNNNNNNNNNNNNNNNNNNNNNNNNNNNNNNNNNNNNNNNNNNNNNNNNNNNNNNNNNNNNNNNNNNNNNNNNNNNNNNNNNNNNNNNNNNNNNNNNNNNNNNNNNNNNNNNNNNNNNNNNNNNNNNNNNNNNNNNNNNNNNNNNNNNNNNNNNNNNNNNNNNNNNNNNNNNNNNNNNNNNNNNNNNNNNNNNNNNNNNNNNNNNNNNNNNNNNNNNNNNNNNNNNNNNNNNNNNNNNNNNNNNNNNNNNNNNNNNNNNNNNNNNNNNNNNNNNNNNNNNNNNNNNNNNNNNNNNNNNNNNNNNNNNNNNNNNNNNNNNNNNNNNNNNNNNNNNNNNNNNNNNNNNNNNNNNNNNNNNNNNNNNNNNNNNNNNNNNNNNNNNNNNNNNNNNNNNNNNNNNNNNNNNNNNNNNNNNNNNNNNNNNNNNNNNNNNNNNNNNNNNNNNNNNNNNAAACCUUUAACCCCUAAACUUUUUUUUUUUUUUUAAAAGGCCAAGGGGGUUUCCCCCCAAUUUGGGGGAAAGAGUUUUCUUUUUUUUUUUUUGGGUUUCCCCCCCCCCCCCCCCCCCCCCCGCCCCCCCAAAGUCAUUUUUUGUUCUCUACUCCAUUGUAAAUUUGUAUUCAAAAGUCUUUUUCUUUGUCUUUAGUUUUUAAAUUUAUGGAGAUGAUCUUAUGAGGUCUUAAAUAAAUAGUUGUAGAGCUUUACUAAAACUAUGUACAAUCUUAUUGAGAUUUGGGUGUGAUUUUGUAAGAUUGCUAAAAAAUUCAUAUUUGGUAUUUGUUUUAUUUUCCUAGUCGAAUUUCUUGCUUGUAGAAGAUAAAAGAAAAGUGCAAUUUCAUGUUGCAAUAAUUUUUUUUCCUUCCCUCUUUUUCUUCCCAUAUAGUCUGGCUCUGGAUUUGGUGCAGUUGAUGGUUUUAAUACAGUGAACCAAUUUCGUCAGAAUCAUCUUAAAGGAUUAAAGUGGCUUCCUUUUGCAACUGGGUAAGUCAAUGUUACUUCCUGAAUUCAGUUUGGAGUUCUUUCGGAAUAGAUUUCCUUCCCUUACAUUACUUAGCUUCUAGUUGCAUCUUCUUGGCCUUCUCCAGCUGACUUUCCUAUUGGCAAAUUCCUUCGCUUCUAUUGUUUUCAGGUGCCAGUGCUGGAUUUGGAGGUAUGAAUCAUGCCUUCAUUUUUACUUUUUAUGAUUAUUUUUUUAAGGUGUAUGGUACUGUAAUAUAGUUCUUUGUAUAGCUAGUACAAAGUAGUUCUUUAACUUCUUACGUUCGGCUAUAAUGGUCUUGACAUAUGAUAGGGCAGCUCUAUCACCAAUUGACGUGGAAUGAGAAAUAGGAGACAAAUGGGAUUAGAAAAAUAAGAAACAUGACAAAAAUAAAAAUCUAAUCUACUCAUAUAAGCAACUCAUCAAAUAAGUGUAUCACAUACUUAAGUGAAUAACAAUCUGUAAUUUCCACGAAUCAAAGUAAAAUUAUAAUAUUCUUUAAAUAAGACUCAUAAGCUUGUUAGGUGUUAUAUUGAAUCAUCUAAGUUGAAUAAUCUUUUGGGUCGAAUAUUUAAUUUCUUAUUCCAUACGUUUCAGUCUCUCAAUAGUUGAAUUAGCAAUGAAAAUUUGAAAAUGGAAAAAUCCAAUGCAAUUAUUUUAGCUGCUUAUCAUAGAUAAGAAUUUCAAAUUUGACACUUUAUUGUCUGUUGUCAAAUUCAUAAAGUAUGAACCUGCAUUAGUUUAGUUCUCUAAUAUUUAUAAAUAAGUAAUACUUGAAUUAAGAUGAAAGAAAAUUGAAAAGUAGAGUUGCUUGAUUGAAUAGCGUCAUAUUUUACAUCACAGAAACUCAAUUUUCAUUGCCAUACGUAGCUCAAAAGUGCAUGAACAUUUAAAAUUCAGCUAACUUAUACUAAUUAAUUAAUACGAGUCUCAGUUCUUACUUCUUAGUACUUGGCAACAUCCAUCCAUAAGAGUGAAACUCCUAUUGAUUUCAUAUAUACAAAAUAAAUAACUUACAAAGGCAAUAUAUACAAUCACGACAAAAACACCAAUUCACUCCAAUAAACAACAUAGCAAAUACAUGGUCUAUAUUGCAAGUCUUUUUACUAUUUUAAUUAAAAGAGAAAAUACGAAGGACAUAUUAUAUAUAAUUGAAUAUUAUCCUUGAUAAUUAGACAAAAUAACACUAAUCUAGCUAACUAAUCCAGUCAUCAUAAUAAUCCGAUUUCCUUUAUUUAAUUAUGUCCAUUGAUGCUAUUUUAAUAAAGAAUACUGAACACUUAAGUAUUUAUAUGCUCAACAACUUCGGCCACGUUUGAAAAGAUCAUAUUAAUUAUUAAUAUAAAGAAAAUAACCCUACAAGGUACAUAUUACAUAUGCAUGUAGUUGCAAUAAAUACAUAAUAAUAAAGAUUGUAAAAGUUCAGGGCCAUUAAUUCAACAAUUACUAAACCAAUAUCCCAAUAAUUGUUUGAUUACUAAUCUUAGCAUUAAAAGAUCUGCAAAUUUUAUUCGGCCAAAACAAAUGCUUCCUUAUUGCUUCCUUGAUCUUAUCCUGCCUGGUGAUUCCUGAAUGUCCUUCCCAUUCUGAUAUGCUGAGUUGUUUGCUGAUUAUAAAUACAAAUCACCUUAAAUUUUCUUAGUCUUGUUCUUCAUGCGAAAUUCUACGUAAUGGCUUAGUUGGUUUAAAUUCUUCUUUUUUCUUUGAAUUGUUGAUUUGUAAUGUUCUUCUCGCUCUCACAUGUGGCAUUCUGCACUCUUCCAAUGCUAUUUCUUGUUAUGGCAGCAGAAUUCUAUAUUUUCUCCCAGUUUCUUUUGUAAAGACUUCUAAAGAACCAUCCAAUGGAAGUUAGAUUAUACAUGGAAGAAUAAAUAAUGCUAAUCUAGCAAGUCCAAUGGUAAAAAUUUGAUUUUCAUUAUAUUAACCGUGUCCAAUCAUGCUAUUUUAAUAAAGAACACUUGAAUAAUAUUUUCAUGUCCAGCAUGUAAAAUUUCAAAACAAUUUUUGCCAAAGUCCUCCUCGGCUAAAUUAAUUUAUGCAUUAAUAAAGUCCUCCUCUUCUAAAUAAUACAAAACCUGUUACGUUGUUCUACCAUUUUUUUUUUUAAAAGCAUUCUACUAUUUAAUAAAAGAAUUCGAAAACUCGUUCUAGACAUACACCGAACCAUAUUAAUUUAAAACAGUUUUCAACUGAGAUUUGAAAUUACACACACAAACACACCGAGUCCUUUAUAUAAAGUGCUUUUAAUAAAUUAUGGUCGGUUUACUAUUAAUUAAUCAAAUUUAAUUUACUCAAAUUACUCCUGUACACGAUCAAAAUAAUAUCAAUUCUAUGAUAUAUAUAUACGUGCACAUACAUACAAAAUGUAAAUAACUUUCAAAUAUAAAAUAUUUAAAAUAGACGAAAUAACUUUCAAAUGUUUAUUGUAUUUUGAUGGGUUUUUGAGGAUGGUUGUAUGUAUUAGCAACAACAAGGUGCUUUUUAUAAAUCCGGGUCCUAAUUUUGUAAAAGAAAUUAAUACUCUCGGUUUAUUGUUAAUAAAAAAGAAAAAAGAAAAAGCAUUUUUCUGUGGCAUAUAUUAAGCAUUUUAAGAAAAGAAAAAAUUACAUUCCAAUUCAUGAAAGACAUUCCUUCUGUCAUAUUGAUGUGUUAAUAGAAAGAUCUAUGUAAAUUAUAACAAUUUUGAUGAAUCUAAAUAUUUAAUAACCGAUAAAUUAUAUUUAUAAAUAUUAAUACCGGUGGCACAUAAGCACUUAAUUCAAGAACUCGCCUAUAGUGCAUUAAUUUAAAGAGUAGAAAUAUUUAAUAAAUCAUGCCCGCUUUACUAUUAAUUAAUAAAAUUUAAUUUACUCAAAUUACUCCUCUACAUGAUCAAAGUAAUUUCAAAUAUACAACACACAAAAUGUAAAUGAUUGAAAUAUAAAAUAUUUAAAAUAAUCACCCCACUAACAAUUCACCACAAAGAUUAUAAAUAGUCGAAAUAAUGAUAAUCUAAGGGGUCCGGUCAUAAUAAUUUAAGUUUUAUUUAUAUUAAUUAUAUAAAAAAGAGUACUCGAGAUUAUAUAUAUCCAACAGCUAAAAUUUCAAAACAAUAUUUGCCAAAGUCUGAUGAAGAGAAUACAUAUAUAUAACAUGCACUUGCACACAUUCUAUUGUUUAAUUAAAAAAUUCGAAAGCCCAUUAUAUACAUGAUAAAGACUUACCGACACCGAACCAUAUUCAUUUAAAGGAAUUGUUUUCAACUGAGAUUUGAAAUUUUUUUUUUUGAAAAGAAACUUCUAUUAAUUCUGAGAUGAUAACAGAUACAUGACUUGUAGAGGGUAUGAACCCUUCCAUACAACAGUUUCGCAUUUCUCUAAAGCUAGUUUAGCUAGAGAAUGGGCAAUGGCAUUGCAAGAUCUAUGUGUAUACACACAACUAACAUGAUCGAAGCUUUCUUUCAAUUUCUGAAUUUCCAAUACUACCCAAUAGAUCUCGGAUCUGCUGCCCUGACUGUUGUUUACUAAACAAACUACUUCUUGCGAGUCUGACUCCAAAAUUACAUCUGUCACAUGUGCAUCUUUUGCCACCUGCAAGCCCCAUUCCAUAGCUUCUGCCUCGGCAUAAGCUACACUUCCAUGGAAUUUUGAGACCUUGAUCGCAGCUGCUGUCACUUGCCCCGUUUCAUCUCUAAUCACAGCCCCCAGCCCAGCAAGAUUCUUUUCUGAGUUGGUAGCGGCAUCAGUGUUGAUCUUAACAAAACCUUCUUGAGGGGGAUUCCAUCCCAGCUGCGCCACUUUCUGCUGCUUUCCAUGGCUUACAGCAACUGAAGGCUGCACUCUCUUAUAAGCCUCCAUCACAGCUUCAGCUUUAGCCACAACAGAUUGGGGGUUCUCUCGCUUGCCUUUGAACAGCCAUUGGUUCCUUGCAUUCCACUUUGCCCAGAGAAUCGCGGCAAACAAAUCUACAUCAGCUUUGCUUCUCAAUCUUUUCACGCCAUGCAACAAGCUCAAAACAUCCUGCCCAGGGGCUGCUUGAAUAUCAUUAUCAAAAAGGGAUAGUCUCCAAACCUUCUUGGCUGCUUUACAAUCAACUAAGGCAUGAAACAAAUUCUCUAUUCCCAUUUUACAAAGCUGGCAGGUAGGCUCUUGGACAAUCUUCCUCUUCCACAAAUUCUCAGCUGAAGGAAGUAAGUUUUUGGCUGCCCUCCAAACAAAAAUUCUGAUCUUCUUCGGCAAAGCAAGAGACCCAAUUUUUUCUUUUUUAAAAAAAUUACUAAUAAUAAAAUAUUUCAGUCGUCCUCUGUUCGGCUGUCAAAAACCCAUUAAGAUCGAUUUGAACAGAAGGUAUAUGGGUUAACAAUCCUCCAUCCUUUCUGCACUUCUCUUCCAUCAACGGACAGCGAUAGAUACUUAAUUGCAAAAGUGAGGAAGGCAGGCCCUUCUCCGGAAAGUAUUUGAGCUUGGGACAAUCCACGAGAUUCAAGUGGGUGAGGUUUUGAAGAUCAACAAUUGAAGAAGAUAGGCGUUCCAGAUUUGGAAAAUCUACAAUCCUCAGAGAUGUUAGAGAGGUAGGAAGAGGAAGCGCGGUCCCUAAUCUUUUGUCCUCUAGUGGAAAUGACACCAUGUCGUCAUCACAUCCUUCGAUUGUAAGAUGUCGCAGAGAGGAGAAUCUAUGAAAUCCCCGACCCCGCUCAAUCAUUGACUUCCAAAUCUCCAUAUUACCCCAAAUAUGAAGUGAAUGAAGGUUGGUGGGAAGGCCAUCUUCUUCAAGGCUUGGAAGCUCAACUCCUCUUCCUAUUGUUAAUUCUUGAAGAGAGGUCAGAUUGUGCAAUCCCUUGGGUAAGGCCUCCAGUCUCUCACACCCAUAGAUCCUGAGCUUACUCAGUUUCGCACAAGGCAAUCCCCCUUCGGGAAAGGACA